CCUUAAUCACUUUGAAAUUACAGUUCUGCACUAAUUUCUACCCUGGAUUUUUGAUGACUCUUACAAGAUUGCUAAAUGGGUUGCAGAUGGGAAUGGCUGGUGCGUUGGAAACUUUAUGUGGCCAAACCUAUGGCGCAGAAGAAUUUGGAGAGAUUGGAAAGUACACUUGUUGUGCUAUUGUUACUUUGCUUCUGGUUUGUCUUCCCAUAACUCUGCUGUGGAUUUUCGUGGAUAAAAUACUACUGCUAUUUGGUCAAGACCCUGAAAUUUGCCGCGCAGCUCACCAAUACUGCAUAUGUUUCAUCCCUGCACUUUAUGGUUUUGCUGUUCUUCAAUGUCAGAUUCGCUACUUCCAGACUCAGAGUAUUAUCUUUCCCAUGCUCUUCAGCUCAAUUGCGGUUCUGUGUUUGCAUAUUCCUAUUUGUUGGGGUCUGGUAUUCAAAUUGGGAUUAGGGCAUAUUGGAGCUGCUUAUGCUACUGCAAUUUCAUAUUGGUUAAAUGUCAUUGGGCUUGGGAUUUAUAUGAAGUAUUCACUAGCAUGUCAGAACACCAAGGUUGUGUUUUCUUUAAAUGCUUUAUUAAGCAUUCCAGAGUUUUGCCGAUUUGCUGUUCCUUCUGGAUUGAUGUUUUGGUAAUGUAUUAUGAAAUUGCACAAUUUUCAUUUUUUUUUUUCAGUUUACUGUUUUCAUGCCAUCUACUAUUCUAUCUUAUUUAUUGUUUCAUUGUUCAUAGUUUUGAAAUGUGGUCAUAUGAGCUACUUGCAUUAGUUGCUGGGCUUUUACCUAAUCCACAACUUCAGACCUCUGUUCUUUCUAUCUGGUGAGAGGAAUAACUUUUUAUUAGUUCUUAAAGAGGAGGACUUGCAAGAUUAACUUAAGUUUAUGAUUUCCAAUAAACUUUGGUUAAAGAAUUUUAGGAAGUGUGUUGUCAAUAUUUCUGGUUGUUGAAAUAACUCAUGAGGGGUUUUUGUAAAAUGUUUGAAUUUCUUUUCAGCCUUAACACAACCAUGCUGCACUACAUCAUUCCGUAUGCAGUCAGUGCCUCUGCAAGGUUAGGUCCAAAUUUGUUUCGUCAUUUCUAUACACAAGAGCAAUAACACUGCACAGUUGUAGUACUGAUGUUUGAAUUUUGGUUUAUAGUACUCGCAUUUCCAAUGAAUUAGGAGCAGGGAAUCCAAAUGCAGCACAAUGCAUUGUUCGUGUUGUUGUGAUUCUUGCAAUUGUGGAUGGGGUUAUUGUGGGCACUUUCGUCUUAUGCUUUAGGCAUAUAUUAGGAUAUGUUUAUACCAAUGACGAGGAAGUUGUAUAUUAUGUUGAAGACAUUGUUCCCAUUCUCUGCGGGUCUUUCACUGCAGAUAGUCUAGUAGGAGCCCUUUCUGGUAUGCUUCUAUUUGCUGAGAUGGUCUUGUUCUUAAGUGAAGCAAAAUUAUGAUAAAAUUGGAUAUGUUUGUGCAGGGGUUGCAAGAGGAGGAGGGUUUCAGCAAAUAGGGGCUUACGUGAACCUUGGAGCCUAUUAUCUUGUGGGAAUUCCUUUGGCAUUCUUGUUAGGUUUUGUCCUACACUUCAAUUCCAAGGGACUCUGGAUGGGAAGUCUUACAGGGUCUAUUUUACAAGUCAUUAUCCUGGCUGGUGUAACUGUUACAACAGAUUGGCAGAAAGAGGUUGGCUUUUAUUUUUUCAUAGGACAAUGAUAUUUUAACAACACUUUUUGACAACGGAACACGUGUCACCAUUUUAUUCGUCUAUUUAAAUUUAUUUUAAGAAGAUAUUUGAAACGGACCAAUCAUAAGCUGCCACGUACGCGUUGUCAAAAAGUUAUCAAAACAAUGAUUGUUAAAGAAACUUUUUCCUUUUUCAUAUAAACCUAUUUCAAUGUUACACAACUGAUUCAUAAAGCAAAAUUUAUAUUCUAUUUAUAGUGAAAUUUUCAACACAUUCUUUUUAAUGUAUAUAAAAUGUGAAAUUAAACCAUAAUUGUAUUCCAUGGCUACUGCAGGCAACAAAAGCAAGGCAGAGAAUAUUUGAGAAGUCAAAUGAAGCUCAUAAUGGAUUAGUAUGAACAUUGUAGAAGAAUAAAAUGAAGAGAGGAAGAAAAAGAAGUACCUAGUUUUUGUCAGAUUUUGGUUUUGCUAUCAGUUCUAUUUUGGUGAAGAUUGAUGAGUUACUAUCACUAAUAAAAAAUCAUAUUUUAUGACAUACAAAAACGAACUAUGACGUACAUAGUUUUGUACGUUAUAAUAGGUCUAUAUAUUUUAUGACGUAGCAAAAAUUUACGUUAUAAUAGUUUUGUACGUUAUGUUGUGUCAUAAUAUGUUCACAUAACAUAAAUUUUUACUACGUCAUAAAAUAUGUAAACCUAUUAUAAUGUACAAAACUAUAUACAUUAUAGUUCGUUUUUAUACGUAAUUUUUAUACUAGUAUGUAUACAUAUAUAAAUAAAUAAGUAUAUAUAUAUAUAUAUAUAUAUAUAUAUAUAUAUAUAUAUAUAUAUAUAUAUAUAUAUAUAUAUAUAUAUAUAUAUAUAUAUAUAUAUAUCAUAAUUAUGUCAUUAUACAGUCCAAUUAAUAAAUAAGUGUCAUUAUUCAAGGUUUUCUUACAUAUAUAUUAAAAAUAGUAAAUAUAGAAUUUUUACUAUAACAAGAAAAUAAUCUACACUAACUUUAAUAUUUAUUCGCAGUAAAAUUAAAAUAAAAUUAUAAGUGUUGUACUGGAAAGAGUAAAUGACAAUCAAUUUAAAAAAGAUAUAAGAAGUUUUAUUGUGUAAAUUGAAUAGUAUAUCUCAAUAGGUAAGAGUGACAAUAUGGUUCUGAUUAGUCUUUCAAUAUGGCUGUCAAUAAAAUUAUAAUUAAUACUGGAUUAAAAAAUUAGUCAAUUAAUAAUCAAAAUAAAUUUUAUUGACUUCAUUUGCAAAUUAAGCAUGUUUAAAUUUGGUUUCUCGACCAUUUAUUUAAUUUUUUAAAUUUAUGAUCAUUUUUGUAUUUAUUUAAACUCAAAUAAAUUAUUUCAUAUAUAUUGAAAGGAUAUUGUAAAUGAAAUCAUUGAGCUAAAGUACAUAAUAUAUUAUACUGAAUCAAUCCGCUUAUUUGUAAUGACUUUACUCAGAUUACAAAUCUUUUAACCUAACAGAGAGAAGGGACGAGUAGAGUUAUUAGAUUAUUAUGUAUUUUCAAUGAGUUCAAUAUUAAAAUUUUAGAAUGCCCUUAAAAAUAUUUUAUAAAGUAUUAAUAGAAAAUGUUGCUAUAGAUUUCUUCGUAAGUAUUUUAAAAGACAAAAAUAUACGAAAAACAUUUAUUAAUAAGUUGAACUUACUGUUAUAUUAAAAAAUUAAUUACUUUAUUUUAUUGAAAAUUUAAUUUCUUUUCUGUUUUUUAUCAGUCCAAUUAAUAAUCUGUUAUUAGCUUCGAAACAUAUAUUAAAAAAUUCAAUAAAUAUAACUUUGUUACUAACAACAGUAAAAUAUACAUCAGUUUAGAGUAAAAUUAAAAUAAAAUUAUAACUAUUGAUUGAAAAAAAAAAAAAAAAAAAAAGAAGUAACAUAUGCUUUGGUGUCUAUCUCCUCAGCUUCUUACUUGCCACUGCCACCUGAUAUCUGUAUUUAAUAAGUCUCCAUGAAAGCUAUAGUAAUGCAUAUACAGGACCAGUAAUAGCAUCCAGAACAAGCAAGAAGAAGUAUGUUAAAAGAAUAUCAUAAAAAAAAACAACCUCAAUUCUCGUAUCUCGUGUUAUAUGUGAGAAUAGAUAUUAAUAAGGAAAUAAAGACAGUUAGAAAGUAAUCAAAGGACAGAAAAGAUAACAAUGAAAUAACUCACAUCAACUAAUGGUAAUAAAACUAUAUAUAGGAUUUGUUUCUGCAUGAUAUAUAAAAGCGUAGGAGGAAAGGUAGAAGGGUGAUGACAGAAGAAUAGAGAGCACAAAGGAGGGAGAUGCAAUUUCCUUUCAUGCAUUUCAUCAUCUGUGCUCUCUAUCUUCUGUCAACAGCAUCACCAACACCUCUUCUGUUAAUGAAAAAUGAAUAAUAUCAGAGAAAGAGAAAACCAAAUGAACAUGAAAACUCCAAAUAGGUUUGUUCUUGAACUAUUCUGAGAGAAAGAACGGAGAUAUAUGGUUCUUUCCUUCUGCCUUAUCUAACAGGAGAAAGAGACCUUGAAGCUAUUUGACACGGAAAUAUGUGUCUGAGAUGGCUCUAUUUAUAAGGGAAAACUAAUACAUAAAAUGGCUUCUCUUACAACCGUUCUUUCCUACAUGAAAUAAAUGUUUCUUGCGUUCACACAGCUCACUUAAUUCCGAGUAUAUUAUGACCUUUGGGGUCAUGUCAAAUGGAUCUGUAAAUCUGAUACGUAAAGAAAAGGACAAAUGCUAGAGGAUAAACGGUGUUAAAUGUAUAUAUAUCCUUAUGGAAUGUACUCACCAUGCAAAACCAAAGUCUUUAUGAUCUUACGUUCGAAGGGAAUAUGAUUAAAGUAUUUCUUAUAAGAUUUUAUCAAUUUCCCUUUGACUUAUCUGUUUCUGAUUAGUCAUCAUCAUCCAUGUUUAAUUUUGAUAUUCGCAUUCCGGCUCUGCAACACAUAAAUUCUAAUAGCAGUGGUUAAAUUGAAGAAGUUUAGUUGAAAGUGAGAGGUGAAUUAGGAGUUAUGAUUGUAUUCUGUUGAACAGUAGGUAGCAUGGACUAAUGAGGCUUUGCAAGUUUAUUGGAAGACAGGAUAUGAAUGAGAUAGCACGAGGGAAUCUAUUGAUUGAUUUUCUUCAGUCUCGGUUCUUUUCCAUUAUUGGUAUAAGCAUCAAGGAAUAUAUUACACCCCACUUGUACUUUAGUUUAAGUCAUUGCGAAAAUUCUCAGAUUCAUGCAAGUUGGCAAGAUGCAUGAAGAGAAGAAUACAAAGAUGUAUGGGGCGGAGACAAGUGCCAUGUGAAAUGUCACUGCUCAAUGAGUAACGUGUCACCACCCCAUUGCCUUACUUUUCUUUUCCAUAUCUAUCAAUCUUCAUCGUUAACUCCUUCAACUUCUGCUAUCUCUUUUACCCUAUCAAUAUUUGUAUUUUUUUCAUCUUAUGAUCCAACUAUAUAUAUAUAUAUAAUGAUAUUAAGAUCUAUCAUUAUUUCUGACACUUUUCUAUACUGUCAUACCAUGCUAUGGACAGGGUCACAUCAGAAAAAGCAAAAAUCUAUUAUAUUAAAUAAGUUAAAGUGAUUAUUUAGAAGAGAUGAUAUUUACAAUAUUUUGAUUAUAAUGCCAAAGUAUAUAUAUUUAUUAAUGGUUAGAUCUAUCAUUAUUCCUUACCUCUGCUGUCAUACCAUGGGCAGGGGCACAUCACAAGAUAAAGCAAAAAUGUAUUGUAUUAAAAUGUUAAAGUGAUUAUUAGAAAAGAAUUAUAUAUAUAUAUAUAUAUAUAUAAAAUGUUUUCUAAAAAAUAUAUUGAAUAUUUGAGCAUUGAUAAACCUUCACUUAAAACCAAUUUAGAAAGUUUAUUAUAUACAUUAUAAUAUUGGGAUGAUAACAUUUUGUAUAUAUUCGGUAUAAUACCAUGGAUGUAAAAGAUAUUUUUUACACUAGUAUUUUACAAUUUUAUAAAUACCAAAUUAUUUUAGGGUUAAAUAUGUUUUUAGUCCCUAUACUUUGGAGCGAUUUUGGUUUUAGUCCCUCUUUCAAACUAAAGUACAAUUUAGUCCUCCAACUUUAGAAAACUCUGGUUUUAGUCCUUUUUACCAAAUUUUUUUAAUUUUAUUUGUUGUUUCAAACGCGUUUCUCAAUUAACAUUAAAGCAAAAAUGUGUCAAACAGUGUAAACAAUCCAAAUGCUAUAAUGAAACGUGCUUGAAACAACAAAUAAAGUUAAAAAAAUUUGAUAAAAAGGACUAAAACCAGAGUUUUCUAAAGUUGAAGGACUAAAUUGUACCUUAGUUUGAAAGAGGGACUAAAACCAAAAUCGUCACAAAGUAUAGGGACUAAAAACAUAUUUAACCCAUUAUUUUAUUUGAGCAAUGCAUUUAUGUUUUUGCUCCCAUUUCAAUUUUCCAAUCUUUUUUCCUGUUCAUGAUGUUUUUAGAAGGAAAAACUUCUUUUAACAACAAUAUUUUGACAAUACAUAUGUGACAGUGAAAGUUUGUGUUUGAUCCGUUUUAAAUAUUUUUAAAUAUAAAUUCAAAUAGACCAAUAAAAUGAUGAUACGUGUCUCGUUGUUAAAAAAAUUGUCAAAAAAUAUUAUCAAAAUAUCAGUCCUUUUGAGAAAAUUAGCCAGUAGUACUGCGUGGAGGUGCAAAAGUAUAUUUAGUAAUUAAAAAAGUUGAAUUUAAUCUAAGGAAAUAAUAAAAAAAACUGUCUGUUGAUAUAUUUCUGUAUUUAUAUAUAUAUAUAACAUAUACAAGACUAGAGAUUAUGAUUCUGUAAAUUAUUUUGAUUACAUGGAUGCUUUAGAAAAUUAAAGAAAGAGAAAUUGAAAGGGUGUUCUAGUGUCCUCUUGGAGUUUCUUCCCAAUUAUGGAAUGCAUAAAAGGUAUUCUCAAAAUGGAAAAAUCUAGGUAUUGUCUGCCAUGCUGACAGAUAAUGAUGCACAAAGCAAUUAUUCCCAAAACCUUUUAAAUUAUUUUAUUUCUUGAUCUUUAUUUUUUUCCCUCAAGAAUAACACAACUUUAUUCAAUUGCUCCCAUCUUUUAUUCCUUUCAUUACCUCCUCUUUGACUGCUGCGACAUAAAAUAUAUUAGAUCUUAUCUACAUUCAUGAUUUAAAAAUAAUAAAGUAGAAUAAAUAUACAAUCUUAAUUUCGUAAAAAUUUUAAGAGUAAAAAAAUAUAUUAAUAGACACUCUUUAAAGUUAAACGACUCGUAUAAAACAACAACUUUAAUUAUUUAAGUUGUUUUUAAAAAUUCAUCCAUCCUCUACUUCCUCGUGUAAAAAUUAAAAUAAUUUUAAAAUAUACUUUUCACCUAAGUAUAUAAGAUUUUCUUAGAUUAAAUACACUUUAGAUUUUUAAACUAUGUCGUAAACUUUAAUUUUUUUUUACCCUGACUCUAAAAAUUAGAAAAAUCAAUAAAUAUGGUUAUUUAAUUUAAUUGUGUUACAUCUUAAAUGGCGUGAGAUUGAUAUUUAACCUAUUUAUAUUGUGUCACGUAUUCUGAUUUAAAUAUUAGUACGAUUUUAAUUUAAAUAUUAUUAUGAAAUGUAUUUUAAUAUGUUAAUUUUGAAUUUAAAUUUAGGAACAAAAUGAAUAUUUAUACUUGUUAUUUAAAUUGAUAUUAGAAUUUUGUGAGUUAUAUAAUUAUGAUGGUGAAAUAGUUCGUUCAUUCAAGUUAUUACAAUGUUAGUUUGUAAAUUAUUUUUGAACAAGGUAAAAUUUUUAGAUUAUAAUCUUUUAUACCCUUCAUCACAUAUUAUAUUCUUUUUUAAUUAAGAUUGGAUAAUUAUUAAAGUGACAUGAUAACUCUAUUAUGAAUUCAUGUAUAUUAAUACAUAGACUAAAAAUAUAACAAUCAAUCGUCUUUAGAUAAGUAACAACCAUUCUCAUAUAACAUUACAUAUUAACCAUUAACCAUCAUUUUAGCAUUCACAAAAUCACACACCUUUAAACAUACCAUAAGCGACAUAUAAAAUUUGAGUUAAACUGAUAUUUUCGUUCAAUGAGAAUAUCUAUUUAUUCACCAAAUAGUGUUUGAGAACACUAUCGACCAAUGAGAAUAUCACUAAACUUACAAACUUAAAUUCUCACAAAAAGUAAUCCAACGAGAGUUGUCUUGCAUAGAGACUGUCAAGUUAGUGAACUUUAUGACUUUGGUCUUGCUAAACAAGUGCAUUCUCGCCAACGACUACCAACUCAGUAGCUCUCUCUGACUUUGACUUUGUUUAGCUAGUAUAUACUCACCCAAUGCUAGAUCAAUGAGUCUGCAUAAUUCUAUACAUAACAGAAUUUUGCAGAUUUACAUCCUUCAAGUUGUGCAAUUUAGUCCAACAACAAUCACAUAUGCCAAAACAUAUCAACCAUCAUAUUAUACAUAACUAAAUGAUUCAAUUCACCUCAAAUGCCAAUUAAAUUAAAAACCUUACUCAACUCCACGUGUCAUAUUUUAUCAAAUGACCCAAUUACACAAAUCAACUACCGUACAAGCAUACAAUCAACUAUUACAAGUUAUCUAUCAAUUAAAAUAGUGUAAUUACCUUUCUUGAAAGAUAACCAAACUACUCACGAACCUUAAAAACACAUCCAAAUGCACAAAAAACUUUGUUUGCUUCUAUAAACAAAACAAACACAAUCAAAACACACAAUUAAGACCAUUGAUAAGCAAAGAAUCUUAUAGAAAGGUCAGACUCUAUAUAUGAACCAAGAUGAUCCACAUGUACAAAAAAAAAGGCUUAAUACCUAUUUUGGUCCCAAUUUUUGUUCGAAAAGUUCGAAAUGGUCCCAAUUUUUAUUUUUUGUUCAAUGUAAUCCCAAAGAUUGUAAUUUGUGUUCAAUUUGGUCAUUUUUCUGUUCAAUUUAGUUCUUUUUGAAAACUUCGUGAACCAUAAAUAAGGACUAAAUUAAACAUAAAUUACGUUCUUUAAGACUACAUUGAACAAAAAAAUGACUAAAAUGAACACAAAUUACAUUCUUGAGAACUACAUUGAACAAAAAAAAUAAAAUGAGGACUAUUUUGAAUAUUCUUAACAAAAAUUGGGACCAAAAUAGAUAUUAAGUCAAAAAAAUGAUAGAUACAUGACUAAUGAGAAAACUUAGAAAAAAAGAAGAAAACUUAAAAAGUAUAUUUAGAUAAAUAAUUUGAUUUUAAAAUAAUAAAACUCAAUUAUAAAAAAAUUAUUUAUAUUUUAAACUUUCAUUAUUAAAAUAAUUAAGUCUUAUUAUCUUAAAUAUACUAUCAGUUCUAAAACAUGAUUUUCUGUACUUUUGCAUAGUAUUUUAGUAAUGCAUUAGUACUUUAGUAUAUACGGUACGAAAUAUACAUUUAUUCAAUAAAUUGUAUCCUUUUAAAUUCUUACGCUUUCUGUCUCCCUUUCUUUUAUCACAUACUUGAAAUUUAUUUACUUCUUCUUUUUUAUUCUCUGAAUCCCAAUUUUCUAUCUACAUAAAUCUAAAAUAAUUGGUUUUCAAUUUCACAGUUGCAGUCUAUAUCAAACCGAAACUACGUAUGAUAACAUUAAUAUGAUAUUAAAAGCUAUAGUAUUCGUAUUUAUUUCUUUAAAUAAGCGAAGGUGUUAAACUUGUACACUUUUUAUAUAAAUACUUAAAAUAAAGAUUAGGCUAUAAAUGUCACAUGUGACAUACCUUAAUUAGAGUUAGAAAUGGGAUUUACUUCAUGCACCUCCCUCAUUAAAAUUACAUUAAAAAUAUAAAAACUAUCUCUCCAUCUCAUAUUUUAAACGCAUUUUGCAUUGUGUAAUUUAAAAAUGGAAUAUAUAAUCCAUAAUAGAUCUUUUAAAUACAUUUCAAAUGGCACAACUAUUUUUGCAUCAAUUAGUCGUCUAUUGUGUAUUUAGACAUUGGGGUUUUCCAAUGUCUAAAAACAUUAAAAAAUUAAUUUCUAUUACAUUUUUGGCAUUCGAUUGGACGGAUUGACGCGAUCAUCAAUAUAAACGUCGGCUCUUCUUCAUAUCCAAUGUUCAAAUGGUCCACUUAUUUAUGAAAUUAUAAUCGGAUUUUUUAAGUUAGAUAUUAUGUGAUCCGACAUCUAAGAAAUGACGUUGAAACCUUUUUGAAUUAGUAAUAAUCUUAUGAAUAUUUUUCAAACAACACAUAAUAUAUUUUUAAAAAAUUACAAUUUUAAAAUCCACACCGCAAAAAAUAGUUUUGAAUCCAAAAAUACAUUAUAAGAUAUAUAUAUAUAUAUAUAUAUAUAUAUAUAUAUAUAUAUAUAUAUAUAUAUAUACAUGCAAAAUACAUUAAAAAUGUUUGAUAUCUUCAAAUGUAUUUCUAAAUCCAAAAAUAUUGUUUUUGAGAGUUUGAUUUUUCAGGAAUGUAUCUCUCACUCAAAAAUCCACACCCAACUUUUUCCACCACCAUGCUUCCUCCUCCACAAUUCAUCAUAAGGUUUCUUCCACCAUCCAUCUUUUUCUUCUCUCUUCCAUUCCUAAAACUCAUUAUCUCUGCAAGCCUUAUGCCACUAAGGAGGUCCUCCUUUGCAUCCUCCGACACAAUCCUCAACUCAGUCGAUAAGAACUAUAAUGUAGGGAGACAACGUCAUUCCCGUGUACGCGCAAGUAGGCAAAGAGAUCCAGUGGCUGUUGUCGAAGGAUGAGACCAUAGUGAUAAAAACAAAAGGGUAAAAUGGGUUUAUGAAUUUUAUCUGGGUAGAGGAAGAAAAACUGAGGUGCAAAAAACAGCCUUUAUUGUUUUUCUGCUGGAUCACAAGGCCCAACAAUUGGACUUCUUACGCGUCUCUUCACUGCAAAUCGUUGGUGAUGCACGACUUGAUUUCUUUUUACAUUUUUAUUCAUUUCUAUAUAUACUAAAAAUAGAUUUAUAUAAAUAAAUAAGAAAUGCGGGAUAAUAUCCUUAUUUCACUUGUUUUCUUUAUAAAACCAGUUGGUCUGCCAACAUUUUUCAAAGUUAUUUUUUAAAGUUUAUUUGAUAUUUAUAUUUAUAUAUUUUUUAAAGAUAUAAAUGUUUUAUAAGUUUUUAGUUGACUAAUUAAUAGUACUAAUUAAAUAAAUUAAAAUAAUUAUAUUUAUACAUCUUAAAUUAUAUAUAUAUAAAUAAUUUAAAUUACAAUGUUAUUAUUACAUUCUGAAAAUAAUAUAUUAAAAAAAUAAUAUUUUAAACUACUUUUUAUUCUAAUUUAAAAAACGAGUUGUUAGGCCAAUUUAUCUUGUCUUGUUAGACCAAAAUAUACUAUCCAGUUAAAAACACCGGUUAAAUUUUGGGGGCCACCAUAUUAAUAAUACUCACUUUGUUAACCGAAUUAUGUUUGUGAUUUUAAUUAUUUAAUUCAACUACUCAUAAUAAAAUACAUUUUAAUAAAUUAUUUUGUAAGAGUAACAUAGAUUUUAUCUAAACUGAUCUGGCUAGGUCGGAUUUAAUGAUGCUACUUCACAUUUUAUUUUUGGAGUUAAUUGUUAUAAAAGUAAAAGAUUUGAUAAACUUAAAUAUAUAUUUUUCAUUAAUUUAAUUUAAAUAUAUUUUUUCAUAUUCUCAAAUAUAUUUUUAAUUCUUGUAAAAUGAAUAAAUUUUGAUUUUGAUUUCCUGUAAUUAUUAUUAUCAUUUUCAAAAUGAAAAAUAUAAUUUUUAUUUAUAGUAUUGAAUGAUACUAAUUAAUUAUUUAUGUAUUAAAUAAAAGGUUAGUGUUGUAGUAUAAUAUCAACAUGAGACGCAGCACUUUUAAGUCUUAUAAUAUUUUUCUCCUCUUUUUUUCUCUUUCUAAUCGUUUUCUUUGUCUACUAUUUUGUAAUUAUUCGAAAUUAUAUCUUAUCAUAUUUUUUUAGUAUUGUAACCAUCAUGCACAACAAUUUAAUAAAUACCAGUUAAAUACAUUAGAUUAUUUAAGUAAUUUUCGUAAAAAAAAAAAAAACUAUCAAGAUGUAUUCAAAUUUUCAGUAACUUUUUUAUGUUUGUAUAUAUAGAAUAAUAUAUCUUUGAUAAGUACAUUUUAUUUAAUAGAUAUAAUAUUUGGUAAGAUUAUUAGUUUUAAAUAUAUAUUUGAUCAACAAAUACAAGAAUUAAUACAUUUAUUACUGAUUAAAAUCUAUUUAUUACUUUAAUCACUAUUGUGGAAAACUUUACUACUUGACUACUUUAACAAAUACAAUAAUAAAUACUUGGGUUAAAUAUGUUUUUCCGUCCCCCAAUUAUUGGCCAUUUUUGUGUUUAGUCCAUCUUUCAAAGUAUAGUACAAUUUAGUCCUUCAACUUUAGAAAACUAUGAUUUUAGUCUUUCAAAGUCUUUAUUGGCCGUUUUAAACUUUAUUUGUUGUUUCAAGUUACAUUAUAGCAUUUAGAUUGUUUAUACAUUUUUGCUUCACUGAGAAACGCAUUUGAAACAACAAAUAAAGUUAAAAGAAUUUGGUAAAAAAGAUUAAUACCAGAGUUUUCUAAAGUUGAAGGACUAAAUUGUACUAUACUUUGAAAGAGGGACUAAAUACAAAAACAGCUAAUAGUUGGGAGACGAAAAACAUAUUUAACCCUAAAUACUUUAUAAAAUAAUUAUUUAAAGUAGGCACUGUAUACAUAAAAGAAAUAGAUAUUUUAUAUAAACACAUAUAGUUAUUAAACUUUUCAAGAAUUUUAGUAUAUAUAUAUAUAUAUAUAUAUAUAUAUAUAUAUAUAUAUAUAUAUAUAUAUAUAUAUAUAUUAAUUUCUAUCGAAAAGACAUAUAUUUAUUAAAUCUAAUAGAUAUAUCGUUUAUAAAUGCUUAAUUAUUAUUAUUACGAAAAUAAAAGUUUUUCAUGUCUGAUAAUAGACAAUAAAAAUAUUUUAUGAAGUAAUAUUUUUCUAAAACUAAUAGACAAAUUUUUUCAUAUUCACAAAAAUACAUUCUUCGGUUAUAAUUCAUGAACUUUUUAUUUAUUUUCUUGAGAUAUUUGGAUAUUAACCACUCCUUUUUAGUAAAUCAUAAUAAUAAGAGAAGUGUUAUGGCACACUUUUUUAUAUGUGUUUUUUUUCUAACACAUUUAUUAUUGAUUAAAAUUGAUUUAAAACAUAAAAUAAAAAGAAAAACUCAUUAAAUAAAUUUAAAAAAAAAUCUAUAUAUUAUUUUAAUAAAUGCAAUUUAACAGUAAAAAGUUAAUAGAAAAGAGUGAUAGUAUUUAAGACAAAGUACAAAAAUAAAAUAAUCACGACAAUAUAAUCUUCUAUAUUUUUUAAGGAAAAAAAAAGAUAGAAAAGAGUAAUAUCUAAAUUAAUGUAAAAAACUGAGAUGUUUAAAAAAUAUUUUUCUAUAAAAAAUAAUACUCUUAAACAGCAUUGCAUACAUAUCUAGAUUAACAAAUUCACUCCAACCCCUAAUUUAUCUAACAUUGAGAAUGAUAAAUUUCAUGCAGUAAAGAACAUGAAAUCCCAAACCAACAUUUCCAAAAUUUAGGGUUCAAUUUCUUACAUACUAUGCACAAACAAACAAGAACAGUUAUCAAACCCACAAAAACAGAAAAUCAAUGAUCAAAUUGUAUGAGAUAGCUAAUAUUUAGGUUGCAGAAGUGAUCUAUAAGCAGUAUGAACAUAAAGGAAACCCAAAACUAAAACUUUCAUGUGUUGAACCAGAAUCUACAAUCAAUAACAGAAACAGGGAAAAGAGUUAAGUAAAGUAGCAUUCGGGACACUGCAAAAAGCAAAUAAGAGGAAAGGGAAGAAGUAUCAGAAAUCAUAGGAAUGGGCAGAAUUGGGAAGAAAAUUACACACAAUCACUUGAGAUUUCAUUGCUUCCCAAUCCGCCCAUUCCCACAAAUUCUGAUUGCUUCAAUCUUCCAUUCCCAGCUCUUUGUUAUUUUUUUCUUACAACUCAUUCACCACUUACCCUAACUCCAUUAUAUAACAAGCCUCACCCUCUGAGUCACGUUCUGCAAAACACCACUUUACUUAAAGCUUCAAGAUUCCCUCAUCACAAAAGCAUAAUUGGUAUAAAGCAUCUAGGUAAAAGUGGGGUUGCAAAGUUAGUGACCAAAACAUACUAUCAAACAUAUACGGUGCAUUAUUGUUUUUUUUCAUGUAUACUGUUGUCUGGAGGAUUUCUUUUUAAAAGUAGUUUUCUUUAAUUUGAGGUUUUUCUUAGGAGAGAUAUUUGGGAGACGGUAUUAAUGAGUUUGAGAUCAAAACCCUACUUUCAAAAGUUGAGGAAUUUGUUCAAAUAUGAUGCAAAGUUGAGGAAUUUGUUCAAAUGCAUGGUGAAUAGGUGCUAAGCAAAGAAAGUGAAGAACCAGAAUAGGAAAUCACUUUAUCGGGGAACCAAUUGGGGAUACUUGCGUUUGCAAAAUCGAUUCUUUAAAACGUGUGCGUGGUUCCCCAAUUUCUCCACUUUAUCCAUAAAGUGAUUCUUUUCUUUUUGCUGUCUUCUUUCUUGCUUUUUAUUUUUCUUUUCCAUGUUAUUUUAGGCUGUUCAAUGUACCUAAUUUCUCCACUUUUUUAGUGCAUCAAAAAUUUGAUUUUGAUUGAAAUCAUGGAACUGCUUUUAAAACGUUGAAUGUGAACAGGGUGUAUGGUUAGAUUAAUUUGAGCUGUAUAAAACAGAGCAAGUAAUGCAAAGUUCAAGCAAUAAUCAAUCUUUCAAAAGCAGAAUUUAUUUGCUGAUAACUUGAGCAGAACCUUUUCUAUGACUAGUUUUUUUUGUUCGAAUUGUAUACCAAAACUCAGUUUUCAUAUUUCAUCACCUUAUAUAAUCCAUGCCAUGUAAUUUCGUGCAUGGUAAUUGCUAAACAGAUCUAUGAUGACGUGAAUUAUGAAAAUGCUGCAGUUAUGACCAAUCUUGAAUUUGAAUUUUGAUGCAACCUUUCCGAAAGGUCAUUGAUAGUCUCAGCAGAUAAUCUAUUGGAUGUUCAAACAUGAAGAUUACAAGUACUUUAAUAGGAUAAUGUUUCCCAAAACAGAGAAAAGGUUGAGGAGUUGUUUGAGGAGAAUUAAUAAUGUAAAUUGUUGCUCUAGUUCCUCAAGAGAAGACAUAGUUCUGAAGCACACCAUCACUUCAUUCAUCACCCUGUAGUGCAUCCCUAAGUUCACUGCAUCAUGACAAGACAUUGAUUUUAACAGACAUAAACAUGUGAAAGAAGGAAAAUAAAAGGUUGUUUUGCAUUGGUGUAAAAUGUAUAUGAAACACUGUGUUCAUGAGUCAUGUUACCUUGGGAUGAAAAUUGUAAGGAAAUUGAUCUGAAGGCAUAACAAAGGGAGGCUGCAUCAUGUUGUUGGGUUGAGGAAUCAGCUGGUUUCCUGCCUCCAAGCCCUAUGAAGUAAACAACAGCAAAUUUCCAUUAAUUUAUCUAGACACAUCCAUGAGUAGAAAUAACAAUUUUCUCAGAUAUAUUUGAACUUAACAGAUGGCAUGAAGUUAUGCAACAUAUAUAUAAAAUUAAAUCCAAUUUACUUCAUACUUACUCUGCCCAUAUUCAUCACAUUCAUAGGAUUUCCCAUGAAACCAGCUGUAUCAGGCAGGUUAGCUUGGCUUGAAUGCCUUCCUUCUGCAAUGUUUCCAGCAGCAAGCUCUUCCUGCUAUAGCAAGCAUACCAUAACUCUAUUAUACAUUUUCCAAAACUGAAGAAAACAACCUAUUUGUUUGUUUAACUCAGAGUAAUCUAUCUCUUAUUAAGUUAAGAAGUGAACUUUAAUCCUAAUUUAAUCUUACAAAACUAAUUUGUAAGGUAAGGUUUAUAUCCACUUAUAUACUUGACUUUUAUUUUUAAUCGACGUAAGAGUUUCAACAUAUUUCCCUUAAUUUGAACAUAUACAUUUCAAAUGUGAGACUAAAUAUUAAUUAGUUAUUUGACAGAGGUCCAAUAGCAUAUGAAAUGUCAUACUCAACAAAUAACCAAUUUUGUUAGAAUAUACUCAAACUCGUGACUUUGAUACACUUUGAUACCAUGUUGAUGUGAUCACGUAUUAAGAAGUGAAUUUUAAAACUAACUUUAUCCUAUAAAACUCACUUGAAAAAUAAAGUUUGUAUCCACUUAUAUAUUAUCGAUUAGUCUAAUCUUUAAUCAAUUGAGGACUUCUAACAAAACAACAGUUUUUUUUAUCACAAGCACACAAACAAGUCGAGUAAGUUUUUUAAGGAAGUGAUUGAAUGAAUAUAAAUAGAAAGUAUAACCGAAGAGGAAAUGAAAGAAAAAAUUAUGGAGAUACCUGAGCACCAUAAGCACAGAAAUUUUGGAGGUUAUCUGGGACAAUAUCAGUGAGGAAUUGCAUGGCAUGAUUCUGCAUAAUAACCUUGGCAACGUCACAUGGCUGCACAGUACUUUUGUUGCUCUCUUCAGCACGCAUCCAGGCACGAUAAGUGAGUUCCUGGAUGAAAAUCUCACAUGCUUUUGACAUCAGCAUGGGAGUUUCAGCACUCACCAUCUGCUUACCACACAAACAUUCCAUCAUCAGCUGUUGCUUACACAUGUUUUCUCAGUCACAUAAUGUAAUCACAACAACGUUGUUUAGAAACAGUAACAUCUAUAAACACAUGACUUUCACAAAGUAGCAUUGAUCAAUUAUGGAUAUCAGUUAUAAACUAAUAGACAGAUAACAGAGUAUGUGGCAGAAUCAGAACUAUAAACCUGCACAUCUGCGUCUGUUUUCAUUAUCCUUCUGAUUCGAGCUAGCGGCAACUUGUGCUGGCUCUUAAAUGCUGCCAAUUACAUCGUAAGAAAAUACAAAUACCACCAUUAAAUCAAGCUGUUAAUCCAAUGCGAUGGAGCAAAGAAACAUAGUAUAUCAUUAUCAGUUUAUUACAUUACAUCAAUAACAUGAUAGUCUAAAAAAAAUGUUAAUAAAAACCUUCAGCAGCUUGAAUAUCCAUCAACUGCUUCUCCCAGAAGGAUCUGAGUUUCCCCUCCUGCUCUUACAUGCAACAGAAAAGCUAUGGUAAGAUUAAGAUUCAACCCUUUGACAGUAGUAAAAAAAAAAGGAAAUCUUGAAGUCAGUGAUUAACCCUUUUCAAAAUCAAAAUUUACCCUUUUCAAUAAAUGUAGUAUGCAUAUUUAAAAAUUAAUUUAUCAUAAUAAAUUCUGUGGCGAUUGAAGUAGAAAAAGGUAAUAAUCAUUUUACCUGUAUGUUUUGUGGACGAUACUGAGGCACUGGAUACGAGGGCAUUGAAAUGGAAUUCGACAACACAUUUGUUGAAGCUGAAUUACUGUUGAAAUCCAAUGGUAGAUUGAAAGUGUUUCUCUGCUAAAUUUGUCAAGAUAAAUAGAAAAAAAAAUUAUUUUCUAACAAAAUAAGCAAACAUGGUUGAAAUUGAAACAAAGCAAUUGAACUUUAAACUAAAUCACUUUACCUCUCUAUCUUUUUCUUGAUGAUAAUGAAGUAUAGGACAAGAGGGCACUAACAUAGAAUUUGAGACAACAUUUGAUGAAACCGAAUUACUAUGGAAAUCCAUUGCUUGAUUGCAAUUACUCCCCUGUUUUAUCAAGAGAAAAUUCGUUAAAUAAUCAUGAACACAUUUUUCUAAUUUUUAAAAAUAAUAAUAAUGCAUAUAUACACAUCCAUUAUUUUUAAACAUUUCAUCAAAAAUUUUAUGAGUUUUCUAUUCUUAAGUAUAAUCAACAUUUAAUAAAGUGUCGUACAAAUUGAGUUAAACAAUAAAUAAUCCAUUUUUUUUAAACAAAUUUUUAGAAGAAAUAAUUUUACCUGUCUAUGUUCUUCAUUAUACUGAGGCAUUGAAUAAAAGGGAUUUGACAUGAAAUUUGAUACCAUAUUGGAUGAAGCUAAAUUAUUAUUGAAAUCCAAUGGUAGAAUAAAACUGUUUGCCUGAGAAAUUUGUUAAAAUAAUUCAUUUUCUUUUUUAAGAAAAUAAAAUGGGUGACUAAAAAAAUUUAAUAAUUGAAGUUUAUAUGGAAUCACUUCACCUCUAUGUCUUGUUGACAGUACUCAAACAUUGGAUAAAAGGGAUUCUGUAUGGAAUUUGUUAGCAAACUUGAUGGAACUAAAUUGCUGCUGCUUCUCUGCUUAAUUUGUGAUAAAAAUAAGUGAUUUUUUAGGGAUUAAGAACGUGUUUGGAAGAAGAAAAUAGAUUAUGAAUGGAAUCACUUAACCUCUAUGUCUUGACGAAAUUGAGGCAUCAUAUAAGGAGUCAUGGACAUGGAAUUUGAUGGAAGUGAAUUGUUAUUGCAAUCCAAUGGUAGAUUGAAAUUGCUUACCUGUUUAAUUCAUCAUCAACAUAAACGAAAAAUCACUUUUCAAGAACAUAAGCACGGUUGAACCAAACCCGUCACAAGAAAUAUAAAUAUGGAAUCACUUAACCUCUCUAUCUUCUUGAAGAUACAGAGACAUUGAACAAGAAGGUCUCAACACAGAAUUGGGUAACAUGUUUGGUGAAGCUGAAUUACUAGUGAAAUUCAUUAAAUAAAUAAAAAUUGUGAAUUAUAAUUUUGAAAAAAAGUACGUCAAGGGAAGAAAAAAAAAAAGAAGAAACAAAGCUUAAUAUAAUAAGUUUUGGGAUUUAAAAAAGGACAUAAAUAUUAAAUGCAUGUGAAUUGUAUUGUAUUGAUUAAGCAUUUAUUAUUUGAUAAAACAUUAAUGAUAUUUAUUUUCCUUAAGUGUGAACGUGUACGUGCAUCUACUGUUAUUGGCAGCUGUACGGUGAAAUAUUGAAGUUUGCCAACAGUGAUUCAUUUAAAGGAUUAUUAAUAUCUAAAUUUAAAGAUGCUUCACAUGCAUUAAAAUAUUUUAAUAUUUUUAAUAAAUACAUUAUUUUAUUUAAAACUUCGAGAGUAAUUAAUUUAAGAAUAACUUAGAAAGAAAAAAAGUUAAUGACUUAUUUAAAAAUCAUAAUAGUUUUGUUUCGCAAAGCUAGCUAAAAAAUUACCUUAACUUGAAAAACUAGUUGGCAGCCAAAUGUUAUUAAACUAAUAUAUUAAAUGAUAAUUGCUUAGAAAAAUUUUGGUUUAGGUAAUUGAAAAAAAAUAUAUAUUUUUCAAAAUGAUUUUUUAACUCUUGUUUUUUUUUUUGUGGAUAAAAUAUUCAAUAACAAUUUUUUUUAGUUUCAAUUAUUAUAUUUUUUAUAUUAUAUCAUGUCUUACUGUACUUUGAAUCAAGUUUAGAUUUAAGUAAAAACAAUGCAUAACUACGUAGAUAUAAUAUUUUGGUUAUAUUAAUUGUAUUGAUUAAAACAUAAAACCAUUCUGUAAAAUGAAAUAAGAAUCUCCUCUUAUUAACUUUUUGAAAUAUGACACUGAAUUAAUAAAAGAAAUGUUAUAAAUAAUAUGAUAGUUAAAAUGAACAGUACAAUAACUUGUCUUAUUUUAAAAAAUUGACAAUGGAAUUCAGUAAGAUUUUUUUAAAAAAUAUAUAUAGAAAAUUAGAAUUAGCAUUUAAAAAUGUUAUUUUAGUGGUGUGUAAAACAACAUUAUAAAUUAUUACAAAUAAAUUAUUUAACAAAUGAAUAAGGUUAAACAAGUGUUUUAGCUAGUAAAAAAAAUCAAAAAUAGCUGAAAAGUUUUGCCAAACAAAACCAAUAGCGAUAAAUAUAUUUAUUUUUUGAAUAUUAAAAUUGUAAUUAGUAUGAAUGGAAGAAGCAAAUGGUUUUCCUUAAUGAUAAAUGUUAAUAUUUUAGUAGUGUGGAUGGUUUUCCUUAAUUGUAUAUAAAUGGCACUUCGUGUGUUUAGAAACUCGAGUUCUUCCACACUAAUUAUUAAUUACAAAAUUUAAUAUUUUGAAAAUCAAAUCAAUUGCUAAUACAUGAUGUAAUUAUUCACUGUUCAUAAGUUUAAUUACGGUCAAAUAACUGAUAAUUAAAUAAAUAUUUUAAUAUUAUAUAAUACAGUGUAUUAAAUAACGCGUAAAGUAUUCAAAGUUACAUAAAAAUUAUCAAAAAAUGAUCAUACUAUAUGUUUCAUAAAAUGUAAAAUCAUUAAUUAAAAGUUAAAUAAUCAUUAUAUAUAUAUAUAUAUAUAUAUAUAUAUGUUCAAUUACAUAUUCAAAAAACUCAUAUUCAAAUUUACUGGGUGGAAAAUUUCCAUACUAAUUUAUCUUAGGAACAUGCUGUCACAUUUUAUAAAUAAUGAAUGAGCAUUAAAUUUAGUUUUUAGAAAAAGUAGAAAUUUAUUAAUUUUGACUAAAUUAAAUAUUGUUAAUGGGUUAUUUAUCUUUUACAGAUGUUUCCCAAUAUGAGAAUCCCGUCAAUUUUUCAGCUGAACCAAUGAAUCCAAAUCUUAUUAUUUUUUCUCAUUUGGUAAAAUUCCUAAAAUAUAAGAAAUAGGAUAAGAUUAGGUUCAAGUGUUUUAAGAAUAAAUAAAUAAGAAAAAUGUAUAUAUAACAUUUUAUCGAUUAAAUGUUAUUUGUUAAUACGAUAUCAGUGGAUGAAGUUGAACAUAUAAUCUUUCUUCCCAUUCUUUUUAAACUUAUCAAGUCAAUUUAUCAAUUUCAAACUAAAAAUUAAAUAUUGAUUUGAUAAAUAAAUAAAUAUAAAUUAGAUUGAAUGAUAUUAAUUGAUAUUUAAUUUAUAAAUUUAUUAGUUAAUUGAUUGAAUCAGUUAAUUGUUUAAAUUUGAAUGUGAGUCUUUAGAAAACUAUAAUUUUUGAAUUGUUUGAUUAUUGAAAUUGUGGAUGGAUCCAUUAUUCUCCUUUAUUCACUUUUGAUUUUUAGUUAUAUUUUCCAUAUUUUUUUAUGUUUUCCAAUUUAAAACCUCCAAUUUUAAUUUUAACAUGAAAAUGUGCUAAAAAUUAAUCUAAAUUUUGUUCUAUAUUACGAAAUUUUAAAAAAUUUAGUAUUUUUUUAUUUCAUAUAUCAUAAUGAAAUAUCAAAUUUCAUUUUUAAUAAACACAUCCCUUCAAUAAUGCAAAACUAACUCAAAUUUUAUACUAAUACAAAAAACUAACUGAAAUUAAGAUUAUAAUCAGAUAUAAAUAAUCUAAACUUUAUCACUUCUUAUACUGAGGUUCAAACUACACAAAAAGAGAGAAAAUCUGCUUCAACACUUAAAGAGAAAACAAAAGAGAAGUAAAAAAACAGUCUUAAAAAAGAAUAAUGUUAUAUAAUAAUGAAAAAAAUAUUUAGAAAGCAUGAAGGAUAAAAUAUUUAACUUGCUAUUUAUUUAUUUUUAAAAUUUUAAUCCUGCAUUUAAUUUGAGAUGUGUCUAAACCAAUAAAAGCGUGAUCUUACAAUUUUUCUUAUCUAAAGAAAUGUCUUUUUUAUUUUUUUAUAAUUUAAUAACAAUGUUGUUGUUUAUGUUAAUAUAUAAGAUACACAUACACAUCGAUUUUGACGUCCUUGUUCAAUUUUUUAAGAUGAGAGAAUAUCUAUAUAACAGAGCAAACUUAUAUAAAAAAAAUUAAAUUUUUUUCUUAUAUUUAAAACCUUAAAAGUAAUAAAUUUGUAAGCUUUUAUCAUUAUAUUUUUAAUCAAUUUUUUAUUGCUACUAUUAGACUCAAAAAACCAAUUAAUAUAUCUAUAUUUAUUUACGAUUAAGUAAAAACUAAAUAACACGAGAUUCAUGAUUUGUGUUCGACAUUUAAAUUUCAAAUGAAUUUGGUCAGAGGUAGAAAGUCAACAAAGAUAAUUGACCCAACGUUGCAUGGGUGUCGUUGUAUUGUAUAUAUACGUGCGACUGCAAGGAAUUCAAAACUUUAGUAAUAUUUAUAUCUCAAUUUCUUUAUCAUAAAAAAAUAAAUUAUUUUUUCUAGCAUAAUCUAUCAUAGGGUGACUACUUUUUUUAAUGAUUCGUUUUUUUUUUUAAUGUUCGGGUCAAAUUAAAUAAACAAUGAAAUUGCAUUUGACAAUUCUAUGUAUAUUUCAAAUCCAAGCACGUGGGUAACCAGCCAAACAGCAUCUGAACAUGAAAUCAACCAUCUCAUUUUCAGGAAAAGUAUACAAAAAAUUAUAUACCAUAUAAUAAAGUGAAGAUCUUGCUAAUUUUAUUAGUAAAACCAAAAUUUAACCAUUUGUAUAAGUAAAAGUUAUUAAAUCAAACUAGCUUCUAAGUUUGAUAAUUCACAUAAAACUACUUUAAAACUUUGAUAGUCAUUAGUAUAACUAAUGAAUAUUAACAAACGACGGAGAGUCAAAAUAACAAUAAAUAAAUACAGAUUUUUGGUGAUUCUUCAACAUUUUUUGUAAUCACACAAGAAAUUUAGGAAGAAAAAAUCGAAAAAAACUAAACAAAGAAAAUAAACGAUUAUUUCAUGGGAUAUAAUUCAUGAGACGCAACCAAGGCCUUGGAAAUCUCGAAAAUGAGCCUAGCCUCGAACGCGUCAUUCUUGUAAACCUUAGACGUUUGACGAUCAAUCUUGAGAGUCUUUUUGUUUCCAAACAUGUUGUCGGUGUUCAUAGAUUUCAACAUGAAGUUCAUGUAAGCAUUUUUGAGCUUUGCAAACAUCUUCAAAGGUGACCUAACCAUCCAUGUCAGUUUUGGAACUGCCUUGAUCCUCCAUUGCCGGUGUGGACUUCUUCUUAACCUAAUCAUCUUCGUCUUCCUUUCACCGGUGAAGGUGGCGGCGCCACCGCUGUCGAGGCGUUGGUAGCGCCGUCUUCUAAAGUACCUCUUUAUGCCACCGUAUGUCGGCUUAGGCAACAGUGAAUCUGUUUCCAUAUUAUAGUGUUGCAAAGGUUGAAGAAGAAGAAGAAGAGGAUGAUAACUUCUCUUACCAGAGUGAUUUUUUGGCUGUGUAGAAACUGCACCUUCUUCCAGUAUUUAAAGGGAUUAACUGAGUUUUGAAAGAAAAAGUCAAAAAACUACAAUUUGACCAGAAAAUGGCGGGUUUGAUUAUGGAAGUCAACAUGAACAUUGAACAACAUAAUUUCGUCCUAAUAUUCUUUUUUCUUCUAACAAAUGAUUCCUCCUUCUACAAUAAUGAAAUCAACUUAAGACAUAAUCAACACUAGCUACUACGAAUAUUCGAUAAUUCUGUUAAAAAGUUGCUAAUCCCAGGUAUAUAUAUAACUAAUUAUCCAUUUUAAAUAAAUAAUAAAACCUUAUAUUAACAUUAAAAUCAUGUCAAAAUUAAUUUUUUAACUGUAAAUAUUGGAUUAUAUGACCUUAGAAGAAAAAAAAAUUGACGUUACGGAUUAUUUGGUUAAGCUAUAUUUAAUAUUAAUGGGUCUAACAAAUAUAUAGAAUAGAGUAUAAAUAUAAUGAAAGAAAAAUAGAAAUAAUAGGUUUUUGAUUCAUGGUUCGUGUAUGGUUAUGUGUGCAGCACAAGGAUCAGUCACGUGGAAAUGGAAUCAAAUUAAGAAAAGUAUGAUAUAUUUAUAAUAAAUAAAUAAGUGCAUCUAGAAGUUUAGAUAUGAAUAUCUUGUUACUUAAUUAAUACACAUUUUUAAUAACUUUUUCUUUUUUUGAAAACUUGAAAAGCCGCCAUUUUUUCAUUUGUUUAUUCACACUGUACAAAUGUUGCAGCAGAUUUCAGAAGACUUUGUUUUACUUACGUCAUGUAUAAGCUGUACACAGUUCUCAUUUAUUAUACGGUAAGCGAAAAUAAAAAAAAUAAAUUAUAGAUUUUUUGUCAUUUUUUAUAUAUUAUUGUAACAUCGAAUAUAAAUAUAAAUCUAUCAUAAAUGAAGAAUUUGUCUACUUUUAUAAUAUUUUUUAUUACUUUAAUUUUUAUAUUGUUAGAUUCUUAUUUUACUUUUGCAAAUUUCUCGCAGUAAUUCAUAGGAAGCAAAUUUUCUGUAUAUUUUUUUUUUAUUAAAUUUGAUAAAGUUCCAAAAAGUAUCAGUUGAAACAUUAUCAUAAAAAUAAAAAUAAAAAUUAUAGCAAUGCAUAGAAACACUCUUCUUAAAAUAGUUGCAUGAAUAAGAGAAGUUUUAUUAUAGUAUUUGUUUUUAAUUUAAUAUACUUUAGAGAUAAAGGAAUAGAUAAAGUUAAACGAAUUAAAUUGAAAGAUUUCGUUGAACUUCUUCUAUGAAAAUUUCCCCAAAACAAUUAUAUAUAGGUUUGUCUCUUCCUUAGAACAAUAGCAUCAUUAUGUUCAUCAGUAAACUUGUCGAAAAAAUCAAAUAGAAUUAAAACAUCUUUUGACGUAGGUUAUAUCAAUCACUACAAUAAGUUGUAAAGAUUAUAUUAAUUCUUUACGGAAAAAGUGAAAUUCUAUAAGAGAGAACUAAGUGAAAGGCUUUAAAAUCUCUUACUAACUAAGAAAUUACACAACAUAUAGAUUACUAAUCACAACAUAUAGAUUUAUAUUAAUAUUAAAUGAUUAUUUAAAACCCUUUUUCCAAAUGAUAUUUGAAUCACAUUUAUCUUAAAGAAAAAAGUGUGCUUGCUUGUUCUUUAAAUAGAAAACUGAAUUUUCAUAAUAAAUCAAAGAUUAAUUCAAUCAUUUAUUUAUAUUUGUUAUCAUUGUAAUAAGUAUAUAUUAUAUAUGGUCCGACUCUUAUGGUUAUUUGAUACUUUUAAUAAAUAUGAAUUACUUUAUUUUAUCAUGAGGCUAAUUAGGGCCAAAAACAUCUUAAUCGUGAUUAGCAGCAUUUUAUCAUUAAUCUCCGGCGAGCAAGCUCAUUGUCUAGCAUUUGCUGUAGGUUUACGUAAUGACUCUGUAAGUAAACAUAUGUUGUAGUUCCUGUAUGCCAUUAGUAUUUAGUAGUAUUGAGUUUUUUAAAUAUGUUUUAAUUUACCACUUUCAUAUAAAAACGCAUUACUUGUUAAUUAAUUACGAUUUGCUAUUAAGUAAUGUUAUAAAAUAUUAUUAUUGACUUAAAGGUUCUAAAUUCAAUCCACAAUUGAAUUAAACAUGUUGAAUUUUCUAUCUCCAAUUACAUAUAUUCCUAUAUGAAUUAAAGAUUAAAAAUUAAAAAUAAAUAAAUCUCAUUAUAUUUCAAAUACGGCAGCCAACUGACUAUAAUUAAGUGCACUUUACUUGAAUUGCAUCUCUAACAACAUUUAAGCAUCAAAUAUUUAAAAAAUUAAACAGAAACUGAGAGUGACCACAAUGAGAAUGAAAAUGACUCUGUCUUUUUUUUUUCUUUCUUUCAAAGUAUUAAAAAGCAAUUUUCCCACAUAAUACUCCGAGGAAGAUACGAAGCCAAACACUGUGUUGGUCGUGAUUGUUGUCUCACACACAUCAUAGUACCAUUUCUGGUCAAAGAUCAUUGCUUAUUUUUCAUUAUUUCUCAAAAGCAGCCAUAUAUAUAAUAUGGAAUAAAUAAAUAAAUAAAUCGUACGUGCUGAUAUCACGGUGUUAUCAACAUUGGACACGUGUGUUUGUUUUUUCCACCUACCAUGGAUUUUUUAUAUAAAAUGUUACAAUUUUAGAGUGUUAAUUUCUCACUUAUAUAUUUGCUGAAUUGCGAAGACAAGUUCAAAGCAUUCAAACACAAUCUAAUCUUCAAAUUGAAGCUAUUCAAAGCAAGAAAAUGGAGAUACUAUUUCCCAAGGCAACGUACGGUGGCAUAAAGAGGUACCUGAGACGGCAGCGCUACCGGCGUCUCCACGGUGGCGCGGCCACCGGAAGGAGGAAGAUGGCGAUAAUCCAAUUGAGAGGUCCACGGAGGCAUUGGAGGUUGAGAACGAGUGGAAGGCUUAGAUGGUUGAUGAUAUCGCCAUUGAAGAUGUUGGCAAAGCUGAAGAAUGUUUACAUGAACUUGAUGCUGAAGAUGGCAGGGAGCACACGUGCUAUAAACAGUGAUAAGAUUUUCGGUGUUAAACGGAUUCCAAACCCUCGCCAGGUGUCAAAGAAAUAUGCAUGUGAUGAAUUUGAGGCCAGAAUCCUUUUUGAGAUUUCUAAGACCUUAGUGCCUUCCUAUGAACUUCAUCCCAUGUAAUUAAUUUUGAUAUAAUCAAUAAUGUUUACUUAUUGUACAAGCUGUAAAAAUAAUAGUUUUAAAAUUUCUUUUAUAUAAAAACUAAAAUGAAUAAAUAAAAUAUAAAAAGAGAGUUUUAGUAUACCCAAACCUACGAGUUAGAAAAUCCUAUCCAACCGCAGCCGCAGCGAACACUGAAAGAAAGCAAAGAAAUGGAAACCAAAGCUGAUGCUGAAUCUUUCUGGACUUGGAAUGCCGACAAGAACGCCAACCAAAAACAAUUCUCUGUUACGAAGUUCCUAGGAAACAACAAUAAAACUCCCAAAGCUCAAACAUCAGUGUUGGGUCCUGGCUUCGGAGCUGGCAUCGGAUGCGGCGCCGGAAUAGGUUUGGGUUUGGUUGGUGGGUUGGGGUUCGGAGGCUGGCCGCCCUUCAACCACCUCCACCUGGUUUUUGGCCUGGGAAUGGGUUGUGGAGUUGGUGUUGGCUUCGGCUUCGGCCAAGGCAUUGGAUACGAUUUUAGUUUCCAGACUCGUAAGUCUAGAAAGUCCAACAAAAGAUUUUCAGAUCCCCACAAAACAGUUGUUAUUCAGAUUUGAUUAUAUUCUUUUUCUUCUUCCAAUGUUUAUUGUUCAUUCUUGAAAAUUGACACCUUUCAUUGGUUGUCUGCGUAGGCUAUUCACAAUAUCAGAUGCUUUAUUUGAUUUGGCUUAGUUCAUGAAAUAACAAUCACAUCAUCAAAGUCGACAUUUUCUACUUGCAUACUAUCAACAUUUGAAUACACAGCUUAUAUAUGUACUGCUGAUGUUUUUUUUUUUUUUUUUUUUCUGUGAUGUAAACUAUGAUUGAAUGAAUUGGCAUUCCAGGAGAGACACUUGAAGAGAUUUCCUAUUUUCUUAUGUCAACAUAUUCACAAAUAGAGAAAGAACAGAUGAUUUGUCCCGAACAUGAUUCUUACAAACAAAUAUUCUUCAAAGUUUUUUAUAAACUCUUGACUAACCCAGUAAACACUUUUUUCAGCAAAAUGUGGUAGUUCUAGAUCCUGGUUAAAAUUCUAGGAUAUGAACAGGGAUCUAAUUUACAAAGAGUAGGAUCAUUAGAUUUAGAUGGUACACACUUUAUCCUCUUCCAGAUUCAAUGUCAUUCAGUGUUGCAUUACGAUCCNGUGAUAAAGAUAGCCCCAUAUACCCAUGGCAACCUUCUUGACCCUCCUCACUCUCAGCCUGAACCUCUGUUAACUGUGCAUGACCAGAAUUUGGAACAUUAGGAACUUGGGUCAUUUGUCGUGAUUCUUCCAACAUCCUAAAGUAUGCAUAAGGACCCCAGCCUGCACAGGAAAAUAAUAUAUAUCUAGAACAUCAAAAAGGUUGACAGCAUGCUUCUUAAAGGAAACAAAUAUAUGAACUUGGGCUAAUUUUUAACAGGAAUUAUUUAUGGAAAGCGAGCUCUGUAAUAGAAUCAGCUUUGAAGCAAACCUUCAGAAUGAUAAGGAGGCGGAAAAAACUGCAAAUAGCAAAAUGUAGACACUGUAAGCCCUGAAAGAAGAAAUAUUGUUGAGUGAGUAAAGUGCCAGAAACAGUUGAAAGUAGUUCUCGAGGCUUAAUUUAGAACUAACUGAGAUACUUAGGGUGGACCAACCUAAAAGGCCUCCCGCAAACACAUCCUGCCAGUGGUGCCAGUAGUCAUCGACUCGAGAAAUGCCAACAAGUGAUGCAAAAAGUAGUGGCAGAAAAAUAAUGCAGAGUUUUGCAACAUGACCUCUGCGAUCAAAUGCUUUUAUUUUCCCAGAUAAGUACAGUGAUAAAAAUCCCAGACCAGAAAAUGACCCUGCAAAUAAAUUGAAACUAUUCAAAGCAAAGAACUACAGAAAUUUGAGAACACAUGCUUUGGAUGAGCUAUACUAAUUCCACCCAUUCAUUUCUAUCAAAACAUAGAAGUUAUGACCAUGACAAAAACCAGUCUUAGUGUAAACCUAUGCAAAACAGCACAUUAAAUACAUGCUACAUACAUGAAGUAUGGCCGCUUGGGAAACUCUUAUAUCCUUCCUUUACGACCUCUUUUUCACCAUGACAGAUGACAUCUCCCCAUUUAUCAUAAACCUAAUAAAAAGCUAUAUUUUAGAGUAAACAUAAUUGACAAAUUUUAAUUGAAAGACUAAAAUUAAGAGAAAACAUACAUCCUUUCCAUCUGGAAAACAUCGCCAGAAGAAGUCUGGUCGAGGUCGACCUACUGCAUUUUUUAUUGCCUCAGUAAUUACUGCUGUUAUUAAAAGAGAGAACAAUAGACCUGUUCCAGCAAACAAUCUCCUUAGCAAACAGAAUAUGCUUGUUAGUAAUUGAAUGAACGAGGGGUAUUUAAAGACUAAUAUAAUAAUACCCAGCACAGCAUGAUGAAGGUCAUAGACAUCUCUCCUUCGGAUGUAGACAACAAGAAAGAUCACUAUAGGCAAUAAAACUGCAUACAUCUAACCAUGACAAGAUAAUCUUGUUAAUGCUGUUAUUUGAAGGAAAAAAAAAUCACGUUAUAUAUCUGAAGCAGUUAACUUACGGGAAUGGACCAAACAGGAACCGUAUUACUCUUCAGGGGAUAUCUGAGAUCAGUCAUCAUAUCCUUCCCAACAAAGCGAUGGAACGGCUGGACAACUAAUAGGCCGAUAACAACCAACACGAGGAGCAGGAGAAUGAGCCAAUCAUGUUUGUGUGUUCUCGCAACUGCAUAUCCAUGAGAGCUCACAGUAUGUGAACCAAGUUGAACUUCCCUCGUUCUGAAAUCCUACAGCUCAUAAAAACCACAAUUGAGAUUAGGAGUGGUCGGAAAAGGUGAUGUUCAAUUCUUCACACUUAAUAUAAGAAAGCAAACAACCAAUUUUAGCAAGAGUCAUCCCUAGUAAAUUUACAUUCUGUGUAUCUUAAUAUAUUGAUAAUUCAAGGGUCAAGCGUAAUGAAAGUGACAGCCUAGUAGAUAUGUGCAUCAAAAUAGUGCGAAGUAGAGCAUUUAAAGAAAAGACAGAAGUCAAGCAGUUCAUCGGCAAAGAGUCCUAGUUCCGCAAGAAAAUACAGUAUAAAUAUAUGAUGCAAUUAGAUGGGGGAAUCCCUUCUCUAAUAAAAUCAAUAAGCAUUUUGCUUAACAUAUAUCUCUGUAGCAAGGAGCUCAAAAAGCAUCAUGAACAGCCAGACUCAACACAAGAUGGUCAUUUGCAGCAGUUUUAAACUGCGGACAGAAUGAUGUACCGAGAAGAAGUCGUUAAAUGCCAGAUAUACAGAUAUAUGAGAAUCAGUAUUCCUAUUCUCAAAUGAUCAUUAAAUUGUUUGUCAAUCCAUCCACCUCAACCGGGGCCUAGCCCAAAAACCCUCCUUUAGUUAUUAAGAAAAAUCUUAUUAAAUUGUAUACCUCUUCAUUCUUUUUGUCUAUCAAUGGAAAAUUAAUGGAUGAAAAGUGAGCACCAGAAACAGCAGAGAUUCCGAGCCUCCUGCUUGAUAAAUCCUAGGUAACUCCAAGGAAAGCAUUAUCAGGGACAAAUACCAUGAAAAUACCCUGAUUUGCUUUGUUUCUCUUGAAACUUUUGGCCUCUCUUUUUAUUGCGAUUUCAUAGACAGAAGGGAUAUACAUUAAAGUUAAACAAAGCUGCAAAACAUCCAAAUUAGGAACCUAGAGAAUCCUACGAGUAACAAAUAAAACAUCUUAAAUGUGACUGAAAUUUUAAGUCUAUUCAGCAGAAAUGCCAAAAUCUAUGGUUACAUAUAUGCAAAAGCGUUUGAUCAUCACAAGAAUGUAAAUACCAAUCAAACACAAAGGACCAGAAGUUUAGGAUUCUAGAAAAUCAGCACAAAAAAAAAAAAUUGAAUUUAAUGUACAACAGUAAUAGUAAGCUUCAAACACAAGCCGACCACUAAAAAAAAGAUCAUACAGCUUGCUUAAACAUAAACGAACCAGAAAGCACAUUGAAACUAUCCUAAAGAAAAUAAAGGGAUUAAGAGAGGAUAAACAAUUGGAUUGCAUGAAAGAAAUAGAUAAGUUCAAGAGUUAAGAGCUGAACCCAAGAAUUCAUUUAUGAAAUCAACCGCAGUAAAUUAAAAGAACCGACAUGAUUAAAAAAGAUGUUUGCCAAAAAUAUGACGUUUUUUUUACCAAGUCUGCUAUGAAAUAUCAGCCCGUAUGUUCAGCACAAAACAGGGCAAAAACUUUCCAAAAAGAAGCAAACAAACAUUAAUACAUGGGCAUGGACAUGGCUAUGACCAUAAAUAGUACUUAUAAAUAGUAGAUAAAUAAAUAUAUCUAAAUAAAUAGAUGUUCUGCUUUGGGAGAAAACAUUAUGCGACGUCUUAACCUGGUAGUAAAAAACAGCAAGAAUGUGUACAUAUAACUCGAUUUCUGCUCGAGAAGGGAGGAUAAAAGCUUUACAAAGAUGAACAUUACCUUGAUCUUGAGGCAUCAAGUAAAUAGUACAGAAGAUCGAUUAUCACACAGAUCCAUCCAUCCAUUCAUUACUUAAACAACAUUAACAAAGCUUCAAAAGCUUAAUUUUAAAGUUUGAAAAAACAAUCAACAUACAAUAGAAUCAGCGUGUGUAUGGCAGGGAAGAAGAACAUAGUUGAAAAAAUUUGAAAGCGCUGACCUGAAAGCGUGUCCUAAUAGACUGAAAACGAAAGAAGGGUCUUAAAUCCCACCAAGAAGCCAUUUUGUGAAGCAACGAAAAACCAUUCAAAGAAAUAGACAGACAGCAAGAUUGGGAGUUUGAAAUAAGAGCUUAAAAAGAAGAAAAAAGUGAAGGGGUUGCAGAGAAUAAUAGCAUAUCCAACAUGGAAAAGAAGUGGGGAAUUUCAAUUUCAAUUAGUUUCCACACGGGAAAAGAUGCAGUGUGAGAGAAACUGGGUUAGGUCAUUCUCAUUCACACUGAUUAUGCAAAUUACUGGUAUUCGCUAGACGUGAUCUGAUGAAAAAGACAAGAAAACGAAGGCAGUGAGAAGUUAUUGUGCCUCCUAAAUUAUUGCAUUUUUUGUUUAAAUUAACUUGUACAAAUCGCAAAUAACGUUAAUUAAUCUUCCUUUUGGAGAUUAAAACGUGUAAUUGUCUGUUUAUUCUUCUUUGUUACUGUGAAACAUUGUAAUUUGAUGGUCUUAAAGAUAAUUAUGACUAUUCACUCUUUGUUACUCACCAUACUACACACUUUUUAAGGAGUUUCUUAACCUAAACAAGUUACCUUAUCAAUCAAUUACAGAAUGAAUUUUCAUAUAUUGGUUUUUAGACGUUAUCAAUCAAAAUUACAAGAAAAAGAAUAAUUUUUUAUUAAUUUUUCGACCGUUUGAUCAAUAUUUAACUGUGUAGUUAACUUUUUUGUAACCAUAAUUAAUUUUUGAAGAUGGAGUCAUUAUUAUUAGAUAAGUAUUUACUGACAUAUCAACCACUACGUAACUAGGAUUAUAAAUUAAUUAUGUUUAUGUAUUAUUUAGCUGUAAUUAAAUAUAUGUUGAUUAAAAAUGCAAUCUAAAACUUACAAAUAAGAAUUUAAAAUAAAAAAAAAAGAUAAAUAAUUGUAUUUAUUAUUUUAUUAAUGAUUGAUUCUAAAAAUCAAACAAUUAACUGAGAAGGUGUUUGAAAUUUUGGUAAUGAAUACAAUUGAUCUUGAAUCCAUUUAUUUUUUUAUAAUUUUCUAUUUUUAAAGUUAAUGAAAGUUUUGGGUUUUAGACAUAUCAUUUUACUCGUUACAUUCAAAAAAAUUAUAUAAAGAAGUUAAGUUUACUGCGAUACUUAAUUAUGUGUUUGAUAUCGCGAUUUUUUAGAUGUAAUAUUCUUUAUCCUAAAAAAUAAAUUUAUUAUUUUAGAUAAAUUUAGAGAUGAACAACAGAUUGUUAAAUUUAGUAAAGCUAACUUUUUUCAGUGAAAUUUCUUCACCCACCCUUUAUUCUCAGCAAUAAAUACGAACUUUUUGAACGAUAGAUAGAAAGCCUUUAUUAAAAUUUUGGGGACCAGAGAAAACACAUUGCUUGUGGGCCACUUAAAUUUUAAAGCAUUGGAAUAAACUAAUUAAAAAAGUGAAUAACCAAAAAUUCAUAUUAAAUACUUCUAAAAAAAUAGAAAAAAUAAAGAGUUGAUUUUAAUAUUAUCCCACUAUUCAAUAUAACAAGUGGGUCUUUUAAGUAUGCAUAAACUUAAGAUACCAAAUCAAGUUAAAUUCAUUCAUUAAAAAAAACUAUUUCAUUGUAAUAAUUUCAAAAAAGUGUUUUAAAUUUAACUUUGUAAAAAUUAGUUUAUAAGAUAAAAUUCAAUUUAUUUAUGUAUAUUUAUACUUUUGUAGCAUUGUUUAGUAUAGAAUCUCCAAUGGAAAAAAAAAAAAAAACUUUGCAAUCAUAACUUUCAACGUUUUAUAACCCAGUUGUACUUGUAAGAAAUUCAUUGCUAGAACUAUUUUCUGAUCAAAUUUGUCUGUGAAUUUGAAGUUUCAACUAUCACAGGCAUGUAAUUUGAUUGUACAUCAAUGAUAAUCUCUAAUAUUCUUAUGAUUAAAGAGACUAGCAGUCCAAAUAUCAUCAAACAUGCACCAAUCAUCAGUUAUUUUGUAGAAUUUCAAAAUAAAAAAGUGUUUUGGUAGUAAAAUCCUUUAUCCUUGAUAUGGAUAUGGAUAGAACAAUGAUGAGAAACACUUGAGUCAUAUGGAAUGAUACUGUGAAAAGAGAAGAAGUGACACACUGAGAAAAUGAGCACUGUGAUGUGAAUUACAUAUGCCGGUGACUAAUAGACACAAACACUCUUCUCUGCUUCUAUUUUGAUUCACUAUGUAUUCCUACUGUUUCUCUUGCGUCUGAAAAACUUUGUCAAAUUUGGUAUUACCUUCUUUCUCUUCUUGAUGGUAAAAGGACUGAUAAGCCGAACUGCAGGAGAAGGAUUCUUCUGAAACUUUGUUCCUCUUGCAGGAGUAAUAGUGCCAUUGAGUUUGAUGCUUUUUCUAGACAUGGCUCUUGGGAAGUUCUUGGAUGAACUCUUCUCUCGUUUUCUUGACCAAUUCUCAAACUCCUCAUUACUCACUCUUCUUGAAACCAACCUCUCUUUGGUGUAAACCUUCAGCUCUUGUUCCAGUUUUGUUUCUUUCAGUUCUCUCUGAGCUAUUUUUGUUUCCAUCAGUAUUUCCUUCUCACUGGCCUUCAGAGCUACAAUCCAUGCUUCAGCUGCUGCUACUUUUUUAUCAGCAACUUCUUCUGCUGAAGCUGCAUGAUUUUUCAGAUACUCGUACUCAAAUUUUGAGAUGGUAAUCAAGGAACUAUGCUGUGCUGUCAAAGCUCUUUCUCUCAUGGUAGUUUCAGCAAGAGUUUUGAGCUUCUCUAGGGCUAGAGAUUCAGAAGCUUUGGCUACUUCUAGCUCUUGCAUGACACCUUGCAAUCUUUCCUCAGUCAUGUCUAUUUCAAACUCAACUUUUUUAAUCUCUUCCUUGGUGGCUGUGACCUCUUGGCUUAUGUGCUGAUUUUCCUUUCUUGCUUCUUCUGUUUCUGUCUUGAGUUUUUCAAGAGUAUGAGACAGACUCGUGACUAUGGAUCUGGCCUUUACUUCUGCAGCAGACACAGCUUCUAAUUUAGAAUUCGCUCUCAAUAUCUUUGAAUUGAGAACUUGAAUUGUUGAAUCCGCUUUCCCUUCAUUCUUCCUUAAUCUGUCUGUUUCAGCAGUGACAUGCUUAAGCUCGUUUCUGAUGACAUCCAUAGAGGCCAUAAACUGAAAACCUUCUUCUUUAACCAAAGCUAAUUCUUUCCUCGCUGCUUCCAAUUCUUCUGUUACAGUCUGUAACACUAUAGCGUCCUCUGAUUCCUCCACUUCCCUGAAACUUUCUUCCAAGUGCUUCACACUCCCAUCUCCUUGAACCCUUUUCUCCAUUUCUUUAGCUGACUCCAACUCAUUCAGCAAGAGAUCAACAUCUGAUAAUGUUACAGCCAAUUUAAUAUCAAGCUCCUUUGACUCAUCAAUCUCUUCAGUGGCAUCUUUCAACUUUUUCCUUGCGCUUUCCAAUUUGAUAGAAAAUUCUUUUGCUUCCUGUUCUCUCAGGGCUUCAAUAUCUGCCAGUUCUUUCAAAGCCUCAAUCCUUGCCAGUUCAGCAAGUACUUGUUCCUCAUUGGCCUCCUCAAUCUCCUUUCUCAGUUCUUCUGCAGUUGUUAAACACGACAGCAUCUUCGAGUUUGACGCUUCGAUUUCCUUCUCUGCACGCGAUUUUUCUUCCAAUAUAGAAGCCACAUCAAGCUUAAGCUUGAACAAUUCCUUCUUGAGAUAUUCCAACUCUCUCAUGACCUCUUCAUACUCAUAAUUCUCAUUCCUCUUUGCAACAACCAUAACCCCAUGUUGUUCCUUCUCCCUCUUCUUUAGCCUUUCUACAUCUCUCCUUUGUGUUUUUGCAUUGAAACUUGACUCCUCAAUCAUACAAGAAAGAUGUUUCACUGUCUUUUUCGCAUUCGAAAGCUCAGAUUCCGCACGCGCUUUUGCAGACUCUGCCGUCCAUUUACUCUCUUUGUACCUCCCAAUAUCCCAUUUUGCUCUUUGGAGUUCCCUUGUUCUUGAAGAGGGCCUCUGAGAAUCACGUGAAUGAAAAAUGAAAGAAAAUAAACAAAGAUUUAACCGGAGAAUGCCUCAAUAAUUCACAAAUUUCAAGCUUCUGUUCUCUGGAGCUGAACAUACCUUAUCAUCAUAGAAGUUAACAGCAGCUUUAACUGAUCCAACACUACUGCUACCAAGCUCUGCACCAUCCAUCUGCUAUUCCCAAGGUAUUAGCGAAUUUUGCCAACGCUAUAUGCUUAAUUCAGAUGAUCAUAACUGUUCAUUUUCAGUUCAUAAUUUAAGAAACACCAACAUAAAACAAAUUCUUCCUGUUACCAAAACCAGGAGUCACUAUGUGACAUGUAAACAGCAAUACAGAAAAAUAUAACGAAGGAAGAAAGUGCAGCAUACCUGAGGCUGUGCUUGUUGGUUGGUUUGGUGAAAAACUAAAAUGUAAGGCAAAUGUUGUGGCUGAGAAUUCUGGGCUCAAAUGGCCAAACCAAAGAUCGUGAGUAACAAGACGAUGGAGGGAGUAUCGAUGACUGGCUGGUAUUGGAAUUGGACACAUCGCUUCUGGUCGCUUUCUUGUUUCUUUAUAGAUUUUUUCUGGUUACAUUUUCAGGUCUGGGACCACGAACUUUUCAUCUUUUUAUCAAUUACAAUUACUUGGUUAAGAAUAGUUAAACUUUUGAAGUAUGUCUUUUUAGGACAACUUAUUUAUAUAUUAAGUUUAUUUUUGAUGAAGAUAAAAUUUAAAUGAAAGCCGUCGAAGACAUUCAACAACAUUGAAGGUGAACAAAACAACAAUCUGAAACGAAACAGUUUUACUUUUUGUCAUAGCUUUGGAAUGUCCUUGUAGCAAUCAAUCACACCCACACUUUCUAAAGUUGUUUCUUUCUGUAUACUAAACAAGUGUAUAUAAAAGCCUUGCCACAAUAAAUCAUUGGCCAAGUAUUGGCCACAUCUUCAAAUGCCACACCAUCAAACUUGGUCAAGAUCAAUAUUUUAAGGUAGCUUGUCCCAUCCAACACAACACGUUUAGUAUUAUUGGAAUAAAUUGGGUAUCAUCUAAUUAUUUAUGGUAGUUUAGUAACCUUAGUAUAUAUAAAUAAUACUAUAUACUAAGUUUAUAAACAAAAAUCUACAAUAGAAAUGGUAAAUGACUUUAUACGUAGUUCAGAGAAUGACCACUUGUUAGGAUCGACAAACUAGUCUUUCUUUUUAAACUACAGUAUAUUGACACCAACAAAAUAUUCUGUGAGAAAUAAAUGCCAUAAUUGUCAUGGUUCUGAACUUUUAAUCUGUACAAUGAUAGAUUAUUAUUUUCGUAUAUACAGAACAUAUGUUUGGUUAAUCAUUAUUUCUUAGGAAAUUAAUUCAAUAUUUUAUCUAGAAAGGUUAAGCAAACAGAUAAUGUAUGUAUUAUAAGUUUCUUUAACGUUAGAAUUUGAAAUAUCAAUCAAUUUAUUUAUUUAUUUUUUAUUUAUUUAUUUUUAUUUUUUUAAUUUUUUUUAUCAGUUCACGCUUACGCUGGUUGAGCAAAAUAAAAAGAAAAAUAAACACGUGAGAUUUCGGCGCGGUAGCACAGUGUUGAAAGUUGAAAGCAGGACACGAUCUGAGUCACAGUGUGGUGUUCAAUUGAAUGGCCUCAGAUCAGAGAGUGAGCGAUUGAGAGAGGGUUUUGAUCUGAGGAAUUGGGAAGAAGGAGAAAAUGGACGUGGAAAGAUCGUCGCUGUGCAAUUGCGUGGUGAACUUUCUGUUGGAGGAGAAUUACGUUCUCACGGCAUUCGAGCUUCUUCACGAGCUUCUCGACGACGGCCGAGACGACCAAGCCAUUCGCCUCAAACAGUACUUCUCCGAUCCCUCUCUCUUCCCUCCCGAUCUCAUCUCUCGCCUCAGCUCUCUCCGAGGUUGUUUUUCGCUCUUUUCAAUUUGCUCUAAAUGAAUUCUGUAAGGCACACACCUUCACUGCUGCAAUUUACGUUUUCUGAUUGCCGGCUCGUUCUGCUGCUGGUAAACUAUAGGAAUAUGUAUGUGUGUAUGCACGUAUGGAUGGAUUAUUAUCUCAUUCUAGUGAAUGAUAUGUCUUUUGUGCUUGUGGAAUUUUUCGAGAGUUAGAAUAGAUCUUUAAAACUGAAAACAAUGAUAUGCGUGGUUGAUUAGAAGAGAGUUUUAAUUUGGAAUUGAGGAAACAGAAGUAGAGGUCAAGAAUAAUUGCGGUCUUUUUUGUGGGAGAUUAGAAUACUAAUUAAGUCAUUCUCGAGUACAUGUGACAUUUAGGUAUGGAUUAAAUUGGUAUAUCGAAUGUACCGGUUCAUUUUAUGCGAAAUACACUUUUGAUUUCGUUAAUAUGGACUUUGGUUUUGUCUAUUGUGCAAUAUACGGGGAGUUGAGCUCCGUAAAGCAUAUAUAUUCUAUCCAUUACUUAUGAGCUAUGAUAUACUGUCUUCUUGAUUUUCAUUCUUGCAAUGCAGUGGCUGAUGCUCAAACUUUGUUGGAAGAGAAAGAAGCAGCAGUAGAAAAGUUAGCUAUCAGUGAUUAUGAAUUGCGUUUGGCUCAAGAAGACAUCUUAAAACUCAGGAGUGAGUUGCAGAAGAAGGCAGAAAACCUUAAUGAACUAAAUGGUAUUUUUUUUUUCUUUUCAAGAUAUUGAUUAUUUUUAAGUUUUGUUAUUGAACUGGCCUUCAAUGUCAUACAUUCCUUACAUUAAAAUAUGUAUGAUUCUGUUGGUUGCCUUUACUUAUGACAGUUUUUUGACUUCUCACCAUCUUCCACUAAUAACACGAUUUGGCAUGGAGAGAGUAUUCAAUGAAGUUACUUAAAAAUUUGUUUUCAUAUUGUGUAAGAAAUGGUAGUCUGCAUUCAAAAGGUUGUAGAUGACAAGUGGAACAAAGAAUAGUGGGCUGGUGCAAGUUUUGGAAGAACUAAUGAAGUUAUCGCAAGACUGAGUGACUUGCAGUUACCUACAUUUAAAUCUGUUGCAAAUAAUACUGCUACAUUACUGAGUAUCAAUUCUAAUUUAAUUUUUGUUAAUAUCUUCUCAAAAUCAAUAUUUUGCAGAAACAAACCCAUUUAUAGUUUGUUGACACCCACUACAUUUAGUCUUAUAAGGCAAUUUGGCUUUGUAGGAGAUAUCUUGCACGCUACAUCCAGCUCUUCUUUAUUUCUCCUCUUUUGUAAAUUCUUCUUUUUUGUUAAAAUAUAGUAUAGCUCGAAAUACUUGAGAUUUUCUCUUAAUUUAUUCUUCAAUGCUUUUCUUUUUUGAAGCAGCUGCUACAUUAAGUGGAGAUGUUUCAGUGAAUGGUGGGCAGAAAAUUGAACAAAAGAAGAAAUCUUUCUUCACCGAUUUGGGUCCAUUAAAAGAAACAGAACGUCAAGAUCUUAACUGUGCUGUAAAGGAGUAUUUGCUUUUAGCUGGAUACCGUCUUACUGCAAUGACAUUUUAUGAAGAGGUUGGCAUUAUCUUGCCCCCCUCUGUGAUUUUGUGAUUCCCCCAAUAUGUUUUUUCUUGUUUUCUUUUCGUAGGAUUUCAGUUUUGGACAUUUUUGGUUUGUAAUUGGGAAAUAAAGUGGUGGCACUGGCAGCAACGGUAGUUGCUUUGUUAUGGACCAUGAGGCAUGAGGAAUUAGUCUCAGUCACAUCAUGAAUUAAAAUGAUGGUUCUACACUAAACUUUUCCUAUUAAACUUAACCAACGGGUAUAAAAAUCAGAGGGCAGCAGUCUUAUCCAUAUGCUAUAUAAGGGAAUAAAAUGAAACCCAUAAGUAACUUGAAGCGACUAGCUAGAUGAGGUUGCAAUUUCAUUGAGAUUUAUGGGUCCUGUUUUAUUUUCUUUCGGUUUUAUGAUGGAAUAUUUUUGUCAUUUUAUCUCCUUUUCAUUGAAUAUCCUGCUUUAUCUGUGCUGUUUCCCCCAAGAAACUAAAACGGAAGCUAAAGGAGAUUUGUGUUCUUUUUUUUAUGUUCCUUCAAGAUGUGUCCAACAAUAAUGUGUUAUGAUAUAUUCCUUCAAAGACUUAAUGGCAAAGAAGAAGAGAGAUUUGGAAUAAUAAUAUAGGAUUGAUAUUGUGUGUGUGUGUGUGGUAUAUGUCAAAGAUCUUGUUGAAUUUAGAGAGGGAAGAAGGAGAAAGAAAGAAGAUGUUUUAUAGGGUACUCAACGAGAAUUUCUAAUUAUAUUUGGUGGACAUGUUUAUGAAAAGUCAGUAUGCCACAUUUUGUUUGCCUGGGCAUUUCUUAGGCCUAACUUUAGCACUAAUUUAAUCUGCUGUAACUGUUGCUGUAGGUUACAGAUCAGGAUUUGGACAAUUGGCACAACACACCAGCAUCUGUACCUGAUGCCUUACGGCAUUAUUAUUAUCACUAUCUUUCAUCAACAUCAGAGGCUGCUGAGGUAAUUUUUUUAAUUGUGAUUGUAUCAGAAUGUUUGUCAUUGCAUGCUAACUGGUGCUGAGAUUUUAAUCAAGAAAAAAUGAUGCUGAGAAAUUGUCUGACAUAUUUUAUGGCUAUGCUUUCUGCUUGACUUUUUAAUCUUAAGUUUUGUGGGUUUUAUAUCAUGUACCAUGAAUUUGUAGUUUUAUGUGUGCCUUUUCCUUCUUCUACAAUUAUGUUAGUUUCUGCUGAUGAUUGGUGUUUAAGUGAUAGGCCUUGUAUUAUUAGUUUAUGGUUAAAAUUAGUAUGAGUGGGGCAUGUGUUUACAACUCGCCUACUUAUUUUUAUGAUCUGUCAGUUUUGAAACUAUAAUCCAAACUUUAAAACUUGAGGUUUCAAACAUCUCAGGGUUUUCUUUAAUACAUGAAUUCUAUAUGUUAUCUGGUGUCGACCAACUAUCCCAAAUGCUGUUAGGUUUUCAAAGGUACAUGGUUGGUGUAACUUCUCAUCUAACUAGAUGAUUGAUUUUCAAGUUGAAUUGAUCAGUCUGCAUGGAUUUUAAAAUUUUGGCCGGACAUAUUUGAAAAUGUUGUUUGCCAUUAUCUACAGAUCUUUCAGUGAUGUUGGAACUGAGUUUACUAUGGAUUAAUAGAGAAAACCUCAGAACAGCAUUAUGAUUACGACGCCAAUAUGAUGAAAGUGUAGCAAUUGAUAAAGGAAACAAAAAUAGCAGGAACACAAGCCAAGAAAUUUCCCCUUUCCCAUUUCUCCCUUCUUCCCUUAUCACCCACAGCCACCAACUUUACCAACAUGCUUCUUGCACCUGUUGCCAAUCUGCAAGUUUGUUAUUGCUAAAAUAAAUCCAUUUUUAGCCCUCACCCGCAUAGGAAUGUCUAGCAGAUUUGUUUUGAUAAUUAUGACUUCUGAGGCUUGAUAAUCUUCUCUCCUUUUUUGUAGUCUCUUUUCUCUAAAGAACUAGUUCUGUAAAGACAUGUUUUUUAGAGGAAGUAUUUCAUUUGCAAUAAAAUUUAAUUUAAGAAUUCCUGCUCUUAGUAGGUGGAAUUUAUUCUCUUUAUAUUUUGGAGGCAUUGGUUAUUUUGAAUUGACUUUUAUUUGUUCUUUUAAGAUUUAGGUAAAUAUUUUUACCAAAUUAAUCCUAUAAUGUUCAUUGCAAGUCACUGUUUCUGCUGAAUCAAACAUGGAUGCUAAUGCAGGAAAAAUUUUCCCUACUUAGAGAAAAUGAAACGUUGCUGAAUGCAAAUAAGAGUCUAAAUCAAGAAAAUGAGAACUUGUCGAAGAACAAAGAUUUGGCCGAUGCUCAAAUAGUAACGUUAACUAAGUCCUUGGAUGCAAUGCAGAAGGAUCUUAAAGACAAAGAGAAGCAGGUAAUGCCUUCUUAUAUUUAAACGAAGCUUACAAACAAUAUCUAUAUUUUCAAAUAAAGAUAUUGAUAUAAUAAUUUAACUUUUCAGGUGCACGUUUUGAAGCAAUCCUUGGAGCACCAAAGAAAGGAACUCAAUGAUUGCAGAGCUGAGAUCACUUCCCUGAAAAUGCAUACGGAAGGGUCUCACUUGGGAAAUAAUCUAGUUGUCAGUGACACUGAUAAUGUUCAAUCUGAAUCUCUGGAGAAGUACAAGGAAGAAAUUAAGAAAUUGCUGAAGGAAAAUGAAUUGUUGAAGGAAAAAAACAUAAAAGCUCCUGAAUCUGAAAAUUUUGUUGGUUCUGAAAAUGGAAAUUUGAUGACUGAUGAUAAAGCAGUUGAGAUUCAUGAAGACCGAGGUGAAGUCUCUAACAGGGUUGAUGUGGAUUUGGGUGUUGAGCACAACGGAAAUGCUCAAUCACCAGUUGUUCAGACUCUUAAUCAGUAUGCCGAUAAACGUGAGGAUACAUUGCCUGAGCUAUUUCAUCCUGCAGAUACAAACAGUGUUGUUGAAAAUAUAAAAAACGUCUCUGAACAAAAUGUUGGACUACAAGCAGUGGAUAGCAGCUUACUUGUAAAACCAGACAGUGUGAAUGAUGAAGCAAUAUCCGAAAGGACAGUAAGUUCAUUGUACUCUUGAUUUGGGGAAAUCCUUAAACAUCAUUAAUUGGUUUCAUAUUGCUUACCUUUUUGAAUUAGUGAGCCUGAAUAAAUGAUGUUAAGUUUUGGUCAGGACGUAGGACUUGUUCAUGUUAAAAAGGGUGAACUAGGUAGCAAUACUGUUGCUGGUCUCCAUUGCCAGUUCUAUAGUGACUCUGAAAAUUAUUAAGAUAAAAAACCUCUCCCACUUUAUACAAAAAAAAUAAAAAGGAGGAAGAGUCAGGAUGACUAAAUUUUUACCGAAAGAGUUCUUUGACUAAGUUAUUAUGUAAUUUCAUUAUUUUUUUUCUUAUAUAUAUAUAUAUAUAUUUGAAUUUUAACAGGGUUUAGGAACCAUUCAGAUACUUGCAGAUGCUUUGCCAAAAAUUGUUCCUUAUGUCUUGAUCAACCAUAGAGAGGUUUGCUUCUUCUCCAUACCUUUAUUUAACUUAUUUACUGUACAAUAUUGGCUGCGUCAAUUUUCUUUGUUUGCAGGAGCUCCUUCCCCUAAUAAUGUGUGCAAUUGAGCGUCACCCAGAUAGCAGCACUCGAGAUUCUUUGACCCACACAUUGUUUAAUUUAAUAAAGCGUCCUGAUGAACAACAAAGACGAAUAAUAAUGGAUGUAUGUUGUGAUUUUUUCUUAAUUUGUUCCAAUGAAUGAUUGAGUGCAAUUUAGAAUUUAACUGUUGUUGUUUCAGGCAUGUGUCAGCCUUGCAAAAAAUGUUGGAGAGAUGAGAACAGAAACAGAAUUGCUUCCGCAGUGUUGGGAACAAGUAUAUUGUAGCCUCUAUUUUCAACCUACUCUUUGCCAUUCUGAAUUUGGAGCAAGGUUUUCAAUUUUUUAAUUAUUAUGAUUUUUAGAUCAGUCACACGUAUGAGGAGCGUAGACUGCUUGUUGCUCAAUCAUGUGGAGAGCUUGCAGAUUUUGUACGGCCAGAGAUUCGAGAUUCUCUUAUUUUAUCCAUUGUACAGCAACUAAUAGAAGAUUCUGCUAGUGUAGUUCGUGAGGCUGCUGCUCGUAAUCUGGCCAUGCUUCUUCCACUUUUCCCAAACAUAGAUAAAUAUUUCAAGGUCAGCCUCACUAUAUUUGCUUCGAGGCAAUCAUGGAGAAGGUUUCUGACUUGAGACUUGGCUACAAUGUAAGCUCUAGAACAGGUUGUCAAGACAUGGUCUAGGGAAUGGAGCCUUUUACCAUUACCAUAAUAUGACAUUAAUUUCUAAAAACAAAAAGAAUAAUAAUUAUAAUAAAGAUUAAAAGUUGCUCCAAGUCUGUAUUUUUUUCUGUAUAGGUGGAGGAUAUGAUGUUUCAAUUGGUGUGCGACCUAUCAGGAGUGGUGGUGGAAACAGCUCUUACGGAAUUGGUUCCUGCAGUUUUGAAGUGGGGAAACAAAUUAGAUCAUGUUUUGAGAGUUUUGCUUUCUCAUAUUACAAACUCUGCCCUGGUAUUUGUUUGACUUUGUAAUGUCAUUCCACCCUUGUUUCUAAGCAUUUCAUUCUUGAUUAGUACUAUUUUUCUAAAGUGGAAAUCAUUGCCCCAAUCUGCAGCGUUGCCCACCUCUUUCUGGGGUUGAAGGAUCUGUUGAGUCAAAUCUUCGUGUCUUGGGUGAAAGAGAACGCUGGAAUAUAGAUAUUCUUUUGAGAAUGCUGACAGAAUUGCUUGCUUUGGUGCACAAGAAAGUAAUUGAGACAUGCCCCUUUUCAUUCACUCCAGAAACGAACCAAGCUGUGCUGUCUACUGCUUUGCUUGAAUUGUAUGCUAGGUAAGCUUAGCUAGGAUGGCUCAUGCCAAUGACCUAUAGUCUUUAAGUCACAUCCUACCAUCUGAGUGAUUCAUGUUGAAAUCUUUAUGCUAUUAUGCAUUCUUCAGGACAUGCCUAGCACUUUUCCAUACACUGCUGAGGAUAAACUUUGUAUGACUGCACUGUCUAAACUGUUACUGAUCCUGAAUGGUUCCCAUUUUUGUUAGGGGGCAAGUUGAAUGGGAUGCCUUUGAAUGGAUGCAUGUUGAGUGUUUUCCUAAUUUGAUACAACUAGCGUGCCUGUUACCUCAGAAAGAAGAUAAUUUAAGAAGUCGAAUUUCAAAGGUCACUUACCUCUCUUUUGAAGUUUUAUAAUUAAUUAUUUUGUAAGACUUCUUAUCAAAGUUUGAUUAUAAUUAUAUCUGAGCUUUUACUUACAUUACUCAUUUUGAAUGCAGUUUCUGAUAGUUGUUUCUGAAAGUUUUGGGGAUUCCUAUAAUACAUGCAUAAUGCUACCAGUAUUUUUAAUAGCAAUUGGAGAUGAUGCUGAUUUAGCAUUUUUACCCACUUCCAUCCAUUCAAAAAUUAGAGGUAUUUGAUAAUUCAAUAUAUUUGUGAUUUUUUUGACAUAAUUACUAUGUAUUUGACUUUUCACUUGCAGGUUUGAGACCAAGAUCUGCUGUCGCCGCUAGGCUCUCUACAAUGUGUGUCCUUCCCCUUCUACUGGCUGGGGUUUUGGGUGCGCCUGGAAAACAUGAACAAUUAGCUAAAUAUUUGAGGAAGCUGCUACUUGAAGAUAAUUCCGUGCAUAAUCCAUCAGCCAAGCACAUUCCUGAGAUUGUUAAUGCUAUCCGCUUCAUUUGGUAAUAUUUUAGAACCAUAAACAUUCUUAAAAUUUAUUGUAUUGUUUUUCAACGCUCAUAAUGAGCAUUCUGUGUAAUGCAGCAUAUAUGAAGAAAACCAUGGAAUGAUAGUUAAUAUAUUAUGGGAGAUGGUUGUCAGCUCAAAUGCGAGCAUGAAAAUAAAUGCUGCUAAGCUAUUGAAAGUUAUUGUAAGCUUAUGCUUCCUUAACACCUGGUUGCAUCUCAUACAAUUGCCAAAACUUACACUGCGGUAUUCAUUCGCAGGUGCCAUACAUUGAUGCAAAGGUUGCUUCAACUCAUGUUUUGCCUGCCCUAGUUACUCUUGGAUCUGACCAAAAUCUAAAUGUUAAGUAUGCUAGCAUAGAUGCAUUUGGUGCUGUGGCUCAACACUUCAAAAAUGAGAUGGUAAUCAUUACUAAUAUUUCUCCCUGUUUUCUGAUUAAAUUAUGAUGUCAUGCUCCUCGUUUCAAAUUGCUGAUCAAAUAAAAUAUCUUCCAGAUUGUUGACAAGAUACGCGUUCAAAUGGAUGCUUUUCUUGAAGAUGGUUCCCAUGAAGCUACUAUUGCUGUUAUUCGCGCAUUGGUGGUUGCCGUUCCACAUACAACUGAAAGACUUAGAGAUUAUAUCCUUAACCUUGUUUCUAAAUAAAUUAUGGUUGGAAAAAGUGCUUGGUGUCAACCAUAGUCUCAUUUACCUAGUUUCUCGUAUUUUGUUGGCCUCCAAGAUCUCUGAAUUUUUGCUGUUUCUCUUUAACUUGACAUACAUCUUUUGUCCAAGAUUUCCCAACUUACAGCUACGCCAAACUCAGCAAGUGAUUUGAUGCGUCGGCGGGAGCGAGCCAAUGCAUUUUGUGAGGCAAUCCGAGCUCUCGAUGCUACAGGUUUCAUUUAAAAAUUCUACUAAUUUUUUGUCCACAAACACUGUUUAGCUAUUUUUAUUGUUGACAUAGUGUUUUACACCCUUGAGCUAGCAUACGACUUUCAAUUUUCCGUGGAAAAAUUGUUUUACUGAUUCUUUACAUCUCAUUGCUUGUCUUGUAGAUCUUCCUGCAAACGGUAUUCGGGAUUCCUUCCUGCCUGCUAUACAGAAUCUCUUGAAAGACCCAGAUGCACUGGAUCCAGCACACAAAGAAGCCCUUGAAAUUAUUAUGAAGGAAAGAUCAGGAGGAACUUUUGAGACUAUUAGUAAGGUGAUGGGUGCUCAUAUUGGCCUUCCAUCAUCAGUCACCAGCUUCUUUGGUGAGGGUGGGUUACUCGGAAAGAAAGAAACCGCAGAGCUAUCAUCAGAAGCUACCGUGUCUCCCAAAGCCGCUUCACCAUCGCCGGUAGAAGAUACUAGAUUUAAGCGCAUAAUGAUGGGAAAUUUCAGCGAGAUGCUUCGUGGCAAGGCAAAGGCUCCAGAAGAAGGUCACAAUCAAUAAGAUGUAUUUCUGCAUGCUAAUUUACAAACAACAACGAAGAUUUGUCCCAAUAGGUAAGAUUGACCACUGUUGUUUCCUAAAUAUUAAAACAAAAUAUUUUUCAGUCUUUUCUUUAGAUAGAAGAGGAAAAUAUAGAUAAAUAUUUUACUGCAGGAUUGUCGUAUUUUUGCUGUGUAAUGAUCUAUUAUGAAUUUAUUAGGCAUGUGUCAGGAACCAGAGAGAUUUGAAUGAGCACGCUAGAUUUGUGAAUUAUUCAAUGAAUUAUCGUAUGACUGAUGUUUAAUUUUGUACUGAUAUUUUAAGGAAUGGGAGAGAAAGAACAUUCUAAGAACUCAACUGGUUCUCUCGGCGUAUUGUUUGAUGUUAAUACACAAUGUUAGAAACAAUUUCACUUUAGUUUCUUUUUGUUGAACGAAUUGUGGUUAGAAGAACUUGUGACUCAUUGCGAAGCUGAUCCUAAUGAUAAUUGCGUUUAAGUUUGAACAACUCAAUUUGGUAAUGUAAUUUGGUGUCGGUUUAGCCUCCAAAACAGCCAAGAAAGAUGGCAAGAAGAAAAUGUAACUAAAACGUUAAUUAAACAUAAACAUCAAGAUAACUUUUUUUUAGAUUGGACAGUAUUUGCAAGGAUUUACAGUAUAUUCAAGUCAAAUAUUUUGCACUAGUUUUUAAUCGUGUAAGGAUAAAAAGACUGGUAUUUUUUAUAUUAUAUACAAUUUUAAUGUAUGAUAAUUAUUAAUUCAAAAAGUUAAAACAUAUUUUCUUAUUUUUAUCUUUACAGAUAAAACUUUUGUUUAUGAUAUACUCAACAUUUAUUUUAUAAUUAUUAAAUGUUAUAAUAUAAAAAAGUUAAGGUAAAAAUAAACAAAUUAUAAGUUCUAAGGAAAAAAUAAUUUAGUUUAUAAAAAUACAACAUUGAAAACAAAUUAUAUGAAAGAAUUAAAAAAUAUAUAUAAUCACCUUAUUUAUAUUAAAUAAAAGAUAUAUUACUUAAUGAAAUUAUGUGUUUAAAAUUAUAAUUAUUUUAAUUUGAAAUAUUUUUCACUUUAAUUAUAUUAGUUAUUAUUUUUCCUUAUUUUUAGCUUUAAUCUUACACAGUUAGCAAUAUUUUUUUUUUUAAAAAAAGUUUGAAAAUAAUAGAAGUAAAACUAGAAGAAAACUUUUGUCAUUGUUAUAUUUUUAAUUAUUGAAACAUAUUCAAAUCUGGAAGUUAUUUAAAAUUGAUUCAAUAAAAAUUCAUAUAGUUUUUAGAGUAAAGUGUGAGGUAUACCAAACAACAUAUCUUUUUGGUUAUUAAAUUAAUUUCAUCCUCACUUUAUAGUGAUGCAUCCUUCAUGCAAUAUCUUUCUCUUCUACAUCAUUUUCACCUUCACCGACAACACACCAUACGGAAUCUUUGAAAUAAUUUAAUUGUGUCUUGAAUUCGAAACUCUUUAUUUUCCGUCUUUUCCAAAAUUGUUCUUCACCGUCAAACUUUCCUUUGUGCAGGGUAAGAUUCUUUAUCCAUUUUAUACAUUCUUACAUAUGUUUUCAAUUUUACUUUCCUGAGAACACAAACAACAAAAGAUAAGGGAAAUUACUUCUAUCACAUUAUUAUUUUAUUUUUUAUUCACUUCUAAAAUUUUAUAAUUUAUUCAGAAGUCAUAUUUUAUAUAUUUCUUUUGUCUUAUAAUUACGUGCAUUUAUAAUUUACUCGCUUAUUUAUCUAUACCAACUUGAAAAUGAAUUAUCAAAUACAUAACCAAUUUUUAUAACUUUUUAGAAAAAUCCUAAGGGCCCAUUCCCCUGGCAUGGCACACGUAUUCAUGCAUACAUUAAUAUGGAUUUCUAAAAUUGAAUAGCUUAGUCGGAAGCACAGUAUCUGUAACUAAUCCUCACAGCAAUGUCUAACUGCUAACCACUUCCUUGUCUUCUUCAUAAAUACACUUAUAUUUAUUAAACUAAUAUAUAUAUAUAUAUAUAUAUAUAUAUAUAUAUAUAUUUAUCUAUUUUUAUCUUAAAAUGGGAUUUCAAUUAUGUGAGUCUUUUGUGUGUGGAGAAUGUUGAUACAUGUGGGUGGAAGAAAGAAAAAAAAGAAGAAAGAGUUCAAAUCUUUAAGCUACAAUAUUGCACUCGUUUAUUCCAAUUUUUGUAUUUUCAAUCCACGAAAGACCUUCUAAUUUCAUGCAUGUUUUUAAAUAUUAUUAUCAAGCAAAAUUCAACAUAAUUUUUCUUUUAUGACAUGUAUAUAUCAAUAGCCAAAUAAGCAUGUUUAAUUAUUCAAUCAAUUUUAACAUUGUUCACAAUUAGGACCUAAUUGGAGUAUUUUAACCUAAUUUGAAACUCAAUUGAAAUAAAAACCUAAGUAAAGAUCAAUUUAAAACAUUCUAACAAUAAUUGAAAUUAAACGAUUAAUUUAAUGAAUUGAUUCUUCAUAAAAAAAAUUCAUAGUGUAUUAUCUUCAGAUAAGGAAUAAAAUAACUAAUAUCAUUUAAAUUUUCUGAUUAAUUUUUUGUUUCUCCUGGCCAUUAAUUUAAUAAACACAUUUUCAUUUGACUAGUGUCUUAAAAGUUGUUGCCUUAAAAAAUAAAAGAGAAGUUUCUAUGGUAACAUGUAAAACGAAAUACUCUUCUAUAGUUUCUAAAUAUAGUAUUAUAUAAUAAUAUAAAAGGGUGAUAAAAAUGGUAUAGAAUACAUAAAUUCUUUUGUGACAGAUGAAAAAUAAGAUAUGCUACGUUAUCAUCCAACUGUGAUGAUUUAACGGUUAGGUUUUCAAAUUAUGAAUAUCCUAUCAAGUAUAACUUUUAAUCUAAUCAUAUACGCUCCCUCUUAUUAGUAUAUCAAAGUUUGUUUCCCUGUAAAAGUUGACAUACUUCAAGAUUUAAACCACUAAAACAUUUUCUUAAAAACCAAAAUCAAAACCAAAACAUAUCAAAUUCUAUUUUAAGAAUACUAAUUUAAUAAAAUUAAGGUUUAAUAUGUCCUUAUAUUUGUUAAUUUAAUUUAAUGUGAGAUUCAUUUAUUUUAUAUUUGUUAAUUUAAUUUAAUGUGAGAUUCAUUUAUUUUAAAUUUUCAAUGUGACAACUUUUAAAUUGUUAACGGUUAAAUGUCAAUAAAUUACAUGAUGAUUAGUUGAUGUGACCAUUUAAACGAUUGAUUAAAUUUUAUAAAUAUAAAUCAUUAUGUGUUUAAAUAAUUAAAUGAGUCAAAAAUUGUCAUGUAAUUCACUUAUUACUCACGUCAACACUUAAUCAUUAACAAUUUAGAUGUUAUCAUAAAAUAUGAAAUUAAAGACUACAUUAAAUAUUUUAAACCUAAAAUUAAAAAAAAAAGAACAGUAAGAAAUUGUAAAUUUAACUCAUCCUUAACAAAAUAUUAACAUUACCGUAAAAAAAUCUAUAUACCAAACAACAUCUGAAAUAAAUAACCAUAAAAACAGUUACUUAGAAAUCCCACCUCGGAAUUACAUUAAGUAUAGAUCUGAGUGUGUGAUUUUGAUAGUACUCAUGAAACAUGUAGGGUCCAUUGCAUUGAAAUUAAGGUUAAUCUUACAGUACUCUUACACACAGAAGGCACUAGCGAAUAACACCAAAUGAAAAGAAUUUUCUUUAACAACUUUUUUUUUUAACGAAUACAUGAUAGUUUAUGAUUGAUUUGUUUCAUGAGAUUCACGAUACAUUAUGAUUGAUUUGUUUAAUGAGAUCACGAUAGUAUUCUGUUGUUAAAAAAUUGUUAAAAUGUAUCUUUAAAAUACCUACAAAUCUGCGGUGGUGUUAAUGCAAAAUAAUUGUGAGAAGUAUCAUCCCAACGCUCCUUCCAUUAAUGUUGUGGGUCAUUCCCACUCACAUCCCACCAAUAUACAAUCCAUCAUUAUUAAUUGAAACCAAACCACUUUCUCUUCUUCACUUCUUAUAUAUAUAUAUAACUCUUCCACUGCCACAUUUUUCAGUGUCAGUGUUAGUGUGUGAGUCACUCAGUUCACCAUUAACGAGUUAACUUCUCUUCUUCUGUUGUGUUCUCGUUUUAGCAAGAUGACGAUGAAAAAGUCCGUUGUGUGUGCAGUGGUGCUUGUGGCACUCCUUCUGAUCGAUGUGGGACCUCUGGCUCAGGCUGUUACUUGCUCCGCAGUCCAGUUAGCACCGUGUGCUCCGGCAAUCACUUCCGCCAGUCGACCCUCACCUGUUUGCUGUACGAAGCUGAAGGAGCAAAAACCAUGCUUAUGUGGUUACCUCAAAGACCCCAACCUUAAGCAGUAUGUCAAUUCUCCUAAUGCCAAAAAGGUCCUUAGUGCUUGUGGGGUUACCUACCCAAGUUGCUAAAUACGCACACAAAUUUAAUAACACGCUUUAAUUUAUACUCAUGCUUUGUGUGUAUAAAUUAAGCUUGCUCUACGUUUCUGUCGUAUUAUACGUUGCUGUCUUUGGAUGUGUUGUAAGAGUUCUACAGCUGAAUAUGGUGUAUACACUAUUAGUAUACAUGUUGUAUUCACCAGGGAAUCAUCUAUAUCUGUCUUCACACCUAUAAAUAAAGAACUACUGAUGUUCAGAGUGGCAUAUAUCUUCUUUUAUAUCCCCUCAUUUUCAUUCUUAAAAUAUUUAACAAAUAAAUUUUAAAUUUAAUAUAAUUUAAUUUGUAAAAUAAAAUUUUACCUUAAUUUAUAUAUUAUAAAAUUAACUUAUCUAAUUACUAUAAAAAAAUACUUUCAUAAAAAUGUAUUUAACUUUUAAUUUUCCAACAGUUGUGAAUCAUAUUAAGAGUUAUCAAUUUAAUUUAAUUACAACAAAUCAUAUUACAGAAAUUAUCAAUAUGAUUUAAUUACAAGAAAUUAUAAUAUGUUCACAAAUUACACUUAUAUUCUAAUUAAAUCAUUGAAUUGAUUUCUAUUAUUAAUUGAAAAUGUUUAUAUAAUUAAGUUAUUAAAUUAAAUUGCUUUGAUUAGAUAUUUGAUCUUUUCAGUUUUUUUUUUUUUAUAAUUAUGUCUCUGGAUAUAAAACCGUUUUAUAUAAUUAGAUUUUAGCAAUUUUAAGUCUUCAAAAACUAAUACUAGAGAUAUAAUAUUUUUAGUUUAUAUAUGGAAUUAAGAUAUCUAUUUAAAAUACUUAAUUUUACACAAUGAUGAAAAACAUAUAUUACUAAAUGUAUGGUUUACAAAACACACUUGAAAUUGUCUGGGUGGUGUAGUUGGUUAUCACGCUAGUCUCACACACUAGAGGUCCCCGGUUCGAACCCGGGCUCAGACAUGAUUAUUUUAUACAAUUUCAUCUUCUAAGAAUUUAAUUUAUAUUUUUUAAAAAUGCACUAUUUUCUUAACAUUAUCAUUUUCAUGCAUCAUUUCACGUUCAUCAAAUAAUUUCCUCUGAAGAUAAUCAAAUAAUAAAUAUAAACUCUAUUUUUCAAGAGAAAUCUAAACUCUAAUAAAUAUAAAUUGUGAGAUCACGGUGGUGUUUUUCAUAAUUAAGAUAAUGUUAAUAUAGUAUUGGUGGUGUGAAAAUAAUCUGAUAUUAAUAAUACAAGAAUGAUGGUAAUAAUAAUUAAUAAAACCUAUAACAGUGUGAUGAAAAUAAUAUGUGAUGAUUGCAUAGAAAUGAUGAUGAUAGUGCAUUUGAUCGUGAUAGAGACAGUUUCAUCUAAUUAAUUUUUAAUCAGUUUUUUCUAUUAAAUAAAAAUUUUCAGUGUACGAAAAGAUAAAAUAAACAAUAGAUGAAAUAAAGUUUUGUGGAUCAGCGUAUAAUUGAUUAUAAUAUUUAAGAUAUUUAUGUAUGCUGCAAAUUUAAUAGAAUGAAGAUUCAUUGCACUUUCGGAUAAACCUUGAGUUAUUAUUAUUAUUAUUAUUAUUACAAUGCCUAAAUGUUUCUUAUUUGUCUAAAAAAAUAUUUGCGUAGUCGAUUUCUUAUGAGAAAAAUGUGUUUCUUAUUCCCAUAUUUUUCGUCAAAUUUUAUUUUGAUUUUAUAAUUUCCCGUAUUGAUGAUUUUUUAUAAAAAUAUACGAAUUUAGUCAUUACCUCAACUUCAUUAAAUAUCAUUAAAUAUAUGUAUGAAAUAAAUACUAAAAUCAAAUAUUUGAAAAAAUUUAUAAAAAUAAUUCAUCAAUUUAAAAAUAGAUAAGACAAAAACACUUUAGAUUUUUAUUAUCUGUUGCCCUUAACUUUAAAUAACCAACUUAUAUAUAUAUAUAUAUAUAUAUAUAUAUAUAUAUAUAUAUAUAUAUAUAUAUAUAUAUCAUUGAAUUGUAUUAGUAUUGAAGAUUAAUAUACAUAUACUUUUAUAUAGUAAUUCUUAGGUAUGAUUAAUUACUUUUUAUAAUAUUGUUAAUUAGAUAGUUUAAGAAAAUUAAUCACUUUUUAUAAUAACUAUAAUAAAAGUAAAUCUUUUCGAAUGGAAUGAUACAUUCAUACCUUUUAUAAGAAAAAAAAUGAAAUUUGUUUUAAUGACAAUUCUAAAAGUAUAAUAAAAAGCUUGUUUUAACUGUCGUCAAAAAAACAUAUCUACAAUAUAAUAUACACUUAUUUAAAUCUGUAUUUAUUUAAGUUGACAAAACUUUCGAAUCAAGUUUUAAAUAACUUUCUCUUUAACAAGCAAAAUCUUUGAACACAAUGAGGUAAAUUGUUUUGUCAGUAAAUAUAUUUUAUAAUUAUAUGAACUUUAAUAUUUCAUAAUUAUAUAACAUUUAAUAUUUCAUAAUAUCCCAAUUAAUUUUACACCAAACUUCACAUAUCAAAAUGCAAACUUAAGUGAAUACAUAAUGUUUAUUUUUGUAUAAGUUGAUUAAAUUAAAACAUAUGUAUGUACAUUUGUUAUCAUCAAUCUCUUUAAUUUUAUGCAAAUUUUUUUUUCUAUAUAAUCAUUUAUCUUUCUAUUAUUGAGUUUUAGAGUUUUAUUUAAUUUUAUUUUUGCCUUUUUCUCAUUUCUUUGAUUCUAUUUCAAGAUAAACGCUUUUCCACGCCUCAUACUAUAUUAUUAGUUCCUGGUCAAUAUAGUUGAUCAAUUAACAUUCUUUUUGCUAAGAUUUCAUCUAAAAUGUCUUAAAAUAUAAUUGAUAAAGAUUGUUUUGUUAUAUUCAUAAUUAGAUUAUAGUUAUAUUUAAAAAAUUUAGUGACAAUUACUUAUUAGUUAUGAUUAAUUAAUUUAUUGAAAAUCUAUUUAUUAGAAUAUUUUCAAUAAAAUUUUAUUCGAAAAAUUUAUUAUAAUAUUAAGUAUCUAAAAUAUUUUUAUUUUUUAUUGAGUCUCUAUCAAUUAAUUUUACCCUCAAGUGAAAUUUUAUGACCGUUUAAUUUUAUAAUUUUAAACAUAAUAAAAAUUUAAAUAAUAAUAAAAAUCUUUAGUAAAAAUUUCUAAAACUUGAUGUUUAUUGUUGUUUAAGUUGACAUUAUUGUACUUUUAAGACUACAAAAUCAAAUAGACUACACUCACAUCAUUUAAUAUAAUCAACUUUAAAUUAAAAAUAUUUAGAUUUAUAAACAAUUUAGAAAUUAAUUAUAUCUUUCUAAAUUGAAAUCAGUAAUGACGACAUAAAUUAACUUUUACAUCAAUCAAUUAAUAAUUCAAAAUUCAAUCAAAAAUGUCAUCUUAUCCUAUUUUGAUCUAAAUUUAUUAUUUGAUAUUAUGACUGUCAACAAUUACAGUCUUUAGUUAUGAAAUUAAUUACUAAUUAGAUGAAGUUUUUGCGUAGGCAGUGACGAAGCAAAAUUGUAUGGUAUCCCAAUUGCACUUCUAAUUGCUAACAUACGCAUAGGUUGUUUUUUUUUUCUUCGUUGCAUCACGGUCAACCUUGUUACGCUGUGAACUGAACAUCACUCAAAUGGCAUAUUAAUUAUGAUUAAAGCAAAGACUACAAAGAGCAUUUUAUUUUAAUGAUACGUACAAAAGAGAAAAAAAUAUAAUGAAAAAUAACAUUAAAUGAAUAUAAAAAAAUUGUAUGUAUUAAAAUAUUAUUAUUAUUAUUUUUAUUCCAAUUAAUGUACCAAAACUUGAUAAGUUCUUCAAAUUCUCAUCUAUCUCUGCAUAAUAUUAAUAUUAAUAUUAAUAAUCAACUCAUGCUAUUUAUAUAUAACUUAUUUCAAUUUUUUGUCGAUUACUUCCUCCAUCCAAGAUACUUUAUCCUUGAUAUUUUAAUAAUUCAAGGUGUAUCAAUAUUGUUAUCCCGUUUGAAGGAUCAUAAGUAUAUUUGCAAACAUAAAUUUGACCUAGUUUAUCUGCAAAAACAAUUUAAUAUUUUAAGAAAGAGUAUAAAUAAGGUAAUAAAUAUGAAUAAUAUUCACAUGUAUAAUAUUUUAAUGGGCAUUCUAUCUAAAGGGGACUUAAAUAUUAGCUGUCAAAAUUCUUAUAAUUCCUAAUUAAUAUUUGAUUUGAUAAUUAGGAUGUAAAAUAUAUAUUACUCAAUCGAUCCAAGAUAAUAUUAUUUUUGUUGGUUCACAUUAAUUAUCUUGAGUACCGAAUAAUACACUUGUAUUGAUAAUAUGAAAUAAAAUUUUCUUAUAUCCAUAGUAAUAUCUAUUCAGGCAACAUCUGUACAAUACUACAAAUGAUAUUUUAUAUAAUGUACAGAUAAUAUAAUGGUUAAAAAAAAUAAGAUAAGGGAUAUGAAAUCAUUAAGAAGUGUAUGAUAUAUUAUUUUAUUCCAUAACCAUUUAUCAGGUAAUAAAAAUAUCAUUUAGAAUACUAACUAUAAAAGAUAAUAUAUUUUUAAAAAGUAAGGAUAUAUUCUGAUCUUAUCAAAUGCAAAGCCUCCAAAAUUUAAGUCAACGGUCAACAGAUAGAAUUUUUAUUUAGAAAUAACGUGCGUAAAAGCUAAUUGGUGGCUAGCAACCUAUUUAUAACACAUGCGAAGAACAAAUCGAAAUCGAAAGCUGUGAAAACGUCGAUCAUACGCGGAGGCUCGAAAAAGUUUGCUUGUUUUUCUGUGCUCCAACGUUGUUUCUCAGAGUAUAUAUAAUAUAUCCCUUGCAGGCCCUGUCAGCUGCAUCUAACGAAAUCCACGGUUUCAUCAACGCUCAUUAAUUAUCAAUCUUAAAACCUAAUCCUACUCCUCAUCCUUAUCCAUAUUUCUAAUACCAUCGUUUAUAAAUAUUGUGCCCAAAAAGUCCUCACCUUUUCGUACAGAAUAUACGCAUCGUAGCCGUUAUCAAAUCUCCAUCGUCACACCAAUGUCCACCGAUCUCUCCGUCAUUCUCCCUCGUGUUCUCAUUGUCUCUAGACGAAGCGUUCGCAAGAACAAGUUCGUUGAUUUCGUCGGUAGGUUAUGUUUCCUCCUUUUUCUUUCGUGUUUUAAUCAAAUCUGCUUCGGUGCAAUUGGGAGUGGUCAAAAAAUUAUUUUCAUAUGAAUAAUGUAUGCAAUUUCUUAAUUAUUACAUCGAUUUUUUUUCCCAGGUGAAUAUCACCUGGAUCUUAUAGUAGGGUAUGGCGCUGUGCCCGUGAUUGUUCCUCGCGUUUCUGGGGUGCACAUGUUGUUGGAUAGCUUUGAGCCAAUCCAUGGCGUGCUUCUGUGCGAAGGGGAGGACAUUGAUCCCUCUUGGUAUGAAGAAGAUACCUCGGGUCUUUCACAAGAGGAAUUGGAAGAGAUUAGAAGGCUUCAUGUGAGUGACACGGCCAUUGAUAAAGAAAAAGACUCGAUUGAGUUGAGCCUGGCGAAGCUAUGCCUGGAGAGGAACAUUCCCUAUUUGGGAAUCUGCAGGGGCUCACAGAUUCUUAAUGUAGCAUGUGGGGGUACCCUUUACCAGGACAUUGGGAAAGAGCUUUCGGUCAAGUGUCCAGAGAAUAAAAGGGUGAUGCACAUAAACUAUGACGAUUAUGAUGGGCAUAGGCACGAUGUGGAAGUGGUUGAGGACACCCCUUUGCAUCAUUGGUUUAAGGAUUCUUUAGAAGAUGGAAAAAUGGAUAUUUGGGUUAAUAGCUAUCACCAUCAAGGGGUGAAGAGAUUGGCACAGCGUUUUGUUCCAAUGGCCUUUGCACCUGAUGGUUUGAUUGAAGGGUUUUAUGACCCUGAUGCUUAUAAUCCAGAAGAGGGUAAGUUCAUUAUGGGAUUGCAAUUUCACCCUGAGCGUAUGAGGAAGCCUGAUUCGGACGAGUUUGAUUACCCAGGAUGCCCCUUUGCUUAUAAGGUUUGAAAAUAUAUCACUUUUUUCCGAGAUCUGUUAAAUGUUAUUGGUCCAUAUAUAUAUUGGCUAUAGUGGAUUUAACAUUUGCAAUUUCAUUGAAAGUGCAGGAAUUUGUAAAGGCGGUUGUUGCUUAUCAGAAGAAGUUGAACAACUUAACAACAGUCCAAAAACCUGUUAAGCUUAAUAAGGAAAUGGAAAACAAAAGAAAGAUUAUAGUGCGUAGUUUCUCACUUGCCAAAAACCUCUACAACGCUGGUCGUGGAACCAAUUCCCCCAGAGACUCUGAACUUGAAAUUGGAGCAGAGUUUCUUGAGGUACUGAGUUGCACAAUUAAACUAUUUUUCUCAACUUUUCGGUUCAUUUAGAAUAAGAACAAAAUUUACAUACAACUUUAUCUAAUUACCAUUAAAGAUACAUUUUCCUAUAUGCAUACAUUUUCUUUCUCUCUGUUAUUGGUGAAUCAUUUUUGUUUGUGCAAGGAAUAUGAAAGUUAUCAGUUUUUUGUUUUUCUGAGUAUUGAUUGAUGAAUUUUGCAGUCGAACACAGCCUUGAGUGCGCAGCAAGAGAACAGGCUAAAGCAAAUGGGUGCAACGGUUAGAAAUGCAAGAUCAUACAAAGAAAGAGUGAAACUGAAUGAGGAAAGGGAAAAGAUGGCGAGAGGUGUGAUGAGGAAAAUGUCAGUGGAACAGUUGUCAGAGCUCUUGUCUUUCUAUCACACAAUGGGGCAGAUUUGUUCAGAAGUAUUGGACAUAAAGAUACAUGGCCUUGUCACUCCUCAAUGACUUUCACUUCACCAUUUUGUUCCUUUCUCUCGUUAAUUGAUCAUGCAACUCAACCAACUUUUGUUUCUUUCUAUGUUGCCUGUCACUUGGUUCCAUGUGGUCCUUUGAAUCCAAUGAUUGUUAGAGGAAAUCAAGGCUUUUCAGUUUAUUCCUUUGUUUGAGUCUGAUAUUAAAUUCCUUGCAUUUUGGAUGAUACAUCAAAUGUCAAUCAAUUCUGUAAACAACAGAUAGCCACUCUGGGGAAAAUUUCAAGAGCAGAUUAAGGAAAUAAAAGUUCAUUUUUUGUAUACAGAAAACUACUAUGAUACUAUCCCUAUCCCUGUAUCUUAUUUUAAUUUAUGAUUAAAAACAUAUAUCCUAAGAAUAUAGAUCAGUGGAACUUAAUGUCUCUUAAUUUUUGAAUUUACAACCUUUUUCAAAUUAAUUUUAAUUUCAAAGGAGAAAGUUGAUAAUUUUUCAUAAAUUUAUUUUCUUAAAGUUUGGAGAAAUGGUGUCUUAAGAUUUUAGAUUAAAAAUAAUAAUAAUUUUUUUAUAUGUAAUUUGAACUCAAAUAUUAUUAAUAUUGUUUUUCGAACGAUUUUUUAUUAAAAGAUCCAUCAAUAAUAUUAAAAUGAUAUUAGAAUCAAUAAUAAAUAAGAGAUACUUGUGAUUUAAAAUGUUUUUAGCUGAGAAAUAACACUUUUAAAAAAAAUUAAUUAGUGUUGUGUGUUCUUGAUUUAAAAAAAAAGAGUAACAUAAUUACUUUAUCUAUUUUCUUUUCAUUUCAGGGAUGAAUUCGCGUGAUCUCGUGUCGAGAAAAUUUGUUUCUUUGCCGAGGAUAUGAAAAUAAUAGAAACAAGGAUUUUCUCUCUUAAUUUUCUUUUAAUUGUGAAUAGAUUGGAUAUUCAUAUUCUGAAAACGUAAGAAAAUAUUUAACAUGGCAUAAAACUUAACUGGUGCACUUUUUUUCUGAAAUGCUUAUUAUAAGAAGAAAGUUAACAAAAUAAAAUACUUUUUAUAAAUAUUUUAUUAAUUUCUUUAAAUACACUUUAAAUUCAUUUAAAGAUGUCACGUGUGAACCUGACUCGGACAGAAUGAUCUACUACGUAUUAAAUUUUGGAUAAACCAAAUCAAUCUGAUUGAUAUCUUUAGAGAGAUGAUUUCCUAAAUUUAAUUAAUACAAAAUUAAAAUAAAUAAAUGAACAAUGCAUGGAAAUUUUCUAGAUCUUCAAUAAUUCAAACUGUUCAAAUACAAAUACAUAAUAUUAAAAAAGUAUUAAGCAGUUUGGUUAAAAAAAGUUUAAAUAAUUUGCCAUUCAAAUGUCAGAAAUAGAAAAAUUAUAUCAUUUAAUAAUUUAAUAUCAUCAUUAGAAAAAACUAAUUAACCAUUAAAAAAAAUGACACACAAACACCAUUAAAAUGCCAAAGAGACUUGUAAAUUUUUGUCUUUAAAAAUAUAAACUAACCCUAUUGAAACUCAUUUAAUAGUAUGAUUAAGUGGGCCUAAUUGACUUUAGUUCAAUAUUAUAAAGUUUUUUAGUUUUUUCGAUCGAAUAAAACCUGUAAUAAUGAGUCUUUGGCAACUCACCAACCCUAAUCAUUUUCAUGCUUUAAGUCAUUCUGGGUAACUCAUAAUAUAUCGGUCCACUCAUUAUAGUCAAAUUUACACAUUACAAUGCUAUUAGCAAACGAUGCCGAGAAAUGUUAGUUUAACUUUUUUGUAGAUUGCAUUACAUUAUAUUAUUUUUAAUACUUUAUAAAAAAAAUUACUUAUAUAUUUAAAAGUUUAUAAAAUCCUUAAUAAUAUUUAUCUCUAAAAUUAUUAAAAGAAUAGUUAAUGUUAUAUUAUCUCCUCACAUUUUAUAAAAUUUAAGCCUUAAACUUAUCUCCUUAUCAGAUCAUAUAUCCAUCACAUUCAAACAACUGUGUAUCACGAUUAUGAUUUCGUCAGGUUGAACCUUUCCAAAAAUCAAACUUUUUCAGUUUUGCUCGGGCUUCCUAGAAACAGCAGUGUGGAAAAUUUAACACGCAUUGAAAGUGAUGAAACGCACUGGUCAGAGACUUCCCAAUAUAAUUGCAUACACCUUCUCCUCCCGCAUCUUUUCUCAUCCUCCAAAAAUGAAACCUAAGCUAACUCUUCACCCUUGUUUCAUCUUCGUUCUGUUGCUCAUCUCAACCAAUGCUCCGACCUAUCUUUGUGAGAAUGAUGCUCGAUACACCAACUGUAGGAACGCUUUUACAUGCGGAGAUACCAAGCUGGAUCUCAGGUACCCCUUCUCGGGAGAAAACAGAGGUAGUUAUUGCGGCGAAGAGAAGCUCACGUGUGAAAAACAAGUCCCAAAGAUAACCAUCAACGAUGCCAAGUACCGUAUUCUUGAUUGGCAUAAUACAACACAGACAAUAACAAUGGCCAGGGAUGAUUAUUGGGAUGGUAUCUGUGUGAAUGACUACAAGAACAGCACCUUUGAUAACACUCAAUACGAUCACCAAUAUAAUGAUCUUGGUAACGUCACGCUCUUUUAUUGCCCUUCAGAUAUAGCUCCCUCUAUACUCACGGAAUUUCAUAAAGAAAAUUGUGCUGCUGAUAAAUUUGUCUUCUUCACUUCCCUACCUGUACCUCCGUACACGGGGAAUUGCACGGUUGUGGUGAUUCCGAUAUUUGAAACCAACGCUUCACUUGUGCGUGAAAACAAAAUAAACGAGGCGUUACGGAAUGGUUUUGAGUUGAAUUGGGAGGGAGAUAACGGGGAGUGUGAGAAGUGCAGUGAUUCUGGUGGAGAGUGUGGAGUUGAUGAAGGAGAUGGAAGAUUUCAAUGUUUCUGCGUGGAUAGACCCCGUUCUGCUAUAUGCAAAGGUAUGGUUAUAACACUCUUGUGUCUCUUGUAGAUAUUUCUAUUUGUAGUUUUGUUUUGUUGGUAAAGCAGACCACAUCGUAAGUUUGUUCCUAUUAUUAGCCUUAUUAUUUGGUGAGUAGCCAUAGUAGAUUAUUAUUCGUGUUUCCUUUAGGCUAGUGUAUCUGUAGAGUCACAACUGUUAAAGAUUGGGUUGAAACAAGGACUAUGCCGUAAAUUAUGAUUCUUUGGUUUUUCAGUAUGACUUCCUCAACCAUUAUUAUACGUCAUCUUCUUCUUUUAUAUGUUGCAGAUAAAGUGGUAGAUAGGUAGGAGUAAUUAGCACUUAAAAGUGAUCAUAUAUAUUAUUUGACACCUAUUAAGAACGAGACUUCAAAAAUAUAAUAACUAACUGAUGUAAUAGAAACAUAAAAUAUAUAGAAAUAUUAAUAAAAUAUUUAUAGUAAAAUGUUGCCCGUAUACUACUAUUUCUACCAAUGUGUUCUUUGACUAGACUUUUUUGCUUAUCUUCCUUCUCAAAUCGAUAGGUUUAAUUAGUCCAUGUAUUUUGGAAACCCCACAAUAGCACCUUUAAUAUAUUUUUAUAUGUCAUUUAUGUUUUAAAAAAAUAUAUAUUCUCCUCUUUCUAAUAAGCGAAAUACAAUUUUAUUUUAAUGAAAAAUCCAUUUAUUUCUUCACUCUUUUAUACUGAGAGAUAAAGAGAAGAGAAACAAUAUAUUUAUUAAUAUUUAAAUCUGAUAAUAAAUUAGUUAUUUUUGGUUUUAGUCUUUAUUAAGAAAAUUUAUUUUGUUAAUACUAAAUACACAACUUGAAAAUAUACACAAUAAUUAAAAGUAUAUAAAAAAAGUAACAUAAAUUUUGGUCAAUAAAUAUAUUGUUUCAAGGGUAAUGGAUGAAAGUAAGAUACUAACAUGCACAAGAACAACUCCAUUACCAUUUGGAGGGGAGCUAGCCUUUCAUCAUAUUCUUAUCAGUAUAUUAUAACUUGUCAUGAUUUAUUGACUAUUACUAUUACCUGUACAUUUUCUUGCAGGAAAAAGAAAAGUAUCAUUGCGAAUAUGGAUCUUGAUUAUUGUACCUACAACUGUUUUUAUAACAUUCAUCUUUUUGUGCUACUAUCUGAUCAAGAGAAAACCAAAAAAGAGCAAUAAGAGUCUCCUAAGAGAAAAUUGUAAGUAUUAUUAUUAAAGAAAACCAUGUGAUGAUAUAUAAUUUUUAAGUUUUCAUGUUUAACAACUUAACCAGUUUUACAAUUCAAUAAUGUUAAUAUCACCCAGUUGGUAAAGAAAGUCUCACUUUAGAGCCCCUACAAUUCAACUUGGCCACACUUAAAGCAGCAACCAACAAUUUUUCAGAGCAAAAUAGGAUUGGCAAAGGAGGAUUUGGAGAAGUUUAUAAGGUGAAAAUAUGUGGUAUAAUCACUUUCUAGUUUUUACUUUAUUUAUGAAUAGUAAUUUAAUUUUCAGGGAAUUCUUCUUGAUGGACAACACGUAGCAGUAAAAAUGCUCUCAAAAAAUUCGACGCAAGGUGCAAAGGAGUUUAAAAAUGAAGUUUCAGUUAUAGCUAAACUACAACAUAGAAAUCUUGUGACAUUUAUUGGUUUCUGUCUUGAGGAGCAAACUAAAAUUCUUAUAUAUGAAUAUGUAUCAAACAAGAGUCUUGACUACUUUUUAUUUGGUAUGAUUUUCCUUAACCUUACACUUUAAUAUUUAUUGUUUAUAUUGUUAUAUAUAUAUAUAUAUAUAUAUAUAUAUAUAUAUAUUUGUUUUCUCAAAUUACAAAAUAUGUUUCACUCUUAUAUUUUUCUUUCAUUUUAACAUGUAGAUUCUCAACUAUCAAAAUUGUUAAGUUGGACUGAACGGUAUAAUAUUAUCAAAGGGAUUGCUCGAGGAAUAUUUUAUUUACAUGAACUUUCUCGGCUCAAAGUUAUACAUCGUGAUCUCAAACCAAGUAAUGUUUUGUUAGAUGAAAAUAUGAUUCCAAAAAUUUCAGAUUUUGGUCUAGCUAAGAUUGUUGAAAUAAAUCAAGAUCAAGUCAAUACAAAUAAAAUUGUUGGGACAUUGUAAGUUACAAUACUUUUUUCUCAUUAUUCUAUUUGUUACCUUUUUCAUAGUUUUUUUUUCUAAUUAAUCAUUUUGUUUACAGUGGAUAUAUGCCUCCAGAAUAUGCAAUGUUUGGACAAUUUUCAGAAAAGUUAGAUGUUUUUAGUUUUGGAGUCAUGGUUCUAGAAAUUAUUACUGGCAAAAAGAAUUUGAGUUCUCACAAACCACAUGUUCCUGAAGGUCUCUUAAGUUAUGUGAGUAUAAUAAUUCAAUAAUUUAUUCAUUUCUUGCAUUGAUUACAUAGAUUUCAAUGUUCAUUGUUGGUUAUGACAUUGAAUUUUUAAUUUUAACAAAUUUUUGUAGGUAUGGAGACAAUGGAGGGACCAAACGUGGUUAGACAUAUUAGAUCCAAAUAUCAAAGAAAAUUAUUCAGAAUUUGAGGUUACUAAGUGCAUUCAAAUUGGUUUAUUAUGCGUUCAACAAAAUCCUGAUGUCAGACCUACAAUGACAGAUGUUCUAUCAUACUUUAGUAGUUAUUUCAAUGAACUACCAAGUUCACAAGAACCAGCAUUUUUCUUAAAUGAAAGGUCGAAUCCAACAAUAUUUCCUCAGGAAUCAAAUAUUAAUCAACCUAUCAACAACUGUAUUCCAUUCUCUACUAAUAAAAUGUCUGUAAGUGAAUUUUUACCUCGAUAGUAAUUUAUUUUUGGUACUUUUGUGAUCAAUAUGUGUGCAAUAAUGUAAUGAAAUAUUAUCAUCUUUAUUGAUAAUCAAUGUAAUUUGUUUCAUUUGUGAUGAAUUAUAUAAACUUUUUAUUAUGUUUUAGUUAAUAUAUGGAUUUUGAGAUUGCUUAAGGAAUUCAGAUUUUUGUCUUUCCUUUGUACGUAGGAAUUCAUAAUAUGAAUUAAAAUAUAUUUUGUAAAAUAACCCUCUUUAAAAAGGAUUUUCACUUGUUUUUUUUGGAAAAACGUAAUAGUGGAAAGUGAGAAAAAAAAUUAAGAAAAGUGAGAGGAAAAGUAACAUUGAAUUGAUGGAAAGAUAAUAUAAAUUAAAUAAAAAAAUUAAAAGUUUUAUGUUAAAACCAUAGUUUUAUAUACUAUUCUAACUAUUAGAGCAUAGCCUAUGAUAUUCUACAGUAGUUUAUAAUCUGACUAUUGGGAUUAAUUUUAAAACUUUUUAUUUGGUCCAACAUAUAGCUUCUUGUCAUUGCAAACGGUUUUAUUUUUAUGUUUUCUCAUUUUUAUUUUUAAUUUUUGUCUUGGUUUCUCUGUUGUUUCCUUCCUUCAUUUAUAUGUUCCUAUCGUCAUGUUUAAAUAGCUCUUUUAUGUUCGUCGUUCAAGUUCGUUUCCUCUUAAAGAGCCUUUUCUUUUAUGUCUUUGUUGUCUUUAUUUACCAUUUAUUGCUAGACCAAAUUGUUUGGAUGUUUUCCAUGAUGACCACCAUUGUUGGGCUUACUUUUCAUUUAAGCAUUACGUUUGCAUUUCUCUCUUGUGAAAUCUAAAAAUGAUAUGAUGACAUGUUUGAUUUAUUUUUGUUGUGUGUACGUAUCGUGAUAAAAGCAUGAAAAAUCUCCAUUUAAUGUUAGAAAAGAGAAAAACUAAUUAGAAUAAUGUGAAUAGUAUAGACUAGCGAAAUAAGUCUUUGAAAUGUGAAAAAAAGUGGAAGAAAAAUGUUUAAAAAAUUAUAAAGAGAUAGUAAAAGAUGAAUUUUUAAGAAUUUUGAGACUCUAAUAUUCGAAGUCCAUAACAAAAGUUAUUAUCAUUUCAAGUUUUUUCCACAUCAAAUCUUUCCAACAUGAUGCACACACUCUACAAACAAAUAUACAAUAAUAGGGAUUGGCAAAACAAAAAAAAAUGACUCAAAAAUCAAUUUCUAGUUAUUUAAAGUGAAUUUUUCAAAAAUAUUAAUUUUUAACUACGUUAGCCUGUUUCUAAUUCAACCAAACUAUCUAGUUCAACAAGUUAUUUGGUAUUGUUAAAUCCUUGUUUAAUAGAAUGUUUAUUUUUUUUUUUAAAUUCCAUAGUCUAUUCAUAACUAUAUCAUGAAAUUUAUCAUGAAAUUUCUAAAAAAAAAAAAUUAGUCAACAAACUACAACUUUUUCAUAAAACCUUAGCAUAUUAUGUAUAUUGACCAAAGUUUUCAACCGUAACAUAUAUUCUAUUUUUUUUAUUACAUCUGGAUGUAUUAUUGUUCAUUAAUGUAGUUUAACAUUAAAAAUAAUUAUAAUCAUAUUUGUUUAGUGUUCUAGGUACAUUUACAAAAGUUAUCACAAAGAGAAAAGUUAAUAAAGCUAAUAAAGAUUUAAAGAGAAAAGACAUCAAACAAACAUGAUCAAACACGUAGAGAUUACUAAGAUAACAAGACAAGACUUGUACUAUUAACUCAAACAUCACGAUGUUAAUUCCUUUGAAAUAAAAUCAGGAGAACUUUACACUGAAUUAUAUCUCAAUUAUUUUUUAAAUUCAUUAAACCUCUUUCAACCUGAUAAAAUAUAAAUAAAUAGAUAGAGGAUCUCAACAAAAAUAACGCACCUACUUGUAUGGAACGUAAGUAAGAGUAAAGUUCAGGCAGUUUUCUUUCUUCUUAUUAUAAAGGCUCCUCAGGUAUACUGAAAAAUGGAUUCAGGAAAGCCAGUUCUAGUUAUGUAAAAUUUUAUACUUAAAAUAUGCGUAAGUCAACUUAAACCCUUCCACAAGCACAGCUACUUGGCUUAGAAAAAAGCAAUUUCUAUAUAUCUUAAAAUACUAAUUCCUUCUUUUGAGUCACAUUCUCCUCUUCAAACAUUUUACUGACUUUUUCUCUUCACUCUGCCAAUGGCUUCCGACAGUGUUCAUCUCCCUCUUAUCACUAUACUUUAUCACUUGAUUAUCUUUCUCCUACUCUUUAAGCUACCUUCAUGUUUAAGCUCCACCGAUAAUUACAGUAAUUGCGCUAACGUGAUAAGUUGUGGCAAAAAAAUAAACAUCGGUUUUCCAUUCUGGGGAGGGAACCGCCCAAAAGAGUGUGGCCACCCUAAGAUGGAACUCAUCUGCGAAAACGAGAUCGGCUACAUAACCAUUAACGAUGUCAANUACCAGGUUUUGGAAGCCAACCCAGAUGACCAUACUUUGAAAAUCACCAAACAAGAUCAGUUGAUAGACUUAUGCCAGCCAGAACAAGUCAGCACCAGCCUUGACACUCAGCUUUACGUUUACGAGUCACACUAUAAGAAUCUUACCCUUUCCUAUGGUUGCACUCCUUCAGACUUUUUGCCUCUCACUUAUAUUCCUUGUAACGGAACUACUUCUGGGGAAANCGUUUAUUCUCAGUUUGNGUCAUUUUCUCCCGUGUCUUGCAAAACAAGUGUGGUUGUUCCGGUUCCUCUUUCAUUUCAGGAGAUUAAUAAUUUCUUCCAAGUAUACCGGACAAUCAAAGAAGGGUUUGUGGUGAGAUGGAUAAUAGGUGUUGAAAAAUGUGACAAGUGCGAAAAAUCAGGUGGAGAAUGCGGUUUUGAAGGGUCUUCACAGCAAACAUGUUACUGCAGAGAUGGACCUUGUCCUAAUAAUAUCUCGCCAGAUAGCGAAGCAUCUUCAGGUACGUCUAAGUUUAUUCAAAAUUUAUUUUUCUGCUUCGUGUUUGACGAUGAAUUAAGUUGAUUUUAAGAUCAAGUGUUCAUCUAAUGUGAACAUGCACUUAAUUUUUACUAUAAGAAAUUCAGUAUAGUCAUUAGCCUGGUAUGAAGGUUUUUUAUCAUGUGAGUCAAAGUAUAUAUAUUUGGUCUGAUUCCUUGCCCUUAGUUGUAGGUAGCUCUGAAAUCUUAGGCUAAUGGCACUUUCAUCCAUUGUUUACCACAUCUUCAGGUCUUGGUCUUUAGAGGAAUAGAUUUGGAAAUUGUAUAGAAAAUGAAAGGAGGAAAGAGAAGGAAUGAAAAGAUAAAGCUGUAAAAUAUCAUUCUUUGAUUUUAGCGUUGAUUGAUCUUUUUCAUAUAUAUUAGAGAUAAAAUGGUAGAUAUAAGGUAGGAGUGAGUAGCAUUUAAAGGGGUCUCACGUAUGUUAUUUGACACAGACGUAAGGAAUGAAACUUGAAAAAACGAGAAAUAUAAAUAUAAUAAAUAAGAAAAAUAUUCUUUACUACACCCAAAAUUUUUACAUUCAUUCAUGUAAUAAGAAGGUAAAAAUAGAAAAAAUAACAUUUGUUAAUAGAAUAUUUAUAAUAAAAUGUUUUCCAUAUAUUUUAUUUCUCUCAUUUCAAACACGGCACGGGAUGCCUUCUUUGACUAAUUGCUUAUUCAUUCCUUUCAGGGGUCCACUAAUCACUGUGUCGUGUAGUGUAUUGGAAACUCGUCAAUAGCGCGUUUAAAAGUUUAAUGGUUGUCAUUUUAAGUUUAAAAAAUAGGGUUAAAUAUGUUUUUAGUUCUUAUAUUUUUGGACGAUUUUGAUUUUAGUUCCUCUUUCAAUCUAAGGUACAAUUUAGUUCUUUAACUUUAGAAAACUCUGGUUUUAGUUAUUUUUAUCAAAUUUUUUAAACUUUAUUUGCCGUUUCAAACGCGUUUCUCAGUUAACGUUGAAACAAAAAUGUGUCAAACAGUGUAAACAAUCCAAAUGCUAUAAUGAAACGUACUUGAAAGAGCAAAUAAAGUUAAAAAAAUUUGGUAAAAAGGACUAAAAUCAGAGUUUUCUAAAGUUGAAGGACUAAAUUGUACCUUAGUUUGAAAGAAUGACUAAAACUAAAAUCGCUCCAAAGUAAAGGAACUAAAGACAUAUUUAACCCAAAAAAAUAUAUAUUUCUUCCUCUUUCUACUCAUGAAAAUAAAAGUUCAUUUCAGACAAAUCAAUAUAUGACAUUUAUUCAUAUUUAAAUCCUGAAUUAAAUUGACUUUUAAUCUUUUAGCUAACUUUGGUUUUAAUUUUUGUUAAAAGAAAUUUUGAUUUUUUCUGCUAAUUAUUUAUAUUCGUUAAUUGGUUAUAGGUUUAAUAAGAGAUAAGUAAUUAACUAAUAAUAUUUGUUAGCAACACAAUCCAUUAUAGCAGAAUUAUUUAACUAAUUUAAAAUAUUUCAAAUUUUAUAUUAAGCAAAACACCAUAUAGUACAUGAUACAUGUAUUAUAAUAUUCUUCGUAAGUACAUAAUAAAAUUUUAAAAAAAUGUAUUCUAAACUAGAUAUAAUAUAAAAUAUGUAAAACAUUAAAAAAAUAUAUAUAUAUAGUCUCUUUCUAUUUAUACCACACUUGUUAAAUCCAACUAAAUACCUUUUAUAAAUAAAUUGAAUAUAAGUAAGAAAAAGAGAAUAAUAAGAGAAGAAAAAGAAAAAAGAAAAAGAAGAGAAAAAUAAUAUGACAAUAAAGAUAGGAGAUAUGGAAACAACAACUAACUAUAGUAACAAAAGAGAAAAAUGCAACGAUGAAAAAGAGUAAGAAAAGAAAGAAGAAAAGAAAGGCAAAGAAGACGAGGAAGACGAAUAAAAGAAAAAAAGGAAAAAAAAUAUAAAAUCACAAUAUUUAUCCACAAUUAAUUAUUGAUAAAUUUUAAAUAAUAUUAAUAUUAUCGACAAAUUUUUCUAUUUAUCAAUAAAAUUUAUUACCAAAAACUUUCACGAAUUUUUAAUUUGAGAAAUCAUCAACAAUUUAAUUUAUCAAUAAAUUUUACUUUUCGGUAAAUUAAUUUUUUUAGUAUUAAUUAACAAAAAGUAAAAAAAUUUAAGUAUGAGGAAAGCUAAUUAUAUUUUUUAAAAGUAGUACAAGAAAGAAGAGAGAAUAGAGAUGACAAUUAAGAAGUUAUUGUUACAAAUUUUUCUCCUCCUCUUUAAUAACUUUUUAUCAACUUUUCUUUUUUAUAUAUUUUUCUUAGUUUACUCUUUCAAUACACAGAUACAAGUUUUUUUAUUUGCUCUUAUUUAUGUAUUUUUAUAUACACAGUUUUAUUUUAAAUAUUAAUUGAAAUUUUUUUUAUUAUUUCAAAAUUGUAUUUCAACAUAAUCAUAGUUGAAGAUCAAACAUCAUUGGUUAGGUUAGAGACAAAACUAAGUUAGAAUAUAUAAAUAAAAAUAAACUUUACGUUACAGUCAAUCUAACUAAACCUAUUUAAUAAAUUGUCUGAAAAUUAAUUUUAUGUUAAACUCGUGAAAUUUUUAAUUAUUUCUAACUUAAUUAGUUUCGACUAGCAACUUUAAAUUUUUUUAAGACUUUAUUAGUGGUAUCUAAAUGGAAACCAAAUAAUCAUUAAAUUAUAUUCUCUAUUCAAACUAGCUAAAACUUUUCUCAAUAAUUUGGAGACACAUUCAAUGAUAUAUUUAAAAGUUUAUCUAAUGAUAAUACAUAAUUUCAAAACUAGUUUUUUUUUUUAAUUUAUAUUUUCUAACUUAGUUUAUACCAUAAACCAUUUUUUUUUUGUUUUUAAAUCAGUUUAAAUUUUAUGAAUCUAUUGUAGUGUAUAAAUUAACUUUUCAAAUUACUUUUGUCAAAUCUUUAGCGAAUUGGUUCUAACUUUAGUCCAAUAGUGCACCUGGUAAUGGAUGAAAGUAAGAUACUAUCAUGCACAACAAGAACACCUCCAUUACCAUUUUGGAGGGGAGCUUGCCUUUCAUCAUAUUCUUAUCAGUAUAUUAUAACUCGUCAAUAUUUAUUGACUGUUACAUUUUCUUGCAGGAAAAAGAAAAAUAUCAUUGCUAAUGUGGAUCUUGAUUAUUGUACCUACAACUUUUUUUAUAACAUUCAUCUUUUUGCGCUACUAUCUGAUCAAGAGAAAACCAAAAAAGAGCAAUAAGAGUCUCUUAAGAGAAAAUUGUAAGUAUUAUUAUUAAAGAACAUGUGAUGUAUAAUUUUUAAGUUUCAUGUUUAACUACUUAACCAGUUUUACAAUUCAAUAAUUUUAAUAUCACCCAGUUGGUAAUGAAGGCCUCACUUUAGAGCCCCUACAAUUCAACUUGGCUACACUUAAAGCAGCAACCAACAAUUUUUCAGAUGAGAAUAGGAUUGGCAAAGGAGGAUUUGGAGAAGUUUAUAAGGUGAAAAUAUGUGGUAUAAUUACUUUCUAUAGUUUUUACUUUAUUUAUGAGUAGUAAUUUAAUUUUCAGGGAAUUCUUCUUGAUGGACAACACGUAGCAGUAAAAAGGCUUUCAAAAAAUUCUAUGCAAGGUGCAAAGGAGUUUAAAAAUGAAGUUUCAGUUAUAGCUAAACUUCAACAUAGAAAUCUUGUGACAUUUGUUGGUUUCUGUCUUGAAGAACAAACUAAAAUUCUUAUAUAUGAAUAUGUACCAAACAAGAGUCUUGACUACUUUUUAUUUGGUAUGAUUUUCUUAAACCUUGCACACCUUUAUAUAUUUUCUUAAAUUAUAAAAUAUGCUUCACUCUCAUACUUUUCUCAUCAUUUUCUUUUGCUCUAACAUGUAGAUUCUCAACGAUCAAGAUUGUUAAGUUGGAUUAAACGUUAUGAUAUUAUCAAAGGGAUUGCUCGAGGAAUAUUUUAUUUACAUGAACUUUCUCGACUCAAAGUUAUACAUCGUGAUCUCAAACCAAGUAAUGUUUUGUUAGAUGAAAAUAUGAUUCCAAAAAUUUCAGAUUUUGGUCUAGCUAGAAUUGUUGAAAUAAAUCAAGAUCGAAUCAGUACAAAUAAAAUUGUUGGAACAUUGUAAGUUAAAUUACUUUUUUCUCAUUAUUCUAUUUGUUACCUUUUUCAUGGGUUAUUUUGUUCUAAUUAAUCAUUUUUUUUCACAGUGGAUAUAUGUCUCCGGAAUACAUAAUGCUUGGACAAUUUUCAGAAAAGUCAGAUGUUUUUAGUUUUGGAGUCAUGAUUCUAGAGAUUGUUACUGGAAAAAAGAAUUUGAGUUCUCACAAUUCACGUUAUGUCACUGAAGGUCUCUUAAGUUAUGUGAGUAUAAUAUUUCAGUAAUUUAUUCAUUUCCCGCUUUAAUUAUAGAUUUCAAUGUUCAUUAAUGGUUAUGACAUUGAAUUUUUAAUUUGACAAAUUUUCAUAGGUAUGGAGACAAUGGAGGGACCAAACAUGGUUAGAAAUAUUAGAUCCAAAUAUUGAGGAAAAUUAUUCAGAAAUUGAAGUUACAAAAUGUAUUCAAAUCGGUUUAUUAUGCGUUCAACAGAAUCCUGACGUCAGACCAACAAUGACAAAUGUUCUAUCAUACUUUAGUAGUCAUUUUAAUGAACUUCCAAGUUCACAAGAACCAGCAUUUUUCUUGAAUGAAAGGACGAAUCCAACCAUAUUUGCUCAUGAAUCAAGUAUUAAUCAACCUAUCAACAUCUCGAUUCCAUUCUCUACUAAUAAAAUGUCUGUAAGUGAAUUUUUACCUCGGUAGUAAUUUAUUUUUCUUUGGUAUUUUAAUUUACAAUUGAUUUACAAGUAUUUUAUGUAAUGAAAUAUUAACAUCUUCAUUGAUAAUCCAUGUAAUUUAUAUCAUUUGUGAUGAAUUAUAUAAACUUUUAUUAUGUUUUAGUUAAUAUAUCGGUUUUGAGACAUGAUAAGAAAUUAAGAUUUAUUUUUCUCUCCUUUGUACGUAGUAAUUCAUAAUAUGAAUUAAAAAUAUAUCUCGCAAAAUAACCCUUUUUUAAAAAUAUUUUCCCUUUUUUUUGUUAACAAUUAAUUGAUUGUUAUGGAAAAAAGAGAGUGAACAAUUGUUCCGUUAAAACUGUAGUAAUAGUCUAACUAGUAAAGUAUUGGCUACGAUUUUACAGAGAAUCAUAUAUAUAUAUAUAUAUAUAUAUAUAUAUAUAUAUAUAUAUAUAUAUAUAUAUAUAUAUAUAUAUAUAUAUAUAUAUAUAUAUAUAUANNNNNNNNNNNNNNNNNNNNNNNNNUAUAUAUAUAUAUAUAUAUAUAUAUAUAUAUAUAUAUAUAUAUAUAUAUAUAUAUAUAUAUAUAUAUAUAUAUAUAUAUAUAUAUAUAGUCUAUAGUUUGACUAAUAGAGUUACUUUUAAAAAAUUUUACUUGGUCCAUGCAUAAUAUUGUAGUAGCGCAUAACAUUAUAACUUCUCGCCACUGGGAACGCUUUUGUCUCUACCAUUAUUCUCAUUCAAGCACUAUGUUUGUAUUUCUCUCUUCUAAACCCUAAAAAUGAUAUGAUGAUAUGUUUUAUUUAAUUUUGUUGUAUGUAUCAUGAUAAAAGCAGAAGCCUUUGAAAUGUGAAAAAAUGGGAGAAAAAUGCUUUAAAACAUAUAAAGAGAUAAUAAAGGUUGAAAUUUUAGAAUUUUGGAACCUCAACCUUUGAGGUCCAUAACAAAAGCUAUGAUCAUUUCUAUACCAAAUCUUUCCAAAAACAAAAUUUACUUUAAAUAGUUUGAAAUUGAAUUUUGAGUAUUUUUUUUGUUCAAUUAGUAGUUAGGAAUUUCUAACUACGUUAUUUGUUUCUCGUUCAACAAAAUUAUCUAGUUCAACAAAGUCAUAUACUGUUGUUAAAUCUUGGUUUAAUAAGGUAUAGGAUUUAAUAAGAUGAUGUUUUUUUUAUAAAAAAAAUUUAUAAUAAACUACAGCUGAAUGAAAAAUUUAUUCAUGAUUAUAGACUAUAAUUUUUUUCAUUCAAAAGUCUAUUCAUGAUUGUAGACUAUAAUUCUUUUCGUCCAAAUGUAGUCUAUUAUAUAUGAAAUUUCUAAAACAAAUUAAGUAUAUAAAUUAUAAUUUUUUUCCUAAAGGUAACAUAUUAUGUAUUAUUGACCACAAUUUCCAACCAGAAUCUAAGAUCCAUUUUUUUUACUGUAUAUGUCUCUAUUUAUCAUUAACAGUAGUUUAACAUAAAAAAAAAUAACCAUUUUCAUAUUCCUUUAGCAUACUUGGUACAUUUACAAAAGUUAUCACAAAGAGAAAAGUUAAUAAUGCUAAUUAAGAUUCACAAAGAGAAAAGACAUCAAACAAACAUGAUCAAACACGUACACUAGUGCCAAAAUACUGUUUGACAUCACUCACAAGACGUUUGUUAAAGGGUGGUUCGACGUAUAUUAAUGGACAGUGGCAUUAUCGUAAAUAAGUUGGCAAUCAAGACAUCGAUUUCUAAGGCAAACGACGUCUAUAAUAUAAUAGAUGUCUAUUCUUCCCUAACCAGACGUCCAAGGGCCUGACAGGUAGGCGAGAAGAUAGUUUUUUCUGCCCCAUUAACGUCGGUUAUGAGGGGGGCAGACGUCUAUCUGGCUGCAAUUAAUGCUCUUCACCUGAUUCCUAGGCGCUUAGACGUCACGUAAUAAAUAACCGACGUCUAUAAUGUUAUAGACGUUUGUGCUCCCUUAACUUGACGUCAAUGGGCCUGAUAGGAAGGCGAGAAGACAAUCAAUUUCUGCCAUAUAGACGUCUAGUUUUUGGGGGACCGACGUCUAUGUGACUGUAAUUAAUGUUAUUCACCUAACUCGUAGGUACUUCGAUGUCACAUAGCAUAGAGCCACGUCUAAAAUGUUAUAAAUGUCGGCACCUCAAGUAAACCGUCGUCUACUUCCCUGACCAGAAUUGAAAAGUCAUUCCGAUCAACACCGUAGACAUCGGUGCCCCUUGUGUCCAACGUCUAAGGUGCUUGUAAAAGGUAGUGAAAAGUUAUCUUGGACGUCACAUUAGUGAGCUAACCGACGUCUAGGGGACUUUAGACGUCGGUUUCUAUUGUAACCGACGCCUAAAUUCAUGUUAAAUAAACCACAGACUCACAGUUACGCAAACACCAUCGUCUUCCUCCUCUCCUUUUUCUCUCUUGCGGCAUUGCAUUUCAGGUAUGUCUUUUUUUAUUUAAACCGUUUAAUCUUUGUUUCAGUCUGAUUAUAUUAGUCUUUUCAUCGAUUAUCUUCUAAUUCAACUGAUUAAAAUUUGUUUUCGUUGUGUUGUGUUUUAGUGCAGUUUGUUCCUCUCUUGAGGUAACUUAGUACCACAUUCUGCCUUUGCUAGCUUCCUCCCAGGAAAAACGACGUCUUUUGGAUUUCUUAUGGCGUUUCGACCCAAAAAUGAACCUAGGUCGUUACCUAAUUAUCGUUUCAUCGUAAUUGUUUCCUUUUGUUGUUGAAAAUGGAGCUAGGCAAGAACCCAAUAAGAUAAGUUAAUAAACCUCUGAAAAUUGAUGUCAUUUGUUACCAUCCUUAUACUAGGAACCUGUUAAUUUCUCUUAAAAUGCAGAGAACUUUACACAGACUUAUAUCUCGAUUACUUUUUAAAUUUAGUAAAGCUCUUUUAUUCUCAAAAAAUAAAUAAAUAGACACAUACUUGUAUGGAACGUAAGAGUAAAGUUAAGGGCAGUUUUCUUUCUUCGUGUUGUAAAGGCUCUGAAAAAAUGGAUUCAGGAAAGCCAGUUCUAGUUAUGUAAAAUUUUAUACUUAAAAUAUGCGUAAGUCAACUUAAACCCUUCCACAAGCACAGCUACUNNNNNNNNNNNNNNNNNNNNNNNNNNNNNNNNNNNNNNNNNNNNNNNNNNNNNNNNNNNNNNNNNNNNNNNNNNNNNNNNNNNNNNNNNNNNNNNNNNNNNNNNNNNNNNNNNNNNNNNNNNNNNNNNNNNNNNNNNNNNNNNNNNNNNNNNNNNNNNNNNNNNNNNNNNNNNNNNNNNNNNNNNNNNNNNNNNNNNNNNNNNNNNNNNNNNNNNNNNNNNNNNNNNNNNNNNNNNNNNNNNNNNNNNNNNNNNNNNNNNNNNNNNNNNNNNNNNNNNNNNNNNNNNNNNNNNNNNNNNNNNNNNNNNNNNNNNNNNNNNNNNNNNNNNNNNNNNNNNNNNNNNNNNNNNNNNNNNNNNNNNNNNNNNNNNNNNNNNNNNNNNNNNNNNNNNNNNNNNNNNNNNNNNNNNNNNNNNNNNNNNNNNNNNNNNNNNNNNNNNNNNNNNNNNNNNNNNNNNNNNNNNNNNNNNNNNNNNNNNNNNNNNNNNNNNNNNNNNNNNNNNNNNNNNNNNNNNNNNNNNNNNNNNNNNNNNNNNNNNNNNNNNNNNNNNNNNNNNNNNNNNNNNNNNNNNNNNNNNNNNNNNNNNNNNNNNNNNNNNNNNNNNNNNNNNNNNNNNNNNNNNNNNNNNNNNNNNNNNNNNNNNNNNNNNNNNNNUUGUUCCGGUUCCUCUUUCAUUUCAGGAGAUUAAUAAUUUCUUCCAAGUAUACCGGACAAUCAAAGAAGGGUUUGUGGUGAGAUGGAUAAUAGGUUUUGAAGAAUGUGACAAGUGCGAAAACUCAGGUGGAGAAUGCGGUUUUGAAGGGUCUUCACAGCAAACAUGUUACUGCAGAGAUGGACCUUGUCCUAAUAUCUCACCAGAUAGCGAAGCAUCUUCAGGUACGUCUAAGUUUAUUCAAAAUUUAUUUUUCUGCUUCGUGUUUGACGACGAAUUAAGUUAAUUUUGAGAUCAAAUGUUCAUCUAAUGUGAACAUGCAUUUAAUCUGUCUGAAUUCAUCCUUUGAAAUUUGAACUGACAGAUUAAACCCCUUUUUUAAUUGGUUGAUUGAGAUCCAGUUCUUCAUCAUGUGGGUCAAAGUAUACUAUAUGUUUGGUCUUGUUCCUUGUUCCUUAGUCUUAGGUAGCUCUGAAGUCUUAAGCUAAUGAGAGUUUCAUCCAUUGUUUCACACCAUGUUGAGGCCUUUAGGGGAAUAAAAUUCCAAAUUACUGUAUUUGGAAAAUGCUGAGAAAAUGAAAGGAAAUAGGGAAUGGAAAACAUCUAUCGUUGUCUGAUUCUCAGUGCCGUCACGACAUUGAGAAAUUGCGAUUGGUGAAGCCAUUCAGCAAUUCUAGAGUGCAACCUCAAUUUUCUCGAUCAAACAUGAAAAAAAUUCUCUACCUACUACUAAUUCUUGGGUUGAUUAUUACUAUUCUAUUUCUUAUAGUAAUAGUAUAACAUAUUUUCCUCAAAACCUGAAAGGGACAUGAGUGAUGAAGAUAGCUUUGAUAAUUCCUAUAUUUUUUGAAGUAUGCAUAAUUAUGCUACUUGGAAGUCUCAUAUUGCAUGACAAAACAAAAAACUGAUAAAUCAUAGUUAUUCUUUGCCUUUCUUAAGAAUAAAUAUUUAAACUUAAAAUUCUCUUUCUAUUUCAAAGUUCAUAACUUCGGAUUUAUGUUUAGUUAUUUUUGUUUAGAUUGCUUGUAUUCCCUGUUUCUGUUUAAAUGUCGUAAUGUUUUAAUAUUUUAUUUCUUUUUAAUUAUCAUUUUUAAAUUUCAAUACCAUAUAUUAAUUACUCUUUUAAUUUAUGGAUGUUAGAAUGUUAUUUUCAUCCUUGUUUAUUAAUUAUGGGUUGUACAUAGAAGAACAUUGUUUUUAAAACAAUAUGGUUAUAAAUAGUCAAAAAGUCAACUGUGUAUGUGAAUUUAAUAUCAUAUUUUGCUUAAAAAUCUUGGAACAUUGUUUAUAUAAUAUACUCUAAAUAUGUUUGUGCACCAUUAUUAAACUUUUAGAGUUUAUCCUUCUUUGCUAAUAUGAGCUAACUCUUGUAACAUUGUUAACUCACAUUAAUUAAGGGUCAUACUACUAUACCUUUGGAUUGUUAUAAAUACUUAAAUAUUAGGUUUCUUAUGUUUGAAUUCAAAGAAUUAAUAAUAUUAUAUGUGAUUUAUUAUACUUAAUCUAAAAUGUUUGGACAUAAAGUCAUUGAGUUCUAAUCAAUGUGACUUUAUUUACAUUCAAUAUUUUACUCUCUCUCAAAUAAAACAUAUAUUUCCAAGUGUCACAUUUUGAGAUAUUUUUAAAUCUAUUUGUCCUUUUCGAAGUUGAAGAUAAAACCUAACUAUAUUUUAUCAUUUAUAUCUUUGUCAUUCACUUCAUAUUUAGUUAAUUUAUUAUGAUUUCAGUAAUUUACAUGUAUAUGCAUUGUGAUAUUUUAAUAAAAAUAACAAAACAUAAAAUCUUAUAAAUAUUUUACUAACUUAAAAAAAUAACGUAUUUCUUGAUGCAAUCAAUGAUAAAGACACUUAUAAGUAAAGAAAGCUUCUUUACAAUCUUCAAAACCUAAGCCAUUUUUGGUGAGUUGGAAAACGUAUUUAUAGUUUAGAUCUAAAGUAGAACUUAUUUAACAUUAAUGAGAAUUAGGAUUUUUCAAUACUCAAAUCCUCUGUAUCUAUAAUUAGGUUUUUAAAUUAGAUGUCUAAAUAUAAGAAUCAAUUUUUUGAAAACAUUAAAUUCAUAAAAAAUAUAAUUUAUUAAAAAAUUAACAUUUUGUAAAUGAAAUCAUUCCCAACAAAAACAAUAUUCAAGAAAUAAAAAAAAUAACUUCGCGCUAAGUCACUUUCAAUUUUUUUUUAUUAAAAUAAUGCAUCUAUAUUCUCACUACACAAAUUUUAAAUCUUUCAAAUGAUGACUUUUAUAUACACAAAAAAGUUGACCUGUUAAAAGAUAAGUCUAAAAAAAAUAGAGAUUCUGACAAACACAAUUUUACAAUAAAACAAAAUUAUAAGUGUAGAAUGAAAACCCGAAGAAAAAGACAAAAAUAUACAUACAAACAAGACUUCUAUACAAAAAAAUAAAUAAAAUCAGCCUGUAAAGACGACUUAUUAUUUUUAAGACCGUGUUUUCUAAUACGAUUCAUCUAUAAAGGUAAUUUAUUUUAAUUUUACUUACUUUAAUAAAAUUCAGUUAAAAUUACAGUGUUAUUGUAAAUUUCCUUAUUGUUAAAAUAUUGGUUAUAAAUGUAUAGUUGUGAAAUAAAGAUAGGUUUGAGAAUGAGACUUUACCUAAAAAAUUAAAUAGGAAAGGAUAAAGAUAAAUAUAAUUUUUUUAUUUACAAUUUCACACAUUUAUGAUUAAAAAGUAGUUUGAAUUGAAAUUACAUUCUAUUUUUUUUUAUAAAAUAUAAGGCAUAACUACUCUAAGCGAUGUACAAUGUAUAAAAAAAAAAAAAAAACGUUAAAUUCAAGGUCGAAAAAACAACGAAGUAGACGACGUAGAAUAUGGUUUCAAUUUCUUUAGUACGGUCUACUCUUCUGGAAGCAGACUUCGGGAAAUUUGGAAUGAGACAAAAAUAUAUGGAACAUUAAAUAUACUCAGUGUGUAUGCAAUGUAACAACGUUAUUCUACAACUCCAUCUAACAUAAGCUAUGGUCACGUAAUCACACUCAGAAUAAAUAAUAAACAAACAAACAUGCUUACAUGAUAAUUUCCAAGUUGCCGUUUGGCUCGGGUUUCUUAGAAACAUCAAGCUUUGAAACUAAAACGCCAAAUGUUACAGAGUUCCCAAUAUAAUCAUCUACGCGCUAGUUUUACUGCUUCAAUAUAUCCUUGUCUUCGUUUUGCUCUCCCUGCAUGCACCUUCUUCCUCCCACAUCUUCUUUCAACCUCCAGCAAUGAAACCUAAGCUAACUCUUCACCCUUCUUUCAUCUUCGUUCUGUUGCUCAUCUCAACCAAUGCUCCGACCUAUCUUUGUGAGGAGGAUGCUCGAUACACCAACUGUAGGAACGCUUUUACAUGCGGAGAUACCAAGCUGGAUCUCAGGUACCCCUUCUCGGGAGAAAACAGAGAUAGUUAUUGCGGCGAAGAGAAGCUCACGUGUGAAAAACAAGUCCCCAUGAUAACCAUCAACGAUGCCAAGUACCGUAUUCUUGAUUGGCGUAAUACAACACAGACAAUAACAGUGGCCAGGGAUGAUUAUUGGGAUGGUAUCUGUGUGAGUGAGUACAAGAACAGUACCUUUGGUAACGCUCACUUUCAAUAUGAUCAGCAAUAUAAUGAUCUUGGUAACGUCACACUCUUUUAUUGCCCUUCCGAUUCAGCUCCCUCUAUACUCACGGAAUUUUAUCAAGAAAGUUGUGGUGCUGGUAAAUUUGUCUUCUACACUCCCCUACCCGUACCUCCGUACUCGGGGAACUGUGCGGUUGUGGCGAUUCCGAUAUUUGAAACCAACGCUUCACUUGUUCGUGAAAACAAAAUAACCGAGGCGUUACGGAAUGGUUUUGAGUUGAAUUGGGAGGGAGAUAACGGGGAGUGUGAGAAAUGCAGUGAUUCUGGUGGAGAGUGUGGAGUUGAUGAAGGAGAUGGAGGAUUUCAAUGUUUCUGCGUGGAUGGACCCCAUUCUGCUACAUGCAAAGGUAUGUCUGUAUUUCCAUUUCUAGUUUAGUUCGUAAAAGAUAAAAAUACAUGGCUUUUCUCUGUGAUUGAAGAAGGGUGUUAUUAUAACUAACAACAAAACAACACUUUGCCUAAAGAAGAAAAGGGUUGAAUAUUUGAUCCUAGCAUUUCCUUGUGAACACCAACGAGAAGUUCAUAUUGGAGGUCCGGUUGUACCUCAAACACCAUUCUCUAAUAACAAAGAUAAAUGUUGGAAAAAAGUUAUCUUUAUAUGGAUCACUUCAACCUUUAUCACGCAAACAAGGAAUGAGAUAGAACAGUACUUCAUAUGGAACAAAACUGGGGUCAUAGCAUUUGGCAUGUCGAUUGGUUCCGAUUAACUGAUGUUGGUUCUUCCCCAAAACGCCAUAGCAUUGGAAGAACCGGGUCAGCAAUUGCUUGCUUGAAGAGAGAGAAAGGACAUGAUAAUGUUUGACUUUUGGGAUACUUAUGUACACAACAAAUCAAACUCCUGAUAUAUUCUCCUGUUGACCAUUUCAUUUUUCACCCAACCAUAAGAUUUUAUUAUUAUUAUUUUAUUUAUUUUUAUUCUUGGAGUAGACGUGUCAAGCCUCUUUUUAUUUUUAAUGUGUAAACGAGUAAGCUGGAGUUGUUAGGCAUGAAGUUUGGUCAUAACUGGCCAGAGCGGUUACACACAGAGCACCAACCCAUAAACUUUGUUUAAUGUUUAAUCAGAGUUAGGUGAUACCAAUUUGACAAUUUUUAACUGAAAAUAAUAGUAGUUGGUGUCUGGUCAAAGGCUAACAGGUCACCUAAAUUUACAUUUUCAAAACUCACCAAGCUUCUGUUUAACCUCUGCUGUAAUCUCCCUCUUCUCUCUUUAUCAAUUACAGUGUCAAAUCCUCUGUUUCUCUUCUCUACCAUACUAUUUUUUCUUUUUGAAGAUGACACUUUUUCAAGGCUCCUUUUUCUUAUUUUUUGUCAUAACCAUCAUCACCCUAAACCAAAUUCCAACAUCUUGUGCUGACGAUGAGCAUUAUCUGAAAUGCAGUUCUCCGUUUCAGUGUGCGAAUCUAAAAAACCUAAGUUAUCCUUUCUGGGGAUUUGGUAGAACCCCAUAUUGUGGCCACCCUGCGUUUAACCUGCAAUGCACAGGUGAAGUAGCAACGCUUACCUUGAUGUCAGAGAGUUAUAGAGUUCUUGAAGUCAAUGAUUCGGAUCAUAGAUUCAAGCUUGUAAGAACUGACUACUGGAAUAACAUCUGUCCCACUAUCCUCAGGAACAUCACUGUAGAUGGCACUUUCUUUGAUUACGGCUCAGAUACUCAGAACCUGACUUUCUACUAUGAUUGUCCUUCGUUUCCUCAAUCAGAUAGCGUUUUCCCUUGGUUUAACUGUAGUGUAAAUGGAACUCAAAUGAUUAACUAUUUUGUGACGGAGAGCAUGCUUGAGAGUUCUGAGCCAGGUGAAAUAAUGGGAGCAUGCAAAUCUAGAGUAGUCGUUCCGAUUUUGGAGUCAGAAGCUAAACUUCUAGAAAAAAACUCAACGGUGGAAAAUCUUAAGGCCGUUCUUGAUAAUGGUUUUGACGCGGAGUGGGAUGCAAACAAUAGUUUGUGUGAUAAAUGCCAAAACUCUGGUGGGUACUGUGGUUAUAACCCAAGCUCAGGUGAAUUUAUGUGCUAUUGCAGGGACGAAUCUUCUCCAUCCACAUGUAAAAAUUCAGGUGAGUAACUGUGACUUAGAUUUAUAAACUUAGCUCCAUCAUUAUACUAAAUAUUUACUCAGUCACAGUUGCAUCUUAAGUUUCUGCUGUUGAUGGGGUGGUGUGAACUACCUCCUCUGUUUCGAAUAGGAUCAGCCAUAAGAAUUUUAGGAAGAUCUGGAUAAGAAUGCUUCUUCUAGCUGUAAAACAUCAUUCUUUUGGUUUUCACCUUCUUUUAUCUAUCUUAUCAAUGACUUCCUUCCAACAUUGCUGCAUUUGAAAAUAUUGCAGAUAGAGUGGUAGAUAUUAGGUAGGAGUAAGUAGCAAUCAACAGCUGGGGUUUACACAUUCAUCUCCCUUUUAACAUAUUUGUUGCCUUCUUUGACUGCAAUUAAACUAUCUUUUAUUUCUUGUCUUCUCAAUAAUGUAUUUCCGUCUACAAAACUCACUGAAACUCUGCUAAAAUUUCUUGAGUAAGUUCAAAUCUAGGGAUAAUUGGCCUGAUUCGCAGUUGUGCCUGGUACACAGAUUUAGAUCCAAUGCCCCCAGGAUUAAACAAACCAAUUUCCAGAUUUUUGUAGUUCUUUAUCAGUAUCUACAAAUGAUAAUCGCUUCCUGACUUUAUACUAGUAUCUGUAAAGUCCCUUUAGUGGGUUCAAACCACAAAUUAUCAAAUGUGACAAGAUAUUGGAGCAUCUAAAAACAAGAUAUUUUCAACACUGGCAGCAAAAAUGUUUGGCUGUUAUAAGAAAAGUCAUGCAUAUGAGGGUGGUAAAGAAGGUUAAAGUCGCUUAUCAAAACCUCAUGUUCGUAGAAACAUUCUUGCUGAGCAAGGCAAGACUGUUUAUUAUCUUUUCACUACACGUAAUUAUGUGUUAAGAAAAUAUUGCACGAAACUCCCUCCGUAAAAAUUUGAGUAACCACACUUUUCGACUGAAUCAUUGAGUUUAAACACAGAUACAUGAACAUAUUUUUAUAAGUCUUACAUGUUCAAAUCCUGCGCCUAAAUUAAAUAUAUGUUUUCUGACAUCAUGUUAUUAGUUGCCACCACAUGUGUCUCUUUUCCUUAACUAACAUAUUCCAAUGCAGCUCCUCCGUCUGAACCAUCCGGCCAAAACGUCCAAAAACCACGUGUAACAUACUUCUAGAUUUUGAACAGCCACCAUUUUGAACCAUGCUAUAACAGUAUAAUUUGUGUUUGACUUAACUCAAUAUUAUAUACGCAUCCUUCACGAACUUCCCCAAAAACAAUAAUUUCCUGUUCCACUAUCUCAUUAUUUUAAAGUGUAUGAAACAUGAAAAAAUAAUUUAUUCGGCUGCUAUUGCUAAAGCCUCAAAUCUCAGAUUAUAAUUUUAUUUUUCAAACGUUGUCAAAGUCCAAGUCAAACAAAUUCAUCUUCAUGUUCUUUUUUCUUUUCCAUUCUUCUCACUUCGUUUAAAGUUCAAAUCCUAGGACCAUAGUUCAUAGGACUGCCACCAGGGACGAACAAUAAACCAUGUUGUCCCUGUCGUUGACCACCACCACCACCAUUGUAGCCAUCAUCCUCAUCUUCUCUCUCCACCACACUACGUCGUUGCCACCCUAUGCACCACUCUCCACCUGCCAACUCACCUCCUUCAACUGCGGCACCAUCACCAACCUUUCCUACCCUUUUACCGGCGGCGACCGCCCCUCCUUCUGUGGGCCACCACAGUUCCAUUUGAACUGCCAAGACGGUGUCGUCCCCGUGUUGAACAUCUCAUCAGUGAGCUACCGAGUCCUCAGUAUCAACUCGGUGGCUCAGACCCUCACCUUAGCGAGAUUAGACCUUUGGAACGAGACAUGCACGAAAGUUUACGUGAACUCAACUUUUGAUGACCCCAUCUUCGGCUAUGGUUUGGGGAACCAAAACCUGACCUUGUUUUAUGAGUGCAAACCCACCUCAGCGUUCACCGAAAAACCAAAAAAUCUGUUUCACUGCGAGAGUAAUGGAGCUUUGAAUGAGUCUUAUGCUUUGGUUGGUUCUUUACCUUCGGAUCCUAUUCUUGGAAUUGUUGAAUGCGUUCAACAUAUUUCGGUUCCAAUCCUUAAAGAGCAGGCUGAUAGGCUGGUGGAAAACCGGUCUUUGCUUCGGGAGAUUCUGAUGAAGGGGUUUAACGUGAACUAUUGGAAUCCUUAUGAGAGUGUGUGCCUUGAGUGUGUCAGUUCUGAUGGCCAUUGUGGCUUUGAUUCUGAUAAGAACCAACCUAUUUGUAUUUGUGAGGACCAAUUGUGUUCAACUCCAGGUAUUCCAGCUUUUCGUUUGGUUCAUUUUCUCUUUAACUGCUAUUUUCUCUUCUUCUCUUGAUUCCCUUUCGUCACCUAUUUUCACUGUGUUUGGUUCCAUAUCAAACACACAUCUCAGAUGUGAUUUUUAAGAAGCUAAAAGUCAUAUACUGUAUUUGAUUUGGUAGCAGAAAACUAUGGUGAAUAUACAAAGCACGAUGAAAUUACCAUAAAAGCAAAUACUUACUAAAUUAAAAAAUCAUGGUGAGUUCAAACUCACCUUGUAACCAAACAUGCAAAUAGUUUCCAUGUCUCAAAUGUGAUUCCUUACUUUUUAAUUGAUUGUUGACAAUGUUUGUUAUUAGGGGUUUGAACUAGAAUUCAUUUAGAAAGUUGAUUCUGUAAAAUGAUUUUAAAACAAAGAACUUUGUAUUUAGGUGUUGACAUCUAAAGCAGUAAAUAGUAAAAUCUUUAAACCAACACACAAACUUUACAAUUAAUUAUGGACUUUGUAAAACAUGUUCAAACCUAUUAAUAUUUACUUUAAAACAUGUUCAGAUCUGUAAAACAUAGCCAGUAUUUUAAAGUGAUUUUACUCAGUAUGAAUCAGGUGCCACUAAAGAUUGUAAAACUCUCAAUUUUCAUUCUUUUUUGGUGAAAAAUCUAGCUAUGCUUCUUUCCCUGCAACUUAAUUCGCAUUUAUAGUUACAAGCUUCCACUAUUCACCGAUUCGGUUAAGAGAGAAAUUGAGGCUUUAUUAGCUUCUCGUGUUGACUACCUUUCAUUUUCAUCCCUCUCAUCCUUUGUUUUGACAUCUUAUUUGUUUUGGAAUAUUGCAGGUAAACGCAACAAUGUAGGUGUAGCAAUAGGUAACUUUCAUUUUGUUAAUUUAAUACUACAUACAUAAGUGCUUCCUUUUUGUUUAUAGAAUUUUACUGAUGUCUACUAUUGGUACUGUUAUCAGGCGCUACUGUAGGAGGAGUUGCAGCCCUUGUUGUCAUUCUUGGAUGUGUGUACUUUAUGAUACAAAGAAGAAGAAAAAUUUAUCAAAAAUCAAGAAGUAUGGAGCUCUUCAUAGCUCCAACUUCAAGCGGAGACACUUUUGCAUCAACAACUAUCACGUCUCAAAGUCUAUCUUCUUACCAAUCUUCCAAUCCAGUAACCAGGAGUUACUACUUUGGUGUCCAGGUCUUUACCUAUGAGGAAUUGGAGGAAGCUACCAAAAACUUUGAUGCUUCUAGAGAACUUGGUGAGGGAGGUUUUGGCACUGUUUACAAAGGUAACAAAAUAACUUACAUGUCCACGAUGCACAGAUACAGUUCCUCUCUCACAUACCAUAUGUUUCUGAUACAAUGAUAUAAUUAUUCUAAAGAUGUAUAGGAUAUGAUACCUGGUAUGAUAACUGUUUUUCUUGAACAAUCUUAUAUUUGUUAACCAGGUGAACUCAAAGAUGGACGUACAGUUGCAGUGAAACGCCAUUACGAAAGCAACUCUAGGCGUAUUGUGCAGUUCAUGAAUGAAGUUCAGAUUCUAGCCCGCUUAAGGCACAAGAACCUUGUGACACUCUUUGGUUGCACGUCUAAACAUAGCAGAGAACUUCUCCUUGUCUAUGAAUUCAUACCUAAUGGAACAGUGGCAUAUCAUCUUCAAGGAAGAGGCUCAAAAUCAACUUUACUCCCUUGGCCUAUAAGAUUGAACAUUGCUGUUGAAACGGCUGAGGCUCUAGCCUACCUACAUGCAAAUGAUGUCAUACACCGUGAUGUUAAAACCAACAACAUUCUCUUGGAUGAUCAAUUUUGCGUCAAGGUUGCUGAUUUUGGUCUCUCGAGGGAUUUCCCAACUGAUGUCACUCAUGUGUCAACAGCUCCACAGGGAACACCUGGUUAUGUUGACCCUGAAUAUUACCAGUGCUACCAGCUCACUGAUAAAAGUGAUGUUUACAGCUUUGGAGUGGUUUUGGUUGAGCUUAUAUCAUCACUGCAAGCUGUGGACAUCAACAGGAAUCGCAGUGAUGUGAACUUGUCAAACAUGGCUAUAAAAAAAAUUCAAAACCAGGAACUGCAUGAAUUGGUUGAUCCUUAUCUUGGGUUUGAGAAGGAUCCUGCUAUGAGGAGGAUGACAACAGCAGUGGCAGAAUUGGCCUUUAGGUGUUUGCAACAGGAAAGAGAUUUGAGACCAUGCAUGGAUGAGGUGGUGGAGAUCUUAAGAGGAAUCAAGAGUGAUGGGCUUGGUGGACGGGAAGAGACAGAAAUAUUGGAUAUAAGGACUGAUGAAGCUAUACUUUUGAAGAAGGCUCAUUCUCCUGUUUCACCAAAUUCAGUUGUUGACAAUUGGGUUAGCGGCUCCUCUGUAUCUAAUUCCUCAUAGUUUCUAAGCUUUAAUUUUUGCUAUUGGUGAAGAUCUAGUUAGAUAGUGAAACUUGUGUCAGUGAGCUAGUUUAGAAAGCUUCUGUUUUGAACUUGGUAUGUUAUUAUGAUGAUGAGAAGGUGAAUUCACUGCUGAUUCAGAAAAUGUAAUAUGCAUAGGGGUCAGAUAAAUACAUAUAUAUUCAUAUUUAUUUGGAGGUGUAAAUAUUCUAGUGUGUUUGUAGCUAAGAUGUAUUUUUUGAAAAGAAUUGUGUUACUCGUACAAGAUUUGUACAUUGUAAAUAUUCUCGUGUGUUUGUAGCUAAGAUGUGUGAAGUUGUAUUGAAAUGCAUGUUCUGAUAAAUUAAAAAUAGUCUUCUAGCAGUAUACCAAGUCUUAGUUUCUGACAAAUAAAUGUUUACUAGAAUCCAUUGAAUUACCUUGAGACAGGGUGAGAGGAAGAAGCAUUUUUUUUAGUAUUAUCUGUUGGAUUUGGAUUACUGGUGUUAUUGUAUCAUGCUGUCUCAUGUUACCUUGCAUAGGCAGAGACAGAAUAAUUAGUUCUAUGUAUAGGCUCUACUCCACACAAAUGAUACAUAGCAUAUAGCAUGUGUUACCUACAGUAAUUAGUUUGUGUCCUUUACCAUUCGGUAGAGAAAACAUGAGGGCCUUUCUGUUCCCUCCCACAACUGCGGAGAAAAAUCAGAAAAAAAAAAGAUAUUAUAAACAAAUAAUAGUAAUUAUUGUAAUUAUUUGAGAAAUAUUUUUUAUAUUAUAUAGACUACAGGUAAUGUGAAUUAACCUGAGUGAAUAUAAAUCUUAUUUUAGAAAUUAAUGUUAUGAUAUUAAAUUAUAUUUAACAUAUAUGUUUUAACAUGAAAUUAGAGUUAUGAUUUUAGAGUCUGUUUUGGAAAAUGACUCUUUACUUGGUAAUAGUUAAGACCUAUAUUAUUAACUCAAACAUCACGAUGUUAAUUCCUUUUAAAUAAAAUCCGGAGAACUUUACACUGAAUUAUUUCUCAAUUAAUUUUAAAAUUCAUUAAAGCUCUUUCAACCUGAUAAAAUAUAAAUAAAUAGAUAGAGGAUCUCAACAAAACUUACCCCACGUGCUUAAAAUUAAGGGCACUUUUCUUUCUUCGUAUUAUAAAGAUUCAUUAGGUACAAAAAUGGAUUCAAGAAAGGCAGUUCAAGUUAUGUAAAAUUUUGAGCAGUGAUACCUUGACACAGCAAAUCCAAAAAUUAUGUUCAUUUGACACGGUCAAAUAAUAACAUUUUAAUUAUAAUUAUAUUAUUUUUUAAUUUAAAAUCAUAUAUAUUAUUAUAUUAUUAAGAGUAGUAUCAAAUAAAUGUGUUUUUAUUAGAUUCGUCUCAAACUAACCUUUUCCUAAAAUUUUAUACUUAAAAUAUGCUUAAGUCAACUUAAACUUUUCCACAAGCAGAGUUACUUGGCUUAGAAAAACCAAUUCCUUUUGAGUCACAUUCUCUCCAAACAUUUCCUUGACUUUUUCUUUCCACUCUGCCAAUGGCUUCCCACAGUGUUAAUCUCCCUCUUAUCACUAUACUUCAUCACUCAAUUAUCUUCCUCCUACUCUUUAAGAUACCUUCAUGCUUAAGCUCCAACCAUACUUACAGCAAUUGCGCUAAUCUGAUGAGUUGUGGCAAUAUAAGAAACAUCAGUUUUCCAUUCUGGGGAGGGAACCGCCCAAAAGAGUGUGGCCACCCUCUGAUGGAACUCAUCUGCGAAAACGAGAUCAGCUACAUAACCAUUAACGAUGUCAAGUACCAGGUUUGGAAUGCCAACCCAGAUAGCCAUACUUUGAAAAUCACCAGACAAGAUUACUCGAUAGACUUAUGCCAGCCAGAACAAGUCAGCACCAGCCUUGACACUCAGCUCUACGUUUACGAGUCACACUAUAAGAAUCUUACCCUUUCCUAUGGUUGCACUCCUUCAGACUUUUUGCCUCUCACNUAUAUUCCUUGUAACGGAACUACUUCUGGGGAAACCGUUUAUUCUCAGUUUGGAUCAUUUUCUCCCGUGUCUUGCAAAACAAGUGUGGUUGUUCCGGUUCCUCUUUCAUUUCAGGAGAUUAAUAAUUUCUUCCAAGUAUACCGGNCAAUCAAAGAAGGGUUUGUGGUGAGAUGGAUAAUAGGUGUUGAAGAAUGUGACAAGUGCGAAAACUCAGGUGGAGAAUGCGGUUUUGAAGGUUCUUCACAGCAAACUUGUUACUGCAGAGAUGGACCUUGUCCUAAUUUCUCACAAGAUAGCGAAGCAUCUUCAGGUACGCCUAUGUUUAUUCAAAAUUAAAUUUUUCUGCUUUUUGUUUGACGAUUUGCCAUGCAUGUGUCUCUUUUCCUUAACCAACAUAUUUCAAAGCAGUUCCUCUUAAAAAAAAUCUGUGAAACGCACAAAUGAUUUAUUGAAUAAUUUAUUAUAAUUAUUUAAUCUUGGUACUCUUUAAAUAAAUAUGAAUAAAACUUUAAAUCAAAUAUAAAUAAUAAAAACUAAAAAUAGAAUAUAAUUGACUUAAAAUAAAAAUAACUACACUUAAUUUAUCUUUAUCUUAUAUCAACAAAAUAAAAUAUUACACCUAAAUAAAAAUCAAAAUUAUCUAUUCUUAUUUUAUUUUUUUUAAAAUUAAAUUAAAUAUUACUAUAUCCAAACUAAUAAAAUAAAAUAAGAUUCAAACAAAAUUAUUAACAAAUCUUUAAAAUUUAAGUUUAUGUCAACGUAACUCUACAAUAAACUUAAAUUUUUUAUUCUUUGUUUGACUUUUCAUGUGUAUCAUUACAUAGAAUUUCUUUCUUUCAAUUAGAUUUGAAUUAUUUUUUCUUAUGAUCUUCCUUUCUUUUAUCUUAAAAAAACUCUCUAAUGUUUUGAUUGACUUUUCCUUGACAUUUUUUGAUUUGUUCUUUGAUUUGUUUCUCUUCUCAAUAACCUUGUUGCCACCAUGGUCUAUUGCGAUAGGAGCUAUGUCACAAUGAUGGUAGUUCUUCAUGUUGAAAUUCUUCACUUUUUAUUGAGAGAUCCAUUUUAGUUUCUGUACACAUUGUAUCUCAUCAUCUUUUUCUUUAAGUUUCUUAUCCAGAUUCGCCACCCUCAUCAUCUAAGACUUUUGAAAUUUCUAUCGAGCUUUUUAUAGUUGUCAAGUUAACCCAUUUGAUAGGAUUUAGUCCUCGUAGGAGUAAAAAAAACCAUAAAAUCAAAAAGAUCAUUUACUAAAAAAACUCGUAAAGAAAACCGAGGUUUUUAUGUUACAGAAACAGAGAGAAACAAAUUUUUUGUUAAAAAAAACAUAUACAAAAACAUAAAAGAAACAGAGAAUUCUGCAGUGUUUGUCACCUGCAUAAUUAUAAACUGGCAGGGCCAAACUGCCAACCAAGGUCUCUAUGAUCCUUUCAAAUUCAUAGGUGCCCAAUGUUUUGAGGUGUCGUACAUGCUCCGUUGGGACCGAUGGAGUAGACCAAUCAGGCGUUGUUAUCUCUUCAUCUCAAUGUCUUCACCCUCAUACUCCCAUGAUAACCAAAACACUUUAAUAAUCAAGGACACAACAUGAUGGUUCAACAUUCAAUACUAUAGUUUAAGUACUUACUAUUAAGCAUGCAAUUAACUUCACACAGAAGAAUAUCAAUCAUAAAACCACUACAAUAGAAGGAAAAAGACGUCUCAACCAAUUUAAUAUCAAUUAAACUGCAUCAUGAUUUUAAAGUCAAGCAAAAUAGGUACACUAGAGUCUAACCUAUUAGGUAUAAGCUUGAUAUAGACUUAAAAAAUGGUGAUUUUUUUAAAGGACAUUAUCUCCCACUCAUAUUCUGAGAGAACAAAGUAUAUAUCAAUAAAAAAUGAACUCAUGCAUACUAUUCCAAGAGAAAAAAAAAUAAUUGAACCAAUUGCAAAAAAACAAGAAAAGUAAGCUAGAGACACCUUUCUUAGCAUCCUUUUUGCAAGUAUGUGAUAAUGACGCUGCCAUAACAGCAAACAAAACAAAAUGAACUUUAGUCACUACAAUUGACGAUCACAAACUUUCUGCUAACAUAUACUUCAAAUAUAACACUAGCAGACUUUCUAAAUUGAUCAUGUCCAAAGAUGUAUAAAUAUAAGAACUAUGUAUUUUAACAGUGUCAAGAAAAGAAAAUAUAUUGUGCUUCAAGUAAUUUUUAUUAUAACUCUCCAGUAUUAUGUUAGAAACUGGCAGUGUGUGAGUGAAUACCAAACUGCCUCACUAUACACUAAAAAUAAGUAUGCAACAUUAGUCUUGACAAUCUAUAAUACUGUAUAAGGAAGGAAUGUUUUAGCCUGACUUAAACCAAAAAGAUGUUAUCUCCAAUUUCAACUUUUUACAUAAAAGUGGAACUUUAAUAAAUUGAUUUUGUUUUUCUGUAAAAAUAAUGUAGAUUUAACAUCAUAAUUCAUAAAAUUGAGGUGUUUGUCAUAGUUAUCUGACAAGCAGAUAAAGGAACUAUAUCAUGGUUAAUCACUAUGAAGAUUUUAACCAAAAAUAUAUUAGUAAAUUGACUCAUAUUAGGAGACCUGGGCUUCAGAGGACCAAAACAUUUUUACAAAACAGGAAGAGCCAAGAGCUUCAUGAAACAAGACUAAAUCCAUUUGAACCAAAUAUAGAUAGAAAUUUGAUAGAGAUCUCACAAUUAACCAGAAAUUGGAACAAAUCCCAAAGUCAAUUAGGUGAAUGAAAACAAAAACUGUAGAAAAUAAGCCCGGAAGGUGAAAACAGAGUGAAUACAAUUUCCCAUGGUUUUAAACAAUGGUAAAAUCCACAAUUUCAGUGGAAAUUGCAGUCGCAAUGUAAAAAAAGGAUGAAGAAAUUUCGUCUAUAACAGCCAUAUAGAGCCAUGCAAUUCGUAAACAGACAGCUAUAAGCAUGAAUUCAGCUACUUGAAAAUUUCAAAUCCACUUAGCAGGUAUCUUAUUUCUUUUGUUAAUCAAAAGAAGUAAAUACAAACUUAUGUUAAUCAUUUCUUAAAAAGAAAUUAUCUGUUUCUUUAGAAAAAGUAGAAAAUAAUUUGCUUUUAAAAUAAGUAAUUUAGAGAAACAAAUAAAAAGACAAAAAUCUGAUUAACAAUAAACUUAAACAAACUCACCCAAAUCAUAUGACACAACAAAAUAAAAUAAAGAGAAAUGACAAGCUGCAUAGAUUAUAUCCAAAAGCAAGAACAGAACAUGCAGAAGUGAAAUGGGUGACAGAAAGAAUAUAUUACCCUGGCGUUAGAGUAGAAGCCAGAACUGUACCGGUAGUGGACAUGGCUAUGUCUACCUUCUCUGUCUUUUUCGUCCUACACAAAAAGAAAAGAUUUUCACAAUGCUAAAACACAAAGAAAGAACAUGUAAUCACUUUUUUGAUGAAUAUCAAAAAGAAAGAAAGAAUAUCAGCUUUUCGUUCGGUUCAUUCUCUCUUUAACUGCUAUUUUCUCCUCCUCUCUUGAUUCCCUUUCGUCACCUAUUUUCACUGUGUUUGGUUCCACAACAAACAAGCAUCUCAGAUGUAAUUUUUAAGAAGCUAAAAGUUAUAUAGUGUAUUUGAUUUGGUAUCAGAAAACUUGGUGAAUAUACAAAGCACGAUGAAAUUACCAUAAAAGCAAAUACUUACUACUUUAAAAAAUCAUGGUGAGUUCAAACUCACCUUGUAACCAAACAUGAAAAUAGUUUCCAUGUCUCAAGUGUGAUUCCUUACUUUUUAAUUGAUUGUUAACAAUUAUCAGGGGUUGAACUAGAACUCAUUUCGAAAAUUGAUUCUGUAAAAUUGAUUUUAAAACAAAGAACAUUGUAUUUACGUGUUGACAUCUAAAGCAGUAAAUAGUAAAAAAACCAACACAAAAACUUUACAAUUAAUUAUGACUUUGUAAAACAUAUUCAAAUCUAUAAAUAAUUACUUAAAUUAUUUAGCUAGUAUUUUAAAGUGAUUUUAGAUAUCUGAGAUGAAUCAGGUGCCACUAAAGUGUGUAAAACUCUCAAUUUUCAUUCUUUUUUGGUGAAAAGUCUGGCUAUGCGUCUUUUCCUGCAACUUAAUUCGCAUUUAUAGUUACAGGAUUCCACUGUUCACCGAAUCGCUUAAGAGAGAAAUUGAGGCUUUAUUAGCUUUCCGUGUUGACUACCUUUCCUUUUCAUCCCUCUGAUCCUUUGUUUUGACAUCUUAUUUGUUUUGGAAUAUUGCAGGUAAACGCAAGAACGUAGAUGUAGCAAUAGGUAACUUUCAUUUUGUUAAUUUAAUAGUACAUACUUUAAGUGCUUCCUUUUUGUUUAUAGAAUUGUACUGAUGUCUACUAUUGGUACUGUUAUCAGGCGCUACUGUAGGAGGAGUUGCAGCCCUUGUUGUCAUUCUUGGAUGUGUGUGCUUUAUUGCAAGGAGUGUGGAGAUAUUCAUAGUUCCAACUUCAAGUGGAGACACUUUUGCAUCAACUACUAUCACGUCUCAAAUUCUAUCUUCUUACCAAUCUUCCAAGCCUGAUCCAGUAGCCAGGACUUUCUUUGGUAUCCAGGUCUUUACCUGUGAGGAACUGGAGGAAGCUACCAAAAACUUUGAUGCUUCUAGAGAACUUGGUAAGGGAGGUUUUGGCACUGUUUACAAAGGUAACAAAAUAACUUACAUGUCCACGAUGCACAAAUACAAUUCAUCUGUCACAUACCAUAUGUUUAUGAUACAAUGAUAUAAUUAUUCUAAAGAUGUAUAGAAUAUGAUACCGGGAAAGAUAUCUGUUUUUCUUUAACAAUCUCAUAUUUGUUAAACAGGUGAACUCAAAGAUGGACGUACGGUUGCAGUGAAACGCCAUGAUGAAAGCAACUCUAAGCGUAUUAUGCAGUUCAUGAAUGAGGUUCAGAUUCUAGGCCGCUUAAGGCACAAGAACCUUGUGACACUCUUUGGAUGCACCUCUAAACAUAGCAGAGAACUUCUCCUUGUCUACGAAUUCAUACCUAAUGGAACAGUGGCUUAUCAUCUUCAAGGAAGAGGCUCAAAAUCAACUUUACUCCCUUGGCCUAUAAGAUUGAACAUUGCUGUUGAAACGGCUGAGGCUCUACUCUACCUACAUGCAAACGAUGUCAUACACCGCGAUGUUAAAACCAGCAACAUUCUCUUGGAUGAUCAAUUUUGCGUCAAGGUUGCUGAUUUUGGUCUCUUAAGGGCUUUCCCCACUGAUGUCACUCAUGUGUCAACAGCUCCACAAGGAACACCAGGUUAUGUUGACCCUGAGUAUCACAAGUGCUACCAUCUCACUGAUAAAAGUGAUGUUUACAGCUUUGGAGUGGUUUUGGUUGAGCUUAUAUCAUCAUUGCGAGCUGUGGACUUCAAUAGGAAUGGCAGUGAUGUGAACUUGUCAUACAUGGCUUUAAGAAAAAUUCAAAACCAGGAACUGCAUGAAUUGGUUGAUCCUUAUCUUGGGUUUGAGAAGAAUCCUACUAUGAGGAUAAUUAUAACAGCAGUGGCAGCAUUGGCCUUUAGGUGUUUGCAACAGGAAAGAGUUUUGAGACCAUGCAUGGAUGAGGUGGUGGAGAUCUUACGAGGAAUCAAGAGUGAUGAGCUUGGUGCGAGGGAAGAGACAGAAAUAUUGACUCAUGAAGUUAUACUUUCGAAGACGGCUUAUUUUCCUGAUUCAAUAGAUUCACUUGUUGACGAUUGUUAGCGGCUCCUCUGUAUCUAAUUCCUUAUAGUUUUAAAUUUUUAAUUUUUCUUUUGGUGAAAAUCUAAUUAGAUAGUGAAACUUGUGUACUUGUAUCAAAAUUUCAGUGAGCUAGUUUAGAAGUCAUAACCUUCCCAUGUAUUUUCUCUAAAAGCUUUUGGUUUGAACUUUUAUUCCGGGCUUGUAUGUUAUUAUGAUGAUGAGAAGGUGAAUUCACUUUUGAUUCAAAAGAUGUAAUAUGCAUAUGGGUCAGAGAAAUACAUUUAUAUUCAUAUAUAUGUUAUUUAAAUAUUUUCGUGUGUUUGGAGCUAAGAUGUAUUUUUUGAAAAGCACUGCGAUACUCGUACAAGAUUUGUACAAUAUUAUGUAUCUACCCAUUUUUAUGGCAUUAUUUGUCACAUUUUAUUUUAUUUUAUUUUAAUUUUGUCCUUAUUGUAUACAUUGUGAUAGGAACAUUUGUAUAUAACGUUAUGUAACUGCUUAACUACAAUGGCUAGAAACACGUUAUUUUUAGCUUAGUUUGUGUGUGAAGUUGUAUUUAAAUACAUGUUCUGAUAAGAGUCUUCUACCAGUAUAUCAAGUCUUAUAGUUUCUGAUAAUAUCCACAUGCAUAAAUGUUCACUAAAAGGUUAGAGUCCAUUGAAUUACCUUCAGACAGGGUGAGAGGAAGAAGCAUUAUUAUUUUUAGUAUCAUCUGUUGGAUUUGGAUUACUCCUGUUAUUCUGUUAUGCUGUCUCGUGUUACCUUGCAUGGUCAGAGACAGAAUAAUUAGUUCUAUGUAUAGACUCUACUCCGCACAAAUGAUACAUGGCAUGUAUUACCUACAGUAAUUAGUUUGUCCUAUAUCAUUCUAUAGAGAAAACAUGAGGGCCUUUAUGUUCCCUCCCACAACUGUGGAGAAAAAUGAGAAAAAAAAAAUGAAUAUUAUAAACAAAUAAUAUAAGUAUUGUAAUUAUUUGUAAAAUGUUUUUAAUACCGCAUCGACCAGAGAUAAUAAAAUAUGAAAUAUAUAGUCACUUUAGGAUUUUACAGUUGAUCACUAUUUUUACAAUAAACACCAAAAUGAAUGAAUGAUUGGAGUUAGAGUGGACCACUGGCACUGCCUUUGGUUCACUGCUUUUCAAGCAGUGUUCCAAAAUCUACCACAAACACAAUUUCCACUGUAAUAUCUUAAGGUUAGUAUUAUAAAAAAAAAAAAUAACAAAACACCUUGUAUUCUUAAUAAAAAUAUAUUAUAAUUAUAUAUACAGGAAGAGAGAGAUCGGAAAAUUGUAUACUUUUACUAAUAGCAAAAUAUAAAAUUAACCAAACAACUCAUCGAUUGAAAGUUCUGUGGAUUAUAUUAAGUUAAUAAAUGUUCAUAAAGACAAAAAUUCGAUUGAUAGUAUAUUGCAUCAAUUUGUUUCAACGGGCAUAAAGUGUCUUUUUAUAGAUGACAUGCCAACAAAAAAACAAUUUAAAGUAUACCAAGAAAUAUUUCAUUUUAAGAGAUUUAUGAAUUUAGAUUGAUUGAUUUUAUAUUUUAUGGAAAAUCAUUAAAUUUUGUACUUAUAAAAAAAACAAAUUAUAUGAUAUAGGUAUGGAUACUCAAGCUUAUAACGAAAUAAAGAUUCAUAUAAAUAUCCAAGUAAUUAAACACUGAUUAAAGAUUAAGGUCGGUAAAUAAUGAAGUGAUUUAAACGCUAAUUAAAAAGUAUGGUCAUUAAGUCAUGAAGUGAAUAUUUAAACCGAAUUAAAGUUUUUAUAUUAAAACUGUAACUUGUUCUCUUUAAUACACUAAAUAUAAAAUAUAUUAAUACUUAUUAUAGUAAGGUGACUAUUUAUCUUUUUUUCAUCAAUUUUUAUAUUUUUAAAUUAUACAAAAUUUACUUGUUUAUUUAGAUUAGUGUAUAUAUAACUUAAUCUUAUGAAAUUAAUUUAUAAGAUAAUUUUUAUAUUUAUUUAUAUAUUACAAAUAAAUUAAGUUUACUUCAAUAAAUUAAGUUUAAAGAUCUCCUUUUAAUUUGGUAUUAAAGUAAUCUAAAGUUCAUCCGAAUAAGAUUUAUUAUUUAUUGGCUUUAUCAUAUCACUUAUUAUUGGAUUAUCAUUUAUAUCUAAUUCAACGUUUGAGAUAUAUAUGUUUAAACGUGGAGAAAAUAUAUUAUAAAUUUUAUAUUGACUAUAAAUAAUAAAAUGAAUUUACAAUAAAAGUGAGAAAUCCAAGCUAGCUUGUUCCAUUUUAAAUCGACUAGGUUAGUCCAUCUCUAAUAACAUCUACCCAAAAGCAUACAAACUAGUCCACAUAAAAUUUGCUUACUUUAUUAAUUUUUUUAUUUUUAUUAACCAACAUAGUUCAUUAGGUUGAAAGAAGAAAAAAGAAAUAUAAUUCAAGCAUAACCAAUAAAAUAUUCCUUAAAAAUAUCAUCGUUAUACUUUUUGAAUCUUGAUUUUUCCUCUUGUGAUUAUUAAGAAUUUUAUAUUGAAAUGAUGAGUAUUAUUAACAAUAAUGGUUAAGUUCAUGCAUUUAUUGUAAAUGCUUAAUUAAUAAUCCUUAUACUUAUAUACACAUAAUGGUUAAAAAAAAAAAACUCUUGUUACAUCAUGAAAUUUUUGUCUUUCUAUUUAAUAUUAAAAACAUAAUAUUUUUUUAAUUUAAAUUUAUAUGGACAAUGCGGACCGUCUUACUCUGUCGUUAGCCUACGCAAACUAUAGAUUAAGACAAUCCAAAAUAGAUAAACAUAUUCAAAAACUUAGUUCACUUCGCACUUUUUAUUUUUUAUUAUUGUGGACAUCUGCCUUAUAUUGUGAUAGGCUAAGUAAAUCACACUUUUUAAAUUGAUUUUGCAGUUUAAAGUUUCAUUCUUAAAAUAUUUAUAAUGUAUAUAUCUAAGGUUUUAGAUUACUUAAGAAAAUAUACAUAUUUUUGUUAGAUCAUCAAUCUUCCCUAGAUUUGUUGAUGAAACCAUACACAUAAAAUUGAUUUCCCUCCAAGUUUACUUUAUAAAGGCAUAAUUGCAACCUAAGCAACCAAAUCAUGCUGACCCAAAAGAAAGUAACCAGAUCAGCCGUAGCUUAUUCUUCCGAAAUUGGUGACUCUAUGUCAAACUUGCACUUCAAUGAAUUGGACUUUUUCUUCUGUUUUGGAUGCAUUAAUUGAUCCAUGCCCAUAUUUCUUCUGAUCUUUCUGGUCUUCUUUGCUACACCAUUUCUCAUCAACACAUCUCAAUCUCAUAAAUGUAAAUCACACUUAAUUUAUCAAACAUAUAUACAAAUAUGAAAGAGAUAUUAAAUGAGAAAGUUAUUUCACACAACUUCUUCAAUUUAUAUUCUGCUUUUAAUUGACUUUGAUGUUCAUCAUUAUGUAAAAAUAAUCAUUUUUUAUUGAAAGAAUCCCUUCUAUAUGUUUAAGAGCCUUAGAAAAAUAUAAACACACAUUAAAUUUGUUUUCAUUAAAAAAAAAUAGUUAAAAUUGCAUGUGUGAUAUAGUUUGAGAAGAAAUUUAAAGCAUUUUGAAUUGGACUUAGGAAAAUGAAAAGAAGAAUAAAAAAUAAAAGUUGAAUAGUAAUGAGAAAGAGCAUUAGGAGUAUUGUGAAGUAGUAGAAUUUGGGGCGUAGAAAAAAAAAAAGGCAGCUUUUAUAUUCCCCGAUAAAGCACUCUUCCGAUCCCUUUCCUUUCUCAGUCUAAUCAAUCUCUUUCUCUCUCUUCUCUCAGAUCUCACUCUCUCUUUCUCUCUCCUCACUUCUCAAUGCACAAAUUCAAGUUUCUCGCCACCCAAUGUGCCGUCGCCGGCAGUCCCACCCGCAGUCCAACAACCAGCCCUGUCAUCCACCUGCGCCGCCGCAAGACCCUCCGCAUGUUCCUCGCCCGACGCCGAUUCCAUCCCCCGCCGCAAGAUCCCCCGCCCCUCCCCGAGGCCCGCGUCCGCCACAAGCUCAAGGACCUCUUCGUCUCCUCACCGCCGCCACCCCUUAACGAAGACAAAACAAUCUUCCAUCAACAGCAACAACAGCAAAUAAAAGAAGAAGAAGAAGAAAACAAGGAUCAGCCUGUCGAACUCAUCCCUAACUCCGCCCUGAGCCUCCGCCUCCGCACCGGAUCUCCCUUCCGGCGCUCCGCCGCAGCUCUCCGCCCGGUAUCCUCCGUCUUCCGCUACCGGUUGCUGAGAAGAGCGUGGCGGCCGGUGCUUGUCACCAUCCCUGAAUAGUACCACUCAUACUUUCUCUGUCAUGACUGUACGGAUUAAUUCAAUUCCUCAAUUUUAUUUUUUAUUUAUUCUAUUAUUUUCAAUUCUUCCACAGAUAACAUAAUAACAUUAUAAUUUUCAUACAAAAAAGAUAUAAUAUUAAACAGAACUUUAAUUGCUAACAUGCGCCGAGUGCGGAGUGCGCUUCUGGUAAAGCCGCGAAGGGAGUAAGUGAUCAAUGUAACUAACACCACGCGGCAACGGUUAUGAUGCGACGUCGUAUACGUAUUUUAGUAUCGUACUUUUCCACGAAUAUUUUAUUCUCACCACACGCCAAUUAAUUUCGGAAUUAUUCACCAAAACAUGUAUUAAUGGUUAACACUGCGAUAAAAUAACAUUUUUUGGACAUUAGUUACAGUUAUGUUAUAUGAAUUUUAUAAUCCAAUUUGAAGUUAUUAUUUAUCGAUUUGACAUGAUUUGUAAAUAAUAUGGAAACUAGGGUUCUUAUUUUUGUGCUUAUUAGAAUGGAUAUAGAAGGAGAGUGAUGAGAUAUAAGUGGCUGUAAGAAAAAGACCGUGAUACUUUCCUACAAGUGUGUCUCUAUUCGCAGCUUCCCAUGUGUUUCUGCUAAAAGUUGGAUUCUUAUCAUCGACGGUCUUCUGUUUUUGUCCUGUCUCGCUGAUCAAAAGAGCUUUUGUUUUGUUGUAACACUUAAGCAAUGCUUGGUGUUAGAGAAUGUAAAAAAGAAUGAUAUUUUCCUGAUGUAGCAAAGUUGUUGUGAUGUUGGUUCUAUAUUUUUAAUGAAAUACAUAUAGAUGUUUUGGUUGGUCUUUUUAGUAUGCUUAAAAAGGUAGCAAUAAUAAUACAUUAGACUAGUGUCCGAACUAAAUUAUGCAAGGAUAAUGCACAUUCCUUUGUACUUGUCUAGGGUUUAUACUCUCUUCUGAUAAGGUAGGCCCUAUGUACUCAUUGCGUAACGUGUGUACUGUAACAGGUGUACUUUUUUAAACUUUAAUUAUAGUGUGGGGAAGCAAUGAUUCUAGCUAGAGAUUUGAGAUCUAACAAGUAUUAAGGGCUUAAUUAUCCGUGUGUUGAUGAUUUGUCUGUGUUGCAUAGGGAAUAGAGUGCCAGUGAAAAUGACAAACAGUUUUGUAUUUGUUUAAAGCUUGAAGGAAUCUUGGUGUUUGAGUGACCCAUUUUUGAGCCAUUUUGUUUGUAUUAUCUUGUUGAAGUGACCUAAAAAGGGUGGAUUGCUGUGCUCCCUAACAUCCCGUUUAGUAUCUAAACAGCCCCACCAUGCCACUAUUGAGGGCAUCUUUUUCCCUUAUUGUUGCUGACUGAAGUUGUUAGUGAUCUUAGCAAUCUAAAAACGCAUAACUCAAAAAGAAAAAUGAGUGAACUAUAUGUCCAUACAAAUCCAUAUAAUGAUCGCUCAAUCGAACAUUAUUAUAGAUCAAAUCAACUCUCCUAACAGUUAAUAGCUCUAAACAUCAAACAUCGACUCAAAUCAAGAUUACUAAUAAGUGUUAUUUAAUAGAUAAUAGAUAGAUUAUAAUUAAACGUAAUUAAAAUUUUACUAAUCUCAUAUCUAUUAAAAAAAUUAUAAAUAAAAGUCAAAGAUAAAAAGAUAAAUAAAUAUAUUUACUGUAAAUUUAAGACUUUAUUAUGAUCUAAUCAGAAUUGUUUAACAGAUAGAUCUAGACAAAUUAGAAUAAUGAAGAUAGUCAAUCCUGUAUCCGAAACAAUGAAUUAAUAAAACAUAACUAAAGGUUGAUGCAAAUAAGAAAGGUUUUUGUAUUUACAGAGAGAAAAAGAUGUGUAAAUUGGGUUGUUGCUUUGGCUUGAAGUAUAGGUGGUGGUGUGAAAUUCAUUUGGACACGUUAGGAGGAAUCUCUCUCCCACUAGCUGUUCACAACAAAACCAUAUGACAACGAAAACAACACUUCUGCUGCUAAAAACGUUUGACUCAAAUGUUUCUUCAGUAACAAUUUUCACUUUUGAGUUUUUUCUGUUUCAAUAAUAACACGUGGCAAAAAAUCGCACCGUAUAUUGUUUUCAGUCAUUGAUAUAAUUGUUAUCGUACCUCACAUGUCACUUUGAUUGAAGAUUUUACAUCAGACUAUGGUCACAUUUAGACCUAAAUUUAAUAUUCGACUAUUUAACUAUUACGAUAAUUUGAAUAAUUUUUAUAAUUAAUUUUAAGAUGAAAACAUAUAGUAAUAGUUUAUAAGAAGAAGAAAAAGUUGAUCAGUGGUGAUGUGAUGAUUCACUUUAUAGUUUGAGUCAAAUAUGUAAGUUAGAGUUAGAAAAUGUGAUAUAAGAUGAAAGCAACUCUUAACGGAAAGCAAAUUAUCAUAUCAUACUUUUGCUUUGUUGGGUUGCAUUGGAAGACACAUACUUUUUAAAUCAGACUACCAAAAUUAAAUGUAAGUGUAAUAUUGAGUGCAAAUAAAAAAAUUAAGUAAUAUAAAAAAAUUUAUACAUUUAUUAUAUUAAAAUUCUGGAUUCAUUAUUAUUAAUAUCCCACUUUAGUUGAAUUAAUCUUUUUUUUUAUGGUUGUUACAACUCAUAAUUACUUUUUACCUAAUGCUUUGACCAAACUCAUCAAAGUUGAAGAAUAUAUAUAUACGUGGGAUUCUCUUAUUCUUUGCUCCCUAGCACAACCUAUGACCUAUGCUUGUUGCCAAAGGUUUCCUUUUUGUAUUUUUUUUCUUUUUUUUUGCACUUUCUCCAUAAAAAUUGAUAAAAGAACUGCUUGCAAAGUUAACGAAGUUAAAGAUAGGAAAUUAAUGGAUUAUCAUUAUUAUUAAUUAGUAUUUUAAUUCUGUAUUUUUUUUUUAACUUUUAUAUUUUUCAACAAUUUUAUCCUCCUUAUCAAAAAGCUCGUUUGAAAAGAUAUUAGAAAACUUAUUUUAGAAUUUUUGUUUUGAAAAUAUUCUUCAAGAAAACAUCUCAUAUAUUUUGGAAAGCUUAUUCUAAAAUUCAUUCAAAAAAUAUAAUUCUAAAAUCUACUUUCUAUAAAUUUUGUUUCGGAAAUUACAUUCUAUUACAGGUAAUCCAGAAGUCACUUUUAUAAAGGGAAAAACAGCAUUUUAAAAAUUACGAGGAGCGGUUAGAAGUUAUGGAGGUGUUAGAAGAAAAGGCCUACAGCUUGGCCCAAAAAAAAACCCCUCGGACUGUAGCAUCUAUCCAGUAAGCCCAACUCAAUAAAGGUUUAAUUAAAGAAGCGUUCUAAAGGGCCACAUACAACUUCCUUUGGCCCACUUCUUCCUUCAUCUAUAUAUUUAAUUUCUUAUUUAUUUCCAAAUAUAAAUGUAAUUUUACAUUCUAAGGAUUGCAAACAAGAAUAUAAUCUCAAUAUAUUUAUCAUUAUUGAGAUUUUCCAGUUUAAUUUAAUUAAAAAUAAUUAUAAAUUUGACUCUUAAAUUAAAAAAAAAUACAAUUGAUAUUCUUUUACCUCUUUACAUUUGGGUAUGAGAUUUCCUCCAUGAGAUUGCUGUUUCAAUGAUUUCCUCCAUGUGCUGCUUUAGUUCUCUGGAGAGGAAGUUCACAUAACCAAUUAAUUAAACAAGCAACAGUUUGAACAACUGAACUCAAAUGAAAAUUUUUCACAAAACUUCAGUGGAAAGCUUACUUGCAAAACAUGUUUUUAUUCUUACAAAUGCUUGUUGACUUUCUCAUAUGUCUCCUCCACCAUCAAUGAGCAGGCUACUAGAGAGAGGUUGUAACAUGAUAAUCAUAUUUCAUGUACAUGCAUGUAUUGAUUUUCAGAUUCUCUCAUCACAAUUUCCUUUCUCUGAUGCAGGUCUGCCUACAAUUACAAAAAACAAUCUCAGUUACACAGCAUAGCAGAUAAAGUCUAAGUUUUCUGGUAAAAUGUAAAAGACACUUAGAAAUACUUGUUAUUUGUUGAUAUUGAUAUACAUGAAUGCCAGUUUCAAGCAUAGAUUGUUGAUAUUUACCAGUUUCAGCUCUAACUCAGAGAUUGUCUGCUCUUUCUGACGAGCAAAAAACUUAAACGACUGAAACAGGAUUAAGAGAAAAUCAGUCUUGAAUGGCAAAUAAAAACCAAUGGAAAGUACAAAUAAAAGAAUUGGAUAUGAACUAUGCCUACAAUGGAUGCAAGAGAAGGCAGUCACUUACUCCAUUUCUUUGCAUUUCAAGAGAUCUACGCAAUGCUUCUCUUUUAGUUAGAAGAUUUUUUGCUAACUUUACUGACGGUCGACUAUAGUUUUUUCCACGGUAUAUAAUAAUAGCAUGGCCCUGUUUCAGUUUAUCAAUUGAAACUAAAAUUCCACCACUUUCUGUCUCCAGCAAUUUUGCAGUGUUUAUGACCUGACUGAAUAGUUUCUGCAUCGUAAUGACCUUCACCACUUCUCUGUGUUUCCAAUGUUGAUGCAGGCCUUCCAAUACACCAUCAAAGAUUCCUCGUCUUCCUGCAUUCAUUUAUCAAUGUAAAUUCUCAGAUCAGGAAAAGUUUAAUGCAGCUUUUCCAACUAAAGAGACAUCAGUGUUUACUAAUACUUAUGAUCACAGCAUUUCAGAAAUUAUCAAUUAAUUAUAAAAUUGGAACUAAGAUUAUCCUUUCCUACUAGGUAUCCAUUUAGGUGUUAUUGAGGUUUUUAUUGUGAUUUAACCCCAUUGAGAAAAAUAAUAUUUUUUUCUUAAAAAAGUGAAAUUUAAAUUUAAUUUAAUCUCACGAAACCGAUUUAAUAAGAUAAAGUUUAUAUGCACUUAUAUCAUGGGGAGAGGAUUGUCUCACCCAAGACUAAAUGUUUAGAAUUUAGAUCAUUGAGUUUACAGGAUUGAACAUUUUCCUAUGGCCUAAGAUCAAUAGUAGAUAGGCAUCAAUACGAAAUGAAACAAAGCCUAAUUCAACCCCAAAAGCUACCAUAUGGGGAGAGGGUUAUAAGGAGUACUUUGAGUAACUGAUAUGGAACAUCUUAACAAUUGGUUUACUCAGCAAUAAAGAAUAAAAAGAUAGCUAAAAAAAGAAAAAAAAAAAAAGCAAGUCAUGUAAACACAAGAAUGCUGAAAGAAAAAAUGUAGGGAAAAGAAUGAAGAGUCUGUAAAUGUGUAUAUCUAAUCAAAAUUAUAGAAGUGGAAUUUCUAUACCAAGCAGUAAGCAACUGUGCAUCUUCAAUCCAAUCUUUCUAAAACAUUCCCUCUCUUCAUCUGUCAUUAUUUCCAAAUCAGUAUCCUGCUCACUAGGUGUCCAUGCAGCAUUUAACUUUGAUAAUUCCUUCCCUGAUUUCUCUAUUUUCUUGUUCAGCUGUAGAAUCCACAAAAUUAAUUAAAGAGUAUCGAUAUAUGAAAAAUGCAAAAGGAAAACUUCAAUUAACUACAUCUUACAACUAAUGCUUUGUAUUUUUUCUCUUUCAAUUCCUUCUCCAAUCUACAUAUUUCUGCUUCCAGUUGAAUGUUUAACUCUUUGUUUCGAUUUUUUGUAUCCUCAAACUUUGUUUGAAUUUUCUUGAAUUCUGUUAAAGUUCCACUUGUACUGGUGUCUUGUUGGACUUCAUCAAUAGGAGAAAAGGCUUCAAGUGCUUUCAUUCGUGCAACUUCUUCAUGAAAUUGGCAACUUUUAAGCUCCGAUUCUCUGUUUUCUACCAAAGCUGCAACUCUUUUUGGAAGGAAAUCAUUUCCCCUAUAGAGUAUUAUGUAAAAUUUGUUUCGCAACAACAAAACUCCUCCAGUGAGACGCUGCAUUAAAUAUAUAAAAUAUUUACACAUGUUUACGGGUGCAUAUACCAAAACCAUUACAAGAACUACACAAGCUACAAAAGACAGGCCAAGUGGCCAACUCGACCAGCAUUGCAUAUUAGACAGAGAGCAUAUAUUGAAACUAAUCUGGAAAAAUAUGGUUGGUGCAACAAGUGAUUUUUUCUUCCAGUUGGCAUUGUGAACUUCUCAUUCUCAGUUUAAUAGUAGGCCAUUGCAUUGUAGUGACUUACACACCCAUUCUUGUAUUAUCAGACUACAUUUCAAGAUAGGACAACCAAAGCAACAAGUUCUUCCCCAAAAAGUGAGUCAGGAUAAUCGUUUAGCAGUCUCCAUCUCAACACAACACGAAAAAGUCUCACUCACAUACAAAAUACUAUUGAUGAAAUCUACACCUAAGGUUUAGUAUGUCUUGCAUUGCAUCUCACAUACAGGGGACACUCAAAUUUCUGGCAAACCUACCUUUAGUUCAUUGGCCAUCAUUUCAUUGUUGGUGUUUGGAAUCCCAUACUUGAUAGCAAUUUUCGCUAUAAGACUCUUCUCCCACAACUUUAGGAUAGCAGCAGCUAAUCCCUUGAGUCCUUUGUUCCUUCCUUCAUAUAAAAGAGACACAAAUAUUUAAUUAACUUCAUGCAUAUGACUUCUACGAAAAUAGCUCUGCUUGGCAAUUGCUUAUUGAAGCUAACAUUAAUUUACAUUUAAUUGAAAUGGAUACUGCUUGACCAUGUAUAUGUAGUGGAUAAAUAUUGCAUCAAGAACUCAGCCCCAUCCAAGUAUGAUAUUGCUUUCUAAACUGAUACCAUUGAGUUGAGGUCAUAAGAUUAAUACAUAAGAACUAGUACCAAUUGUGGCAACUGACACUGAAUUGUGUAUGUAGUGAUUUCGAAGAAUACCAGCCAACAGACUCCUUGCAUAACGAAACAAGUAUAAAAUAAGUCAUAGAAACAAAUAUGGCAUGCUUGUAAAGACAAGUUUAUGUCGUAUGCACAACAAAAUAAGUUGUUGGCUAUAACCUACCUAUAAGCUAGUACGUAGAAAACUAUGUUUAUACAAUUCAUUAUAUCUGAGGAAAGAUGGAUGACAGAGUUCAGAACCAGAGGAAAUAAACAGUUCCGUUCAAUUAUGGAUAGGCAAAAAAUUCAGAGUUAGCCAUUACAGCAAAUUAGUGAUACAAAGAUUGCUAGCAACACACUCUUGAAUAUUAAUAGUUGAUGUGUAUUGAAAACUAUGGUAUCAUGCAAGAGACUGCUUGUAUAAUGUGAAACUCAAAAUAUUAUGAUUUUCAAUAAAUUUCAGUAAAUAAUGAAGAGUGUUAGAAAGUGUGUUGCCAGCAUUUCUCACAAUGAUAUACAGAGUUGAAGAGUGAAGAUAGCGUGAGAUAAUGAUGAUGAUGAUGACAACAAGACCCAAAUGGUCAAAUAAGAAACCAAAGCAAAUAAAAAGGAUAAUUAUAUGUUUUUCUAAGCUGAAUUAUCCGGGUAAUUAUUUUAUAUAAAUUGAAGGAAAGUCUGGAAAAUAAAUUGAAGGGAUAGCAAGAAGCAGGAGGGUACCGAGAACAAAAUGAGUCGGUAAAGGAUGAGCAAGCUUCCUGAAGUAUGUUAGUUCAUAAUCACUUAGUUUAGCACCAGAAUGAGGUGGACAGAGCCUUAAUGGAGUCUGAAAUCCAGGAACAUCUUCAGGAAGUAAGUCAGCAUCCACUGGAAAUGGCUUGGGCCUCCACCAAUCAAUGAAGCGAGGUCCUAAGUCAUCCAAUAAUCUAUCAGUUUCCCUCUCAUACAGUGACCCAUUGGCAGUUUGAAAAUUCAUCUUUUGUACACUAGUUGAUACAGAAUCCUUAUCCUCAGCAUUGAAGUUCAGCAUCUCACUCAAACUGCGGUUGGAAUUAACCGAGCAAAUAUUACCAUUGGUAACUGAUUCUGCCCCACUCAUUUCAGAAUGAUUUUUUCUUAGACUGGGAUAACCUUUAGUUGUCAACUGAUGAUUGCAUCCACGGUAAACCACAAGAAAAUCCUUCUUGCUCAAAACAACUAAGCCUCCAGUCUUUGUCUAUUCAAAUGGGAAAUGAGAAUUAAUGAAGUCAUAAAAUAACAUGGAAGGAUAACAUGAAACAUGUAUAAAACAUAGCAGAAAUAAUUAUCUACAUAUCAGAACAGUUUGACAAAUAUUAGCUCUUUGCCAAAAUCAAUUCAUACAUAGCAGCAUGUCUGCAUUAUAUAGCUGUAACAAGACACUCGAUAUUAUAUUAGUCAGAGUCGAACCAGAUUAUAUCAAUUUUCAAUAUUGAACACCUAUAAACAUACUUGUAAAUUUGAAUCCUUAUGUAAAUCCCAUCAAACCAAAACAAAUAGCUUAACCAGCAAAGACACACUGCACAAAGUAUGCAUUGCAUCAACAAAUACAACUAGAUUGUCAGCAGGCAAAAAAUAACUAUACACAGAGCACAACAAGGCCUUACACAACCUAUCUUUCAGUCAUGCACAGGUACAAUACACUAAAAGUCUAACUUAAUAAUCCAUGCCUUCAGUAAUAUAAUUAUGGCAAAGAGUUCAACAAAAGUCUACUAGUGGGAUAUGAACAAGCCUAAACCUCAACAAUUUCUCGUGCUCUACUCAUAUUCUUGCAUAAAGGGAUAUCAAAUUUAACCAUGGCAAGCUCACGUCUCCUCCAAAUCGAUUUAAUUUGAUCCACAACAUCUUGUGUAACACCAGCUUUCUUAACCUUGAUCCACGUUCUCAUGCUUGCAGCUUCAAUCCUCAACCUGUGAAGUAGUACCUUAUCAAGAGCCAACUCUGCAGAAGUGACAGCCUUUUUCCUUUUAAUUUUCUCGUAAACAAACUUAGCAUCGUUCUCCCAUGGCAUUCUCGCCUUAGUUCUUCUAACUUCCUCAUUUUCCUUCAAACUUUCCAAAACUCCUCCUAAGCUUUCAACAUUGGGCGAACCAAUCAGAGCCUCAGCUGAAUUGUGACUGCUGCGAAGCUUCUCAACCUUCUUCACAAUUUUCUUCAUGGCCUUCUUCCCCCUUGCCUCUUUGCCCAUCAAAUCUUUAUCAGAAAGUUCUUGUCUUUCCAACUUGAACUUCUUGGAUUUGGGUUUGGACAGGUCAACGAGCUCGUUGGGUUGUAGAAGAAGAGGACCCUUCAUCCAUGGAGGAGUGGGGGCUUUGAUGGGAACUUGAGAAGGGGGCUGGUGAUUGUGACCAUUGUCGGAACGUGGGAGCAGUGAAGAGAAAAUGUGAAUAUGAGAAUAUGAAUCUGAAUUUGGAGGAAAACGAGGACGAAGAGAAAGAAACAGCAUGGUUGAAGCUACCCACAAACACCAUACGAUAAUUGAUGAAGCUUAGCAACUGAACUCAACCUUCUUCAUCAAUGUUUCAUUCUUGUCAUUUUGAUAUUUUCUCACUUCCUUUUCCUUUUUUUUUUUAUAAUAAACUAUAGUUGCAUUCCUAAAGGACUACUUUCUCUAUUAAAUAGUUUUUAAAAAAUAGGGUUAAAUAUUUUUUUUGUGUUUGCGAUUUUGGUUUUAGUCCAUUUUUAAAUUAUGGUACAAUUUAGUCCUUUAACAUUAGAAAAUUUUGAUUUUAGUCUUUUUUUUAUCAAUUUUUUUAACUUUAUUUGUUGUUUCAAGCAUAUUUUAUUAUAGCAUUUGGAUUGUUUACAAUGUUUGACACAUAUUUACUUCAAUUUUAACUAAGAAACAUAUUUGAAACAACAAAUAAAAUUAAAAAAAUUUGAUAAAAAGAAUUAAAAUCAGAGUUUUCUAAAGUUGAAGAAUUAAAUUGUACCAUAAUUUAAGAAUAAACUAAAACUAAAAUUAUUUCAAACUACAGUUACUAAAAACAUAUUUAAUAAAAAAAAAUAUAUUGAAAUUUAUUUUUGAUAUGUUAAGAUGGGAACAUAAAUUUUUUAUAUUAUAAAUUAGUAAAAUACUGUUGAUGUAACUUUAACAUGAUUUUUUAUGUAUAAAAUAUGGAAAAUGAUACUUUGACAAACGAGAUUUGACAAAAUUUUGACACCUACUACGUGUCAGCGUGUCAUUGGUUCAGCAUUUUGAAAAAGAAAAAAAUUUUAAAUGACGUGGACGGUUGCGCGCAGGGGUAGAAAAUUGGUUCAGCAUCCAGUUCCCAAAUUCAAAUUCAUUUGAAGGAUUUUGAGAAGGAAACCUAGAGAGAGAGAACGAAACCCUCACGAAACCCUCCCAGCCCCGUCAGUCGUCCCCCUUGCCACCGUCCACCGGAAGUCCACCCACAGCGGCGCCGAUGAUCAUCUUCUCCGGUCUUCCCACCGACCACCUUGGCGGCUCUUCACGUCGGUCAUUCUUCCCGCAACGGCCACCGAUCACCGUGACGGGCCGCUCUUGCUGUCGUGUCCUUUCGCCGGCGUUCCGUGCAACGGCCACCGAUCAAAGCUCUGCCACCGAUCAAAGCUCCGCCACCGAUCAACGACCAAACCCUCUUGACGACUCGACCGUCGUUCGCCGUUCAACGGCCACCGGAGGUCCACCAAGAGGCGGCGCCGCCGGUCAUUCUUCGCGUCUCUUCCAGCGUCAGUCGUGUCGUUUCCACCGUCGUCGCUCCACUGUUUCGAAGUAUCAAUGAACGCUGAAACCACUAUUGACGUGGUUUUUGAAGGUUCCGCCGUUCCUUUGGCCAAUCUUUGUUAUUGUUUGGUGGGUUUGAGUUAUUUUUAAAUUUUUUUUACCAUUUAGGAGAUUGUGUUGUAUGGAUCUUAUUAUGAUUUUUUUAGAGUUUAUUUAGCGUUGCUAAGGUCAUCGGAGGUACCCCUAACAAGCUCUUCAAGAUGUAAAAUUUCAUGUCUUUCUCCGUUGGGUCGUUUGUCAUUUACUUUUGUACUUUUGACAUGUGAGGUGUUUUAUGUUUAUGUUUUUUUUAAUUUUAAAUUUAGGGUUGCAGAAAAGUGGUGAGGUUGUCGAUUGCCNAGGUUUUAACUGUGAUUUCUCAUAAGCAAAAGGUCGCGUUGAUGGAUGCCUACAAGAACAAAAAGUACUUUCCCCUUGAUCUCCGCCCNAAGAAGACCAGGGNUAUUCGCAAGAGGCUUACUAAGCANCAGGUAAUGCCAUAUGUUCUUCCUUUAAUGAACUAUUAACUCUAUGUUACCAAAAGUAUGUAGACUAAUGUGAAUGUUUUGUUGUUAGAGGUGAAAUGUGGAAGAAUCCCUUCCUAUGUUGUUNGAGAGUGGGGGUCCUAUUAUUUUUGCUUCUCUUCCUUUGAAGCAAAUGACCUCUUAUAGUUAUAAGGAUGUACACUGACCGGUUUAAAAUAAUUUUUUAAUUUUUUAGAUAGGCAUAUUUAUAUUUUGUUAGAGGAUGUAUUGUUUUUGAAGUUUUCCUGUUUGAUAUAGCCAUGCUAAGAUUGUUUGUCUUUCAGAAAGGUUCUUUUAUCCCGAUUGAAAGUCAGCGACAUUCGUACUUGUCUCUGUCAAUCUUUACAUACAAUGCUAAGUAAUUGGAUCAAUUUGAUUUGAUGUUGUCCUUUACAAAUGUUAUCUAAUAUGUUAUUUGGUCCUGAAUUUGUUCUUGAAACAAAAUUUUAGAAUAUAAAUUACAAAUACUUGUGAUUUUGAGUUUCAUUGAUAUAUAUAGCUUUAGACACGAGGAAAUAUAACAAUGAUUAGGAUUUGUAUAAAAUCUCACACAUACGUGAAUAUUUUCAUUCCCCUUUUCUUAUUCUUAACGUUUAUUAUAUUUUUCUUGUUGGAUUCUCCGUCCACCUGUGGAACAAUGAGUAACAAAUUUUUCUGCAGGAAAAUUGGGCCAUAAUCCUCAUGGAAAUAGAAUCUCUCACAGGACUAAUCGAUGUGUUAUACUACCAGAACAUGCAUUCAGUCUUGUAUAAUUGCUUACUAUCCUAAAUGAUUUUACAAGUAGUUCACUCAAGUGAGGAUAUAUAUAACUAAAUGAGUAAAUAAUACAUGCGCUUAUACUUUCAUUUGAUUUCAAAACAUUAUGUUUGCUAACUUGACUGAUUGACUGCAUAAUUUAUUUUGCAUGCUUAUUAAGCACUACCUAACUACCAUAAACCUCUGCUUAUAGGAAACUAGGUAAAGGCUCAGGAAUGGGCUACAGUUCCUGGUAGCCAAGCCACCUACCUUGGCAACCUAGUUCCAUGGGGCACACUACCCACCAUUCUGGUAAUUGAAUUCCUUGUUAUUUCCUUUGUGGAGCACCAAAGAAGCAUGGAGAAAGACCUAGAGAAGAAGAAAUACCUUAGAGGUGCUUUUGAUCCUUUGGGGACUGAGGAGAAAGGAAAAUAUAGCUUUGGUUAAGAUAUGCAAAUUUCAAAUGAAAUUUGUAUUGCANGGGACGAGUAGAACGACCGUGGGACGUUUCAAAACUCGAAACUGGGGAAGGCUCAUUUUCUAAACAUCAUAAGGUACCACUUUAAUGUUUAUGAUUUGUAGUUGGAUCAAAUUAUUAAAAAAACACUUUAUANUGUUUUAACAUUAUUUUAGAGUUUAUAACUUUUAUGUAAUUAUAGUGUUAACUGUAAAUCAAUUAAAAAGAUAUCAUAUACAAGUAAACUUUGAUAUUUUAAAAUUUUUCUAGAUUUAAACUAAAAGAAAAUAGGAAAUUUGAAAUUAUGCUCUCAAAUACUAGUUACAUAUUAAUGACCGAUCUUGUUAAUUUUUUAAUGCUUAUGUGCUUCCGGAUGAAACACAUAAAACAAUAAUAAAGUCUGAGUCUUUAAAUAUUGUUUGGUACCAAGAAGGCCUAUUUUCACAUGUAACUCUUCAAUAGCCUUUUUUUUAAUUCUAGUGUGUUAAAUUUCAUAUUAAACUUGAAUUAUUUUUGUUAUGGAUACAUUGUAUUUAGGAGGUAUAUAAUAUGUUAUUAGAACUUUGGGAACUUGAUGCUAUUUCAGUAUCACUUACAAGGUUUGUUAUUCAUUUUUCAGCUAAGUAAGUUAUUCAUUUUUCAGCUAAGAAAUAUAUGUAGUAAUAUGGUGAUUUUCUGUAUCAGGAACUCAGAUGAUAAGGGAUCUCAUUCAUCNAGUCGGGAGGGAGUCUAAUAACAUUGAACCCUAAAAGAGACAUAUUCAAGAUUCAUAAUUAGAAGAUUAGUGAUUUUUUUACCUUAGAAAAUAGGCAUAUUUGAUGUAAAUACUUAUUUCACAGNGCAGUUGUUGUCUUCGGAGUAAUAUACGUGGACAAAAAUUCUUAUCAAUGUAUGAGUAUUCAUUAUUCAUCAAUUAUUAUAUUAUUGUGUGAUUGGUUAUGAAGGUUUGAACAUNUUUUUUUCUUUCACAGAUAUACGAAAUCAUAUUCCAUUAUCGUGAAAAAGGAUUAGGUGAAUAAUAUUACUUCCGAUCCGAUUCGCAAUAUCAAAAAUUUAUUCAUACUUCGUUGAAUAUUCAUUAAAAACAUUUACAAAUUUAUUCAUGCCAAUUUUUUUAAAGAUGUAUUAGAGAUACAAGUGAUGUUCAUGUAUUGAUUAUGACAUUUAUAUCGAACUUCAUCCNCAAGGAAAUAUUCUUUGUAAAACUCAUUGUGCAGAAACAACACUGGGAGCAAAGACAAAUAAGUGGGGAGUUCAGGCAAAGUUUCUGCACACAGAGGUCAACUAUGAAAAUGAUAUUGAUUUUUAAGUGGACCAAUUUUUUUUAAGAUUUAUUGAACAUACAAGUGGUGUUCAAGCAUUGANUAUCACAUUUAUACCAAACCUCAUGGCCAAAGAACCAUUCUUUAUAAAACUCAUUGUGCAGAAAUAACACCGGGAGCAAAGGCCAAAUAAGUGGGGAGUUCAGGCAAANUUACUGCACAGAGGGGUUAACUGUGAAAAUGACAUUGAUUUUUAGGUGAACCAAUUUCUUUUUUUAAGAAUUAUUGGACAUACAAGUGAUUUUCGGGCAUUGAUUAUCACAUUUAUAUCAAACUCCAUGACCAAGGAACCAUUNUUUGUAAAACUCAUUUUUGUAGAAACAACCUUGGGAGCAAAGACCAAAUAAGUGGAGAGUUCAGGUAAAGUUUCUGCACACAGGGGUCGAGUGUGAGAAUGACAUUAUUUUUAAGUGAACCAAUUUUUGUUAAGACUUAUUGGACAUACAAGUGAUUUUCAGGCAUUGAUUAUCACAUUUAUAUUGAACUUCAUGGCCGAGGAACCAUUAUUUAUAAAACUCAUUUUACAGAAACAACCUUNGGAGCAAAGGCCGAAUAAAUGGAGAGUUCAGGAGAAGUUUUUGCACACAGGGAUCAACUAUGAAAAUGACAUUGAUUUUUAAGUGAACCAAUUUUUUUUUAAGAUUUAUUGGACAUACAAGUGGUGUUCAGACAUUGAAUAUCACAAUUAUGUUGAACUCCAUGACCAAUGAACCAUUCUUUAUAAAACUCAUUGUGCAGAAACAACACUGGGAGCAAAGGCCAAAUAAGUGGGAAGUUCAGGCAAAGUUUUUGCACACAAGGGUUAUAUGUUAAAAUGACAUUGAUUAUUAAGUAAAAUAAUGGUAUAAAUACUUUUUUUAGUUCAAUUAAAUUUCUAUUAUGAUUUACAUAAAAAAGACAAACUUGUGAAAUUUCAACAACUUAUUUACCAAAUUUUUUAUUAAACACUUUUUAUNUAUCUUUUAAGAAUCAAUUUAAAUAUUUAUUCAUAUUUAUGUUCAAAUAUUUAAGAUCUACAUGAUUAUAUAAUCAAUAAAAGUUUCAAGAAUUAAAAGACUGANNNNNNNNNNNNNNNNNNNNNNNNNNNNNNNNNNNNNNNNNNNNNCAAAAUUAAAGAACUUGAAGGGCUUCGCCCUAAAAGAAAAGGAACACCAUGAGAGCAUAAAAGAAAUAAAGUAAAAAAUUAAUUAAAAAUACAUUACAUAAACUUUUGUAUUGCUAUCUCCAUGUGGUACCAAAUAGUAUCCAACCAAAGAGGAUAAUUCAAAAUGUAGCACCUAAGUAUAAUGUGUCAAAUCUCCCAAACUAGAUUCAUACUCUCUCACUCAACUUUUCUACAACUUCACAUUCAUUUUUUUUUUUACUUGUGAGCAAGUGCUCUUUGAAACUUUUCCAAUGGAAGACCAACAAGCCUUGGGAAUAUUGGUAAAACCUGUCACCAUCAAAAUUUGAAAACAAGUUGAUUAAGAAAAAUAUCUACUAUUAAACAGCAAGAGCAUGAUGUGCUAAAAAUUAUUAGUACUAUUUAUGGAAAAAUUACUGAAGAUGGAAAUGGCAUCUUCAGGCAAGCCAGACUCAACUUAAUUUCCUAGUCACAAAAACAUUGAUAUAAAUUCUACUUCUAAAAUAAUAUUUACAACUGAAUCUAGAUUUGAUUUUGGAUAGGUGAGAACCUUAUCAUCUGGCAAAUGUUAUGAAUAAGAAUACCAAAUAUAUUUUAUCUUAUAAGUACCAACAAAUGCUUUGGAUAAGAUCCUGAAUCAUUAUAUCUCUUUCUAAUUUUAUGUCAGCAACACAUAAUUUAUGAUGGUGAUUGCCAACAUUAUUAAAUUACUGAUCCAAAUUUUCCAUAUCUAUGAUAGAGGAGAGCGGAAUAUUGUGUAUACUGAGAAAUAGCUAAAAUUAGAUGCAGAAUGAAACAUCCUAAACAUUAAUACAAAUGAGUUUUAAGCUCCUUGCACUCAUAAAAUGGUUUGGGGUCUAGUAUGAAAUUUCCUCAAUUAUAUUUUAUAAGCCAGAACAACAGUGCACCUACAAAUGAAAAAAAAAAAUUAAAGGAAACUAAGCAAUAAUAUAAAUAAAGAGGUAAUAAAAGAAAAUAUCAAUAUAACCUCUUGUUUGGAAUGCGAAGAAGAAUUGUAACAUCCUGCAAUGAUCACUGGCGCAGCUGUGGGUGGACCUCCAAUGGACGGUGGCAAGGGGAACGACUCACGGCUGGGAGGGUUUCGUGAGGGUACGUUGCGGGAAGAAUGACCAGCGUGAAGAGCCGCCAAGGUGGUCGGUGGGAAGACCGGAGAAGAUGAUCGCCGGCACCGCUGUGGGUGGACCUCCGGUGGACGGUGGCAAGGGGGACGAUUGACGGGGCUGGGAGGGUUUCGUGAGGGUUUCGUUCUCUCUCUCUAGGUUUCCUUCUCAAAAUCCUUCAAAUGAAUUUGAAUUUGGGAACUGGAUGCUGAACCAAUUUCUGCCCCUGCCCGCAACCGUCCACGUCAUUUAAAAUUUUUUUCUUUUUCAAAAUGUUGAACCAAUGACACGCUGACACGUAGUGGGUGUCAAAAAUUUGUCAAAUCUUGUUUGUCAAAGUAUCAUUUUCCAUAAAAUAUUUAGUUCCGAUAAUCAAACAUGAUUUUAACAUUUUAAAUAAUAAAUUAAAUAUAUUGAUAUAUUUAAAUUCAAAUCAAAAGCAGAUUUAAAUUUAAAUUUAAAAAAGCGUAGUAUUCUCCCUGAAACAUCUUUACAACUCUCCCAUGCUCAUAUUAUUAAUGACAGCGUUUAUUAACUUGUUUUAAUUAAUCUCAUGAAUGAUAAUGAUAAAAAUUCAAAUUUAAAAACUGUAAUUUUAUGCAUAGUAUUGUAUAGUAGUUUAAGAAUUUAACAUUUACAUGUCAUUUAAAAUUAUUCGAUCAGUAGAUUCACAGAGAUUUCAAUAAAAAUUAAAGAUUUUUUUGUUGUGAUGAAUUUCACCUAUAAUAUAAUGAAGAAAUAAAUGGUUUUUUCUUAAAUUUUAAAAUUAAUAUCUCUUUCUCUCCCUCUCUCUAUAUAUAUAUAUAUAUAUUGGAAAUUAAAAUUUAGAAAAAAAGUGUAUGAAGAAACAAAUUUUUGUUUUCACGUUGUUAUAUAUAUAUAUAUAUAUAUAUAUAUAUAUAUAUAUAUAUAUAUAUAUUAUUGACAAAAAUUGAUUAAUCAAAUAUUUGAAUUAUGGAGACUAUUAUGAACUGAUGCCAUAGAUUGCCCUGAAUUGUUCUGAGAGCAGAACUUCCCAGCAAGAAGGUGACAUGGCAUUCUCACCGGCCUCUCGACUAGCCAAUCUCCGGCGGCACUUGGAUUUGACCGAAGGAGGCAACAAGGUAGUGAUAAUGGAUUUCUCUCAUAAUCAUCCAUUCUAUUUACUGCUAUACAAAGUAUUUGUUCCCUUUCUCAACCCUUUUAGUAAUUUUUGUAUCAUUUUGGAAUUAUGCUUAAGGAAAGUGUGAAAUGAGUUUUGAUAUAGGUUGCGCAAGUCAAUGGAAUUGGAGGAUCAAUGAAAGUGAAGGUAGCCUCAGAGGUUUCUCAAGCAUUAUCAUUGGGGCGAGCAGUUGUUGCUCUGGAAUCUACCAUCAUUUCACAUGGUUUUUAAUAUUUUACAGUAGUCGAUAUAUCCUACACACGCAUAUAAACCCACAACUUAGUGUUGGACUAUACUCUUGUUUGUAGGGAUGCCAUAUCCUCAAAAUUUGCAAACUGCAAUAGAGGUGGAAAAUAUUGUAAGAGAGAAUGGUGCAGUUCCUGCCACCAUUGCAAUUUUAGACGGCAUGCCCUAUGUAGGUAUUUAUUCUCAUCCUUCUCAAGACUAUAGAUUGAAUUAGUAUUUCAUAUUUUACAUUCACUUACAAGCACAAGUGAUCUGUUAUGAGAAUAUGAUGGAGUGCUCGCGCUUAACCAACUUUGCAUUUCCUUUUCAAGUUGUUUUGUGAAUCGAGUUUGGUUUGAAAUGGUUUUUGGAAUGAAGAGAAGAGUCAAAAUAACAAAGAAUAUUGAUUCACAAACCUGAAUGUGGGUUAGAUCUAGUGCAAGCACUAUAUCAUUCAUAUACCAUGUCACUUGCUUUAUGUCUGCGAGCCAUGUUGAAAAUACCACCUGAAGAGUUUGUCAUCCCAUUUCUUAUUUUGUUGUUGCAAUCAUAACAAACAUGUUUUAUUGCAUCUUUUUGACAAAUAUGUUUUGCUUGCUUGUUUUAUCUGGAUAGGUCUAAGUCUAGAAGAACUUGAAAGGCUAGCUAGUCUGGGAACCCGUGCUCGGAAGACAGCUCGAAGGGACAUUGCAAAUGUUGUGAGUGUCUUGACAUUGUGCACCAUAUUAAUAAUUUAAGUAUAUCUCUAUGUGAAUGUCAUUCGAAACCUUACAAAAAGAAAAGUAGGAAACCCAUUACAUUGAAAAUGUUGUAUAGUCCAAAAAUUUUAAGCAACUCUAUGUAUAGCAAGAAUUGCAUGAAGACAUCCCGGAGGAAAUCUGAUUCAGGAGGGCGUUCUCAGUGUUGGGAGUGUGAGGGCCCACUCUUUUGUUGUUAUUCCGAAAUGCUUCCAUCCUCUGCAAUUCACACAAUAAAACUCUCUCGCCCUUCCCACAUCUGUAAUUUCCCACCUUCUUUAUCCCACUUCCAAUUCACUGCCGGGUUGGCUAAUACAUCUCUCUCAUGGCAGUAAUGGCCUGCAUCUGAAGCGUGAAAUGAAGAAGCAGUUUGUGGACCUUCUCAGUGGGGAGGGAGUUCUGUUACAGAAGCAUAUACAGGCACAUGAACAUAACUUUUAGUGAAGCAAAAAAUAUUGGCAUCUCAAUAUCAGAGAGAGGCAGACAAAUAUAUAUGUGUGUGUGUGUGUGUGUAUAUAUAUAUAUAUAUAUAUAUAUAUAUAUAUAUAUAUAUAUAUAUAUAUAUAUAUAUAUAUAUAUAUAUAUNNNNNNNNNNNNNNNNNNNNNNNNNUAUAUAUAUAUAUAUAUAUAUAUAUAUAUAUAUAUAUAUAUAUAUAUAUAUAUAUAUAUAUAUAUAUAUGCUACUGAAACAUGUGAGCUUGCAAGAUAACAAUUGAGGUCCUACCAUACUCAUCCCGGAGAGAUAGACAACUUGGUUGGGAGCAAUGAGCUGGUCAAAUGGGUUGGAAAGUAGAAUAACUGUAUUAGGUUUUGUUACUUAUAUUCUUUACAACUAUAAUCAGGGCAGAGUUUUACAAAAGUAUAAAAGCAAAAUGCUUGAGUUGUCAACCAAUAUAGGUUAAAAUUGACAUCUUUACUGUGUAACGGUGUUCCUUAUAUGCUUGAUGGGUAGUAUCAAACAAGUUUUGUUGCAGAUGAUACCUAUACGUAUGCAUGUAUGAUUACUAUGUUUCCAUGACUUGGUCCCCUUGGUGUUUAAUUCUUGGCAAACAUGUUCUAGGACUCGAUUGCUAUCAAACAUUUUUCUGAGUAAACCAUGGUAAACUUUGUACAUUCGUGUGAACUUCAUGAACUCAGGUCAAGAAGCGAGUCAAUAAGUUUGAAGUUAAUGUUAUUUUUGUCCUUCAUUGACUUACUAUUACAAUAUUUUAUUAGGACUAACUAUUUGAUGAAGUUCGCCCCCUUUUGAAAUAUGUUCACCUUUAGAACUUAUAUGCUUUUAUGAAGUUAUGUAUGAUUUGACAAUUUAUGUACGUUUAGUCUUAUUUAACAUCAGUGCGUCAUCCUAGUUUAUUUAUGUUUUCAGGUAGCUCGAGGUGAAAAUGGUGCAACUACUGUUUCUGCAACAAUGUUUUUUGCUUCUAUGGUAUUUUUCUCGCAUACCACUUAGAUUUCAGUCUCAGUCAUUGUAUCAUGCCGUUUUGGUUUAACUGCCUGUACUUUUGAAAAUUUUGUGCAGGUUAAUAUUCCCAUCUUUGUGACUGGGGGGAUUGGGGGAGUGCACCGUCAUUGGGAAUAUAGUAUGUUAACCUCCUAUAUCUCACUAAUAAAAAAAAAAUUGAUUUUUCAUGAUGGAUGCUGACAAACCUUGCCUGUAAGAGAUACAUUUUGGUUUAAAAUUGAGACCAAAAUAAAUCAACCUGUUCGUGUUGUACAAGUUGUUAUGUCCUUUAGGGUCUUUGAAAGUCCUGCAAUUUGCAACUUAAACAAUGAAUAGGGAGAGCGAUGACAUUUGAUCAAGUUUUCCUUUUGCAGUAAAAUUCUUGUCAUGUUUCAUUAUGACCAAAAACACUUGUUGUAAUUUGUCUCGCUAUACAAUAUAUACAAACAAUAAUCAUACUCAGUCCUUUUGUUUCUCUGUAAGAUAUUUUCUGCUAAUUAAAGUUCGAAGUUUCUCCGUGCUAAAUAUACCGAAGGACUCUAUAUUUGAUUGGUAUUUUUAUAGGCUUAAAGUGGAAAUGUUUGUGUAAUACAAUCUGCAAAACUUCAGUUUUCUUUGGAUGGAACUGUUUAGUCUCAUCCUGAAAAAUAAAAUUUCUUGUUGCAGUCUACAAACACGAGAUGUUUUUUUUUUCUUUCAAUUUUUAUAUUAUUGUAGUUUCUGCAAAGACAGUCUGAGAUUUUUAUUGAGCAUUAUUAUUUUUUUAUAUUUUUGGCCAGGUAUGGACAUAUCUUCUGAUCUCGUUGAGCUAGGCAGAACACCAGUAGCUGUUGUAUGUGCUGGUGUAAAAUCAAUAUUAGAUAUUCCCAGGACGCUUGAAUAUCUGGUACCCAUUUACUUUUGUGUUAAUAUUACUGAAGCAUUAAUCAGUUGUAGCUUUUAUUAUUAUUAUGAUUAUUAUUUUUAUUUUUAUCUUGAAUAGGAAACACAAGGAGUCUGUGUUGCUGCAUACAAGACCAAUGAGUUUCCUGCAUUUUUCACGGAAACAAGUGGCUGCAAGGUAUAUUAAAUCAGAUUCUCGUAUGGCUUUCAAUAUUAAACAUGUCCAUGAAUAGCAUAAUUAAGUGCUUCAUGUAGUGUUUGACCACAUUUUCUUCAUGGAAAGAUUUACAUGAAUUGUGUGUUAUGAGCACGCACAUUAUUCUGUAUUUGUAAGGAAUAAAAUGAAACAAAAGAUAUUUAAAAGUUAUUCUCUUAAAUUAAGCCUAUACAAUAUUUCUCUAUUUCCUUAUUUACACAAUCAUGCAUCCAUUUGGGAUCGUGCCUUUAACAACAAUUUAUCUCAUAAGUAGAUUACGAAUCUCAUCCUCCUUGCUCCAUCCCUCUCAGAACUUUUUUUAUCAAAUCUUCAACUUCUUUUUGAAGGUGUUUGGCUCUGCCUGAUACCCCUUAAAGGUGUUUGGUUAAGCAUAUGAUGUCUUUUAUGUUAUUUUUAAUAAUUGGUUGUGAAUAUGUUAUUCCCAAUAUAUUUCAAGUCAUGAUUUUUGAAAUAAGCCUUCUGAUUUGUGAUUUAAUUGGUGCUCAACAUCCAUGUUUUCACCAUUAUUAUCAUAGCGUGUUAUUUGUCAAUUGGAACGUAAGUAUAGUAUAAUGUACUAAGGAAUGAAUAUACGGACAAUAUUAUUUUUUAUCAUUGCAAAUUUCAGGUUUCAUGUCGGGUAGACAGCCCGGAAGAUUGUGCUUCCAUAAUAGGCAAGGAAAACCUUCUUUUUCUUUUUCUUUUUUUUUGUUGCCCGUUUGUAUUUUCUCCAUGAUUUAUAUUCUUCUGGCAGAUGCAAGCUUCAAACUCAAGCUAGGAACUGGAAUUUUGAUAGCAGUUCCUAUUCCUCAAGAACACUCAGCUUCUGGACACAUAAUUGAAUCUGCCAUUCAUAAAGCCAUUAAAGAAGCCAGGUAAAUGUCUUUGUUCUCUCUUCUACAUUCAUUAUGGCUUAAUAUGGAAGAUAUACAUUAAAUGGUUUCCUAAUUUUUUAUUUCAUACAUUUAAUAUUGAUUUUUCUAAAAUUUAAUUUAAUACAUUCACUUGUAGGGAAAACAAUAUAACAGGGAGUGCUGAGACUCCUUUCUUGCUCGCUAAAGUAAAUGACCUGACUGGAGGUGCCUCGCUUGCUGCAAGUAUCCAUUUUUAAAGUUUUCCAGCUAUACAUUAGUAUAAAAUCAAUAACUAAAAGUGUACUUUAAUGUGAAAUUUAGUCUAUAAUAUGAUUUCAAACGUUAUAAUAUGAUUUUAAACGUGUAUAAGUUAAAUAGAGUUAAUAAUGACCAGUCAAACUUUUUGAGGCACCAAAAAUAUAAUUAAUCUUCAAUAUUUGUCAAGUGUUAAAGUGGAGCUUAACAACAAUUUAGACAUUGCUCUUGUGAAGAAUAAUGCUCUUGUUGGAGCUAAAGUUGCAGUAGCCCUUGCCGAGAAAAGAAAAAAUUGUGAAAGGUGAGCUUAUACUUCCAUGAGAUCUGUUGGCCAAUUCAUGUAUAUAUGCCUGGAACUCUUAAUGAUCUGUCAAUGCAAAUUUUACUCAAUGUAAUCGUCAAAAAUUUCUUCCAUGUCAAAUGUUAGCUUCUCUGUCUUCUCCAUGCUAUUAGAUUUUCUUUAACUAGAAAAUAUUAUAUUGAAGAAGUUUAUUAAAUUACAUUCCACUUAAGAUAUGAAGCGCACACAGCCUUUACUGCUUGUUGGAAGCAGAUCAGAUGGGAGUGGAGUGGACAUGUUAAUGAUGCUAUGUCCAACAGGCCCAACAAGUUGAACAUGACUCGCGAUCUGAGAACAACUUAACAUGCGUGGUCCACUCUCUAGACACGCGGAAACACACAACCCAUCUCGUCUGCUCCUUCAUGAGCUGGUGUUCUAUUUUCCUUCUUUACGAGUGUUCGUCUAUCAACACAUUGGAACUAGCCAUUGUCAGCCUUUGAACCACCACACCAUCAUAGUUGGUACACACUACAUUCUGACUUAGAGCAAAGGAAUUUAGGAUACUGAGUGGUUGGUUAGGUGGUGUUGGUAUGAACAACCAUUCAAGAGUUUAUUACUAUUUGGAUUAUAGUUAAAGAGGCAUUCAACCUUCUAACAGAAUUAAAAAAGUCUAAGCGUGAGCAACAAAAUAAAACAUUGGGAAUUUAUGAGAAAGCGGAGAGUAAUAUCUGAGAAUAUCUAAUGAAGCUUUUCAUUUUCUUAUCUGGUGAAAUAUGCGACGAGGCAUUACAUCUAGUGUUUGUUGUACAGUAGGUGAAAACUGUUACCACAGCUAACUAACUCCAGAAAAGCUAUUCCAACUAACAACCUUGAACAACAACUAAGGCUUUCAGAAAUAACUCAACUUCUGUAAUAGAAUGUUAUGGCCCAAGCUACUGACCCAUUAAGCCCAAUUGAGCUGACAGACCAACUGGAAGCAGCAGGGCCAACACGACAAACUGCAGCCAAACGUAAUAGUGUUAAGCCCAACUGUUUCAAGGGCUAUGAACAAUUUUAGUUUUGCAGAGAGUAAUAAGAAUAAAACUACCUGCAAGCGUGAGAAGGAUUUCAUUGCAAUUUUGUUUUGCUUAGUGUGAAAUUUGUCACGCAUGAUUGUGCUAUAUGUAAUAGUAGGAUUAGGAUAGAAUAAAAAAUGCAGAAAUAGAAUGUUUAGUUUGUUUCAAUUUUGUUGCAAGGAGGCUGCUCCCCUCUAAAGGAGCAGUUUUCUCUUCUGUUAUUACUCUUUUGCUUGUAGUACCUUAUACGUGUCUUAGUAUGAACAUGGAUGAUUUUAGAUUGAAUUGACACAAUAAGACUCUAUUGGUUUAAUGGGAGAAUUAAAUAGGGAUGUUAAAGUGAGUCAACUCAACAUAAGUGAGCUUGUUACAGGUUGAGAAAAAAAAUGAGUUACUUCAACUGAACUCACUCUAUGGUGAAUAAGAAAUUUUCAACCUAGUUGACCGACUAGAGGUUCGUGGGUUCACUAAAUUUAUAAACUACAACAAAUAUGUACAUUCUAUAAGCAAUUUUAUAUUGGAGAUGAUAAUUUUCAACAUUUGGUAACUAUUACAGAUCAAUUCAAAUGUCAAACACUGUAAAUAGAAGUCUGAAAAUAAAUUGAACAUCUUAAGUAUUCAAAGGUUUGAGAAUUUAUUUGGAGAACUUACAUAAUCUUUAUUUCAUUUUAAAAUAUUAUGAGUCAAUCCAUCAUAAACCUAGCUGGACCCGUGUAACCCUUAAGUAAAUAAGUCAGGUUUCUUUUGGUCCAUAAUUGGCCAAACUUUGAUUUUUGUUUAACUGCAACUAGGUUGAAUGGAUUGGCAGAUUGGCUCACAGUGAUAACCCAUUUUGACACCCUUAGAAUUAAUACACACACAACAACUAAGAUUUAUAGACUGUACCUACAUGCAUUUACAUUGACAUGGAUUUAUUUCAUGCAUAAUUUUUAUAUGAAAGUAAGAUAUUCUUUUAUAUGGUUUAGGUUUAUGUGGCUUGAGUGUACAAAGUUAGUAAUAAAGUUGUUGAGUUCUUUGAAAAGGAAUGCUAAAACGAGAUUUUUUUUAUGUUAAUUGUUACUUAAGCGUUUAGCUUUGAUUGUUAAUAAAAGUUGUAUAUUUGUUGUGUUGCAGUAUGGAUUAGGAAAUUGAAGAAAGGAGGUAGGAAAAGGGUAUUUGGUAUGAGAAUGGAACGUGUCUUUGUGAAGACCGAAGAAAGUGUGCAAUGAAUGAUGAAGAAUGGGUGAAGAUUGAGCUAAAACCAAGCAAGACAGUUGGAAAUGCCGUAAAGCUGCGAGCACCCCAACAACGCAAAUGUUAAAACUACCAACGCAAAUUUGAACUGCUUUUUUCGUGUUGGAUAAUUGGUACUCUAAAUACGUGCCUUUAUUGGGUGAAUGGAUUCUGACAUUUUGUUUCAUGUGCGUGAAACGGUAGAAGAAGGUGGUGCUGACAUGUUUGGUAGCAGCACGAGUCAUGUCCACCCUUAUAAUGCUUAUGCUUUGUCACGUCAAGGUUUAUCAAUUAUCAUCUGCAUGUGGUCGAUGUUUCGUGCUUUUCUUUUUGUCCCUCAUCCAUCUUCCUAAAACGAUAAUGUUUAUCAGUUUUCUUCCACGUUUACCACCACAAAUCCCAAACCAAAUCAACAAAAGCAUUAAAACCACUCUUCAAUUUGUUUCUGCCUUAGGAUUUCCCAUUCCCUUCUUGCCACGUGCAUCAGAUUCUCAUCUUCCAAAUACAAAAAUAUUUGGGUCUUUUGUUAACCAAGAUCUGGUGUUUAUCCUUGCCUUCAAAAUACAAUCUUUCGUGUCUCAAAAAGCUUCACUUUAUGCAAUGGAAACAAAAGAGGACUAGUUUAUAUAUAUAAUACAGAUCUCAUACAUAUUUCUCAAAAUGCCAAUUUGUUUCAACAUUGAUUCAUUCACAUUUUGAAACUGUUUUUUUGGUUCAUCAUUUUUCUCUAACUUUUUAUUUCUAAUAAAAAUCAAGGAAGAGGGCAUUGCACAGAAAAAAAAAAUUCUAUCUUUUAGAUAUAUUAUUUUGUUUGGGUUGAUAUUUCGUUUUUUAUGUUAUUUUAUAAAUCAUUAACAAUUUAGUGUUAUUAAAAUGCAGAAGUAAGAAGUAAAUAUUAAUACGUAAAGUAUACAAGAUAAAAAACACAUAAAUCCAUCAUAUUUUUUAUUGACAUUUUUUUAUAGGAGGAUGAUAUUUAACAUCAUUAAAUAAAAAUCCAGUUGAACAAUUCAAAAUAAUAAUAAUAUUUUAAUAAUACUUAUUUUAUUUUUAAAUUUAAAAUUUUAAUGUAUAUUAUUAAAGUGAGUUAUAAGAUGGAUGUAUUGUUUUGAGGGUGUGAAAUUAUUAUAUUUGUUUCUUAUGUUAACAUAUAAAAACACAUCUUUCGAAAGUUACACGUUCAGUACAAUGGUAAAUGUAUUGUCUUGUCACAAUUUUUUUUUUUUCUCGCACUUUUCUUUGCUUGUCAAGGAGAACGAAUUUAUAUAUGUAUUUUCUUUUUAUGCUCAAACCAAAAAGAAAUCCAAUUUAUUUUAAUUUUUACUAUUUAAUUUGUUUAUUAUUUUCUCUCUUACUUGAGAAUAUAUAUAUGUAUAUAUAUAUAUAUAUAUAUAUAUAUAUAUAUAUAUAUAUAUAUAUAUAUAUAUAUAUAUAUAUAUAUAUAUAUAUAUAUAGAUUAUAAAAAAGGAAAGAGCAAAAUAUCUAGACAUGCCAUGAUGAAUGGAAGUGAAACCUAAACUAAAGUGAGCAAAUAAUUGUUUGGUAGUACUAGAAAUAGCCAAACAGCUGUGAACGCCCUAAGAAGCAGGCCAAUCUAUUUAUUAGCCAAUAUUAUUUUUGUACUUUCUGUUUAGACCUUAAAGUGAACUAACCUAAUUCAUUAUGAAUUGAGUUAACAUGGAUUAGUGUCGUUAUUUUACUUUAAGUUGAUAGAUUAUGUAGGUUGAUUUACUUAAUCACAUCAUGUUUUGAUUUUUUAGUAAUUAAUCUCGAUAUUUUUCAUAAUUCAAAUUUAUGUUGUUUUACUUUGGAACUGGGUGGUGUGAAACUUUAACGUCUGGUCAUGUCCCCUGGUUGGUAUACCACCUUGGACUUUAAUCUACAACAUCAUUCAUUCAUUAGUCAACUAUUAACAAACAUAACAUUAAUUAUUAUUAUUCUUAUUAUUGUUUCGGGUAUAGAGUCAAAAAAUUUCACAAACAUUUUUUUACUAAGUUAGUUUGGGUUAUUAUGAACACUUUUAGUUACAAUUCUUUUUUGUUCAAGCUCCAAACCAUUUAGAUGUAUCUGUGUAAGACAUUUCGACACUUAAAUUAGUGAUUAAUCGAAUUGAGGUGAUAGUAAAAUUUUAAAUUCAUAAUAAAUGCAAUCAUCUACCUCUUUAUUUUGGACUUGUAUUUAUAUGUGCUUAAAUGAAUUUAUGAUUAGUGAAAUCGUAAUCACGACUUAUCUUCUUAAUAAGCAAAAAUUAUCAAUAAACUUGAUUGGAAAUUAUCUUUAAGAUUUCGUAAUGACGUUAUCUGAUUUCAUAGUUGUUAUAACUAGUUUGCAUGAACAAGGUACAAUUACAAUGCCUCAAAUUUCCUAACCCUUUUCACCAUCACAAUUUAACUACAUGUACAAAACUUAAUAAUUAUUAACACACUUAUUAAUGUGAGAUUAAUUUAUUUAUGUUAAGCACCAUUAUUAGACAUUAUGAAAGAUAAACUCACCACAAGAAAAUUAAGUAACUUUUCUUGGUAUAAAAAUUAUGAUAUCAUAAAAAAAUAUUAAACGUGUUUUUCAUCUUCAAACUAUUAUGAAUAUUUUGUUUCGUUCUAAAAUUAAAUUAUAAUUAAAAUAAUGUAAAUAUUUUAUUAAGUAAUGACACGUGGAAAUUAUAUUAUAAUAUAUCGUGAAACUUUCUUUAUCUUAUGGAAAACACUCUAAUUAUAGUUUGAUGAAAAGGAUAUUUUAAAUGACUUUAUAAUUUAAUUUAAAAAUAAAACAAUUUUUUUAUAAUAAUUUGGUGACAGACAAAAUAUUUAAAAAUUGAAUUUGUAGCGAACCCAAAACUUAUCUUUACAUGUCUACAUUUUAGAUUGUUGUAACUACUAAAAGGAAAAAACAGAGGAAUAAAGUUUGAUAAUAGUAGUCGAAAUAAGCAAGGGUCUAAACGUUGAUUGUAUCCCUAGGAUUUGUUCCUUUACCUUUUGUGUAUUUCAAAUGUUAUCAUUUGAAAAAUAGUUCAGGUGGUUUUGUCUGUUUUUUGAGCUGAGUAGCAAAUAUUUUAAACAGAAAGAAGAACAAGGUAUAUGCAUAAUUGAGGCUAAAUAGGCAUAAAAGUAGAAGCACUAUUGUGGCUAUUCUGUCAGUGUGUGGACCACUGCAUCAAAACCACAAAUUCAUUUGCUCCUCCCAUUCAGAGGUAAAAGAUAUUACACAUAUUGUUCAGUUAUUGCAUGAAAUAGUGCCGCAAAGUGGACAGAUAUAACACGUAACUUCAUCAUGUCAUAAUCUUUAACUAUUACCAAUCAUGUAACAGUUAUGAAUGUUCUCUGUAUAAGCGAUAAAGAGUAAUGUUUUCACAUUGCACACAGAUUAGUUACUACCUAAGCCUUCAUUUCUGGUUAAUUAACCUCCAAAACUUUAAGAAUGUGGCUCAUAAUUUCUCACUCAGAAAAAACUAUGCACGUCUGAGAUGCAGCCUAUGUUACAACUUGCCAAACUGACAUUUCAUUGCAUUUUUUAAUCAUAAAUUGUUAGUGCUCUUAAAAGGGAACUAUGUGGGAGUGUACACGUGUCGGACAUUCUCACAGGUUAACCUGUAUAUAUAUGGAAGCUGGCAAACCUUGUUCAAGCACACAUUGUCCUACACAUACACCAUA
rnacentral:lncRNA from 1 species